rnacentral:lncRNA from 1 species
CUACAUUUAGUGAAGGCAACAUUAUACAACAAUUAGCAUGAAAAAAAUCAUGAUGAAAUAAAAUGGUGAUGCAAUUUUGACUUCAUAAGGCAAGACCAUUCAAGGGAGAAAUCUUUUGAACAUAGCACGAUGAUGAUCUUUUGGUCAAUAACUGAACAUGACAAUUCAUAAGCAUAUUAUGCAUUCAAUAUUCUAUUCUAGAUAAUAUUUUAAGUCCGAAAUAUCCAUGGUUUGGGAAGUCAGGAUGACCUGUUCCAAAACAAAGGCAUGUACGUAAACCGAACAAAUAUGAAAAUGAAGAGAGAAUGGUGAAGUAUGUAUCUUACUGAUUCCGCAAAGGUGAACAUAAUUAGAUUAAAGGUGUUGAACUGAAGUAGUUAUAUAAGGGUCAAAGGAUAAAAAUCAAUAAGGAAAGUUAAAGGAGGGCAUGUUCUUAUGUAUAUAGAAUUGAAUGAAGAUUUGCUUCAGAGGUGGUAAUGAUUCUUCUUAGUUGCCCACGCCAUAGUACUAUUUUAAGGCCAUGCAAGACUAAUGAGAGUUGAAUGAAAGAAAUAGGCUGACCGUCCUUCGACUAUUUUUGUAUCAUCUUCCUUCAACUGCUCUAAAUAGGCUGACCGUCCUUCGACUAUUUUUGUAUCAUCUUCCUUCAACUGCUCAGACCAAUACUUGUCAACACUUUCGGGUGUGCAUAUAUGCGGAAGUAACUCACAACAUUAAAACAUGAGAAUGAUUGGAAGCGAACUAAUCCAGACAAAAGCUUUCUUUACCCCGUAAGUCAGACCAAAGUAACCUGCGAAUAUCAAGAUAUUUUGAUUAUUCUGAAAUAUGUUCAGAACACAUCAGUAAUUAAAAAUAGAAGAUGUAUUGCACAUCAAAGAAGAUUAUGGAUAUCAUACCAUCAAAAGAGAUUUAUGCAUUUUGUAAGACAAUUUCUUCAGAGGUCUCCUUUAGCAAGGGACGAUAGAGUCUGUGUAGAUUAUGUAAUCGUACCAACAAAAUGGCUCAGCAAGAGUCACCUUUACUGGAUGGUCACAAAGAAAUUCAGUAACAUUAGUGAUUCAACCUGCUAAAGAAAAUAAGGUCAAUAACAAAUAUGCAUCUUGAAAGUAGUAUUUGGUAUCUCGGGUGUACCUAUAUAUGUUCUUUAGUCUUGACUGCUAGCGUCUCUUCUCCUCUCAGCAGAUCAUAAUGCAGUUGUCUCGAAAAACUAUUUGAAGCAGCAGCUCUCCUCCUCCUGACUAUGUCUACACUUCCGUUGGCUGCUGCUACUACUUUUCAUGAAGUUAACACAAUGUUUAAUAAAUAAAAAGAAAUUUCAUGAAUUUACAAAAACCAGUGGACUGAGGAUUGCUAUGACGGGAAAAAUUAACAAAACCUAUUUUUUCUUUUGAUUUUGCAGUGUUUUUGCUGUUUUAUUUGAUCUUUUUAUUUAUUUUUACUUGGUUAUUUUUCUUUUUCUCCUAUUGUAUUUAUUUAAUAUAUAAAAUAAUGAGUGAAUUCCGGUUUUUACCCCCUAUUUUGCCAUUUUUGACACUAAUUACCCCGUUUAGUGGGAUUUUAUCCAUUUUACCCCAUUUAGCAAAAGUGUUACCUCAAUUUAGCCCGUGGUGAACAUAUGCGGACCAGCGAAGAAUAAGUAUAUGUUUCCUGAGCUACUAUAGUGCAAUCAUAUCGAGCCUAGCUUAUCAGAAGAAGCUAGGGGGGUGCGGUUCGGCGUGCAGAGAAAGCAUCAAGAAAAAACCUGUCGAUGUGGCAUCUAGCUAGACCUUACAAUUGGGACCCAUCGGUCAGAACACUCAUAAAUUUUAAACAUGGUGAACUGUGGCAACACUUUUGCUAAAUAAUGUAAAAUGGAUGAAAUUCUGCUAAAUAGGGUAAUUGGUGUCAAAAAUGUCAAAAUAGAGGGUAAAAACCAGAAUUCACUCUAAAAAUAUUCUAAACUAUUCUGGUUCAAUUUUUUGAUUCAAUGAAACUGAUCCAUGUUGAUUAAACGAAACUGAUGCAUAUGCAAUGAUACGCAUGGAUGCUGAUUAAACAAAACGGAUGCAUAUCAAUCUUCGUAUGGGUGCGCGGACCUUUUUCUUUUCGAUUGCCUAGCAACUUAAUAAUUGAUUGAUGCAUCUCAACCUUGGUAUCACGGCGACCAAAACCGUGGAUUCCUUGCCCUUCACUCCAUCAGAUCACCACCGACCAAUAUUCCUCGCUCAUGUCUAGUCUUCUUUCCUCUGCCUCCGCCUCCACGCACUCCUCCUUAGAUAUAAUUAAACCAAACUGACCGCCCCAUGGUGGCCCCCAUCCUUGUCGGCAUGAAAUCCAAUGCUACGUGCGGAGCAAGUAGUCAUCCCUCCCUUGUGGCGAGCUCGGCGCCGUGUGUGGAUGAGGCCGUAGGUAUGCGCAUACCAGGAGCACAAGACCAUGUCAAGGAGUGGAGAGGAGGUCUAUAUGGAAUGUUGUGUUGGCCAGAGACCACCAAACACAUGUCACAUGAUCACAUAACCCCUACCCACCCUAAAUCAUUGGUUCAGUGGCUAGAACCCCAACUGACCAUAGCUCGAUGUCUGGACCAUGUCAAGGCACAUGGAGAGAGAAGGGAGACUAGGGACUCACCAGAACUGACUCGCUAUCUGGAUCAGCUUGAAAGUUGACUACACGAGGAUUGUAUCAGCUUCCCUCCUUGACACUCUGACUUCCAGGGUUGUUUUUCCCCUUUAGCUCUCGUCAUAAUCAAAGAAACAACGAUGUUAGAUCUCUCUCAAAUGAACAUAACAAGAGACAGAAAAAUAUAGUUUGUGUUCAGCGGAGAUAAAGAUUAUGCACCACUCAUAUAGCUGGUGAGGAUAUAAUAGUAGCGAGCUACUCCACAACAGUUUAAGCAAUCGUAAUAUUAACCAAACCACAAACAAAACCUAUGUUCUGGAACCCAUUCAUCAUCACCUAAGAAAUAACAAAUUGCACAACACCUACACUACUCAUGCGUGGGUAAAGUAUCAAAUAUCUUCAUCUAGUCUAAGUAGAUAGUACCAAGGGUUAUUUAGCAAGCCUAUGUAAAGAGUUGCAAUUCCCAAAUUCCGGCAUCAAGAGAUAUGCCCAUAACAAUCACAUCCAUUUGUUAAACAUAUAUAAUAGCAUGAUUAAAGGCUCUAAUUAUUAAUAGGAGCAUUAAUAUUGACCCCAGGUAAAUGUGGAGCGAUACAAAAGCAGCUACGUAUCAUCCAAUGGCCUAGAAUUGUCAACAUCGAACGAAAACAUGCCAUCCUAUUCAAACUGGCUAAUUACAAGUAGGGAAAAUCAUAUCUAGCAGACUAUCAUCACCAAAAUCAUAAGCAGGAUAGUGCACCAUGACAAUAUCAUAAUCAUGACUUUCAAAAGGUUAGGAUAACUAAACAACAUGCAUCUUGACUAAUAUGUUUUUUCAUAGAAGUUACAGCCUUACCAAGCCACUCAGCCGAUUUGAAACACCACGACAUUGGUGGCCCAUGCAGGUCCCUGCUGGCAGUCGCUGCGGAGUGAUGGGAAUUUAGAUCGGCUCCGACGUGAUCUACAUGUCGGAACCGAACUUCAUCGUCGACGUCGGCAUCUGUGUUGCUGGCUCAACUGGUCACCUUUCCUGGACCAAGGACUACGCUUCGCGUCAAAUCGUCAUGAUCAGGCGGGUGCCUUCAUCAUCAACUCUGAUCCUAGCCGAAGUCAUAGAGGAAUUCGUCCAUGGAGCUUGGGGGCUCAACGUCAACAUUGCCCUCGUGUGAUCAUGCCGUUUUUGUUGAACAACGGAUUGUGUUCACCUUCUCCGCCUCCUCGAGUGUCGCUUUGAUGAUUGCUUCGGUGAAAUUGUGUGGAAUUGAGUCUACAACAACCUUGUAAAAUUUCCUCGCGUUCCUAUGGAGGUAUCUCCGGCAAUCUCCGACAUACCGGAGCCCAAUCGAAUCUGGACGGGAAUCUGGAUGACUUUGUGGCGAGGAGUCUAGCGUCCAUCCCGGACAUCCGUUGGAAAAUCCAACUGUUCAUCGGUUGCGCAAUUCCUAUGUUGACCACCACUCAAAUUUCAGCUUGGUCCGACCGUUCAAACUCUAGGGAACGUCCGAGUAGUAAAUCAAUUCUCUGAUAUGUUUUCUGCGCGCAAACAAAUCUGACCCGAGUUCAUCUUUUCAUGAACGGGUUAUCAGACAUCCUUUUUGAAUGAAAUUGCUACUGCUGGUACAUGUAUGCCUACGGCCUCGUCCACACACGGCGCAGAGCUCGCUAGCACAGAGGGACGGCGGCCUGCUCACCGCGUAGCAUUGGAUUUGAUGCCGCCAAGGAUGGGGGCCUUCAUGCUGUGGGCAGUUUGGUUUAAUUAGGCGAAGGCAGAGCAGAGGAAAGAAGACUAGACAAAAGUGAGGGAGGUCGGGAGGUGGUGUUUUGAGGGAGUGAAGGGCGAGGCGUCCAUGGCUUGGUCGCCGUGAUACCAAGAUUGAGAUGCUUCAAUCAAUUAUUAAGCUAGCAGGCAAACGGAAAGAAAAAGGUAUGCAUCAGUUUCGUUUUUAUUAGUUUUGCCUUUUCUUUAUUUCCCUCUUUUCCUUUUUUUUCCUUUCCUGUCUUAGUUCUUUCAUAAUUUUUUUGUUUUGACUUAUUAUCCUUUUUCAUUUAGAAAAUGAACAACAUGACUUUUUUAUCAUAUGAUUUACAUAUUUUAAUCACCUGAUGAAUUUUUUUAACACAUGAUGAAUGUUUUUUGAUAUACAAUGGCUAUUUUCUUAAAUACAGAUAAUUUUUUAAGUGUAUAUUCUGUUUUAUAUGAUUUCUUUUCAAAAUUAUGUGAAUUGUUUUAUAAGCAUGGCUACUUUAACAAUCACAUGUACAUUUUCUAAAAUACAUAAACACUCUUUGUAAAUUCAAGAUUUUUUUCUAAAGAUUUAUUUAGAAACUAAAUGAAUUUUUUUCUAAAUAGGUGAAUUGGUUUCAUAGUAUAAGAAAAAUUUAUUUAGAAUAGUUUUUUCGUGAGUAAGCAUUUUUUUUGUUUACACAAACUAUUUUGUCAAAUGUGCAGAAAGAAAAUUUGAACAAGAAUACUUUAGAAAUACUAUAUAUGUAAGAGGAGAAAAAGUAAAACAACCAAGUGGAAAUAUAUAAAAAGAACAAAAAAGGGCAAAAGCACUGGAAAAUCACAAAUAUAGGAGUCUAGCUGCAUGGGUUACUUGAUAUCAUGUUUAUUUAACAUUUUUUUACUCUACCUUGUAGCUUGCAUCAAAACACACUAAUGUCCUUAUCCAUUUUUUAUUUCGUCAAGUAUUCAUUUCACAUUUAAGAUGAGGGGGACUGAAUCAGUAGCCAUUGCUAGCUAAAUAAUAGGCGGCAGAACCGUGUUAUUAGGCCAACCUUCUUGAGAGACUCUUUUAUCAGACGUUGCUGUCGGGCGCCAAAUGAUAUAUAUCGCUUGUACCGGGCAUUACCUAGAGCUUGCCUGCAGAACCGUCUUGAUUUAUUUUAUUAUUUUUGGCUUUUUGUUUAUUCCCCUUUUGCUGUUCUUCUUUUUCUAUUUUUUCUGUUUCUUUAUUUUUCUGUUGAUUUUAUUUUUUUACUUAUUUUACUUUUUCAUUUAGAGAAUUAAUAUUAGACAUGACUUUUUAAUCACACGGUUAUGGUCACGUAGCACGGUUUUAUAAUAACGGAUUCCUAAAUGUGAGCCAAUAAUAGUAACGAUACAAUUUGUAUAUAGAAAGUAAACCCUGGCCACUCCAUGGCAUAUUCAUCAUGGAACCUACAAAGGACGCAUAUAAACUCCAUUUUUUUCCCUUUUUGCUUUCGUGUAGGAGGCGCAUGACUCCAUGGAUGACCAGCCAUCAUUUUUUCUGUGACGUUGACCGUCACUAACAAUUACGAUGAUGCAUUUGACCGGUCAACUAUUCUGGCAUGAAGACCCAAUGAGAUGCUGACAUGGCUGCUACCAAGUGGGUCCAGACGUGGGUAAUUUGGCUUCUUACAUGUGGAUCCAAUGCCAUACGCGGGCGACGGCAUGCAUACCUAUCCCAAUUUGUAGAUGCGGUCAAUUUAUUAUAUAUUGCAAUUGGCGGGCAUAUUUGAAAAUUUAAUCAUUUUUAUAAUUCGUAUAUGAAUUUGUGCGAGAUUUCAAUUUUAAUGCCAAGUCAGCUAUCUUUACUCGAUUAAAUGACAGACAAUUAUCACACAGACUUUCUGAACCAUUACAAUAAAAAACCAUGGGACAGAGCCACACAAUAAAAUUAGGCACAUGGCGCAUUUUCAUGACCAUCAAACAAUGCACUAGUAUGAUGGGGUUUGUUUGCUCAGCUAUAGACAUGGGAUCCUGGCGUCGCAAUCGUGGCGAUGUACUUAAGCGUCCUAUCAAGAUCAUUAAGCUUCUUUCGAUAGCUAAAGUUUUCUCUUUCUUAGCAUUCUUGAUGACUUCAAGUUCUCCCUUCUGGUUGCGCCAACCUCGGUUUGUGUCAGCGGUGGCCGCCCGGUGGCGCGAGGCGCGUGAUGCCCCCCAUCGCGCCCUUUCGGCCCUUGACUCCUGACACUUUUGUGCUAAGCGGUCCCGGCAAUUCAUGAAAGGAUGGGGUGCAAAUGUGGGCCGUGACAUUCGCGAGCGUAAGAAAGCCCUUCUUGAGGCCAUCCAGGCCCUCGAUCUGCGGGAUGAUGCCGCAGGCCUCUCUCUGAGGAGUGGAUGCUUAGGUACGACCUGGAAGACUAGCUCACGGUCAUCUACACGGACGAGGAGGCCUACUGGCGCUUGCGAGGUACGCAGAAUUGGGUCCUCAAGGGGGAUGCCAAUACCGCCUACUUCCAGGCCAUUGCCAACGGUCGUCGUCGCCGUAAUUCCAUCCCGCUUCUCUGGGACGGCGAGACCCUCCUGCAGCGGCCAGAGGACAUCCGGGCCCAUGUAGACGGCUUUUACAGAGACCUAUUCUCUGCCUCCCAUCGGGGAGGUCUUGCCCUGGCGCAAGACAUCUGGCCGGCCCACGGCUGUGUCUCUCCUGCUGACAACGCGGCCCUUACGGCCCCGUUCUCUAAGGCUGAAGUGUGGGCGACAAUUAAGGGUAUGAACCCUUCUUCGGCCCCCGGUCCGGAUGGCCUCCAAGUGAAGUUCUUCCAGCCUUUCUGGGAGGUAAUAAAACCGGAGGUGAUGGCCUUGUCUGAGGAAUUCUUUGUAGGAUCCAUUGACCUCACCAGGCUGGACUUUGGGAUCAUCACCCUCAUCCCCAAAGUAACUGGGGCUUCGGAUAUUCGCCAGUUUCGGCCGAUUACGGUGAUUAAUGUCAUCUUCCGCAUCCUCGCGAAGGGGUACGCCCUUAGGGUGGCCCCCAUUGCCGACAGGAUCACUCACCCUGAUCAGUCGGCAUUUAUUCAGGGCCGGUAUAUCCUUGACGGAGUUUUGGUUUUUCACGAAGCACUCCAUGAGGUUCACUCCAAACACCUCAAGGCAGUCUUCCUGAAACUGGAUUUCCACAAGGCGUAUGGCACAGUCAGUUGGCCCUUCCUUCGGGAAUGCUUGCUGCGGAAGGGCUUCAACGACAGGUGGGUCUCCCGAGUGAUGCAAAUGGUAUCCUCGGGCCGGACCGCGGUGAACAUUAAUGGCGAGGUUGGCCCAUUCUUCCCCACAUCCCGUGGGAUCCGCCAGGGCGACCCCUUCUCACCGUUCCUCUUCAACAUGGUUGUCGAUGCUCUGGCAGCCAUCUUAGAUAAAGCCAAGCCUGUGGGCCACAUUAAGGGCAUAGUCCCGCAUCUAGUUGGGGGGAACGGGAUCUCCCUCCUCCAAUAUGCGGAUGACACCAUUAUCAUGGUGGAAGGCUCGGCGACCGACAUCAUGAACUUGAAGUUCCUCCUGAUAUGCUUCCAGCAGAUGUUUGGCCUCAGGAUCAACUUCGAUAAGAGUGUGGUAAUGGUCUUGGGAUACUCCCAAGACGAAUGGCAGAGCAUCGCGGAUCGGCUCAAUUGCCAGCUUGGGUGUUUCCCCACGACCUAUCUGGGGAUCCCCAUUAGUGAUUUGAGGCUCACGGUGGCUGAGCUUCGCCCCACAGUUGGGAAGCUUCAACACCGCAUCGAGGCUUGGCAGGGCUGAUGUCUCUCGAAGGCGGCCCUGACAGUGCUUAUUAACUCGUCCCUGGCCAUCCUUCUCUUAUUCAUCAUGAGCUUCUACAGCCUUCCUGAGACUCUGAUCACGAGAUUGCCACAGUUCAAGGGCGCUUCUUCUGGGCCGGCGAGGGCGACAAGUAGAAAUACCACAUGGUUCGUUGGUCGGAGAUUUGUAAACCGCGCUACCAGGGUGGUCUCGGAUCAUGUCCUCCAAACGCAUGAACAUUGCCCUCCUAACGAGAUGGUUGUGGCGGAUUGCCAACGGACAGGGUGCCCUGUGGCUUCACCUCAUUCAGCAGAAAUACCUCCGUGGCCAGCCUCUCACCUUCUGCCAGUGGUCUGGAGGUUCCUAUUUCUGGCAAUCCAUCAUACAGCUCCUACCGAUCCUCCGCAUCGGCACCUUGAUCGCGGUUGGAUCGGGCACCUCCACGAUGUUCUGGUUCCAUAGAUGGGCUGGAGACUUACCCCUCGCGGCACGUUUUCCCUACCUAUUCUCCAUCGCGGUUGACCCGCGGAUCUCUGUCGCGACGACCCUUAUUGACUUAGGGCAACUCGCGUUCCGGAGAGCAUUUGGCCUGCCUGAGAACGCGGACUGGCAUGAGCUGCUGGAAUGCAUCGGGCUGCACGAGCCUGAUCUUGAGGUAGGAGAAGACCGUGCCAGGUGGCGUCUAGAGCCAUCUGAGCAAUUCUCCACUAAAUCUCUAUACCAGGCCAUCACACCUUCGCUGGGUCAUGAGGUAGUCACCACCAUCUGGGAUAUACAGCUCCCCUUGAAGAUUAGGAUUUUCUUGUGACAGUGGAUUCGCGGCUGCCUCCCAUCCGGCGUGGAAGUCCUGAAGCGCAACGGCCCAGGGGAUGGGCGAUGCCCGCUCUGUGGGCCUGAAGAGGAUUUGAACCAUAUCUUCUUCACAUGCGUGUCCGCGCAGUUCCUAUGGAGUUGUUUCCGUGAAAUAGUGGGUGGAAGCAGGGACCACAACAACUUUCCCGCUCUUUUCGCGGAACUCCAGGCGUUAGCUCCCUCAAUUCGCCACAUUAGGUUGCUGAUCAUCGGGGUGCUAACCUGGACGCUGUGGACUGUUAGGAAUAAACUUUUGAUUAAGCGCAUUCCUUUUCGACGUGCUACUGACGCUUUGUUCAAAUGGUCUGGUUAGUUGCAGUUUUGGCGGCUGCUUAGCCGUCCCCGGGAGAUAGACGCCAUCACCUCCAUCAUCAUCCAGCUUCGCUCGAUGGCUCUCCGUAUGGCUCCACCGCUUCCCCCACCAGCGCCGGAGCCGGAUUAGAUCUUCUACACCUCGCCACCGCCGUUAUGUUUGUUGUGUGUGUCUUGCGCCGAUGUUGGGCUUGUUGUGCUGUGCCCAUAGCUGAACUUGGGUUUCGACUGUGUGUGUGUUCGUCGGAACUGCCUGCGGUGGCUGUGUGUGUGUGUUUUUAUGGUCGGAACCUUGUUAACUUUGUGCUCGGUGGUUGCUUUUUUUAUAAAGAGGGGAGAAAGCCUUUUUCGGUAAGGGAAGUGUUGAUAGAUUCAAGAUGAUUAUGCAGAUCUAACAGGGCCAUUAUUAGGCAUUCCAUUUGGUCUUGCCGCUCUGGCAGAGCCUUCUUGACACCUUCAAGUAUGUUUUUGCUAGUGUACAAGUGUACGUAAUCUUCACAUAUUGAAGUUCAUGCUACGCACCUGGCACGACAUGCUUCAUGUUCUUGCUGCUGCUCUCCUAGGUCCAUCUUGACAGCUUCAAGUUCUAGUUGUUGCUCUGCUAGGGCCUUCUUAACGGCUCCAAGUUCUAUUUUCUGCUCACCUAGGGCCUUCUUCAUAGCAUGAAGUUCCUACUGCUGUACAACCAAUGUGUGCUCGACUGCUUCUUUUGCUUCAUGGUGCACCACCACCACAUUGUUGAUAGCUUCAGGUUACUGUUUCUGGACCCCAAUACUUGCAAGAAAGUCAUCAUUUGAGAAUCCUUGCUUUCCUACAAAAUAAUAUAUACGAGGUUACAACAUAUGGAUGAAUUCCAAAAUAUAUAUGCACAUGCCGCAAUACACAGAGGUAGGGUAAAUAAAGAUAAUUACAUGUAAAUUUUAUAAAACAUGUGAACAUUCUUAGGAAAAAAGAAAAUUAUUUUCUAAAUACAUGAGUAUCUAUUAUAAAUUAUAUGGAUAUUUGUCUAGAUAGUUCAUGAAUCAUUUUUGAAAGUACAAUAAUUUUUUAUUUAGAAUAGUCAAACACUUUCUAAAUUCAAUUACAUAUUUUUAAAUGACUGGGCACUUACUUUUUUACAGGAACUAUUUUUUCAACAACAACAACAAAGCCUUUAGUCCCAAACAAGUUGGGGUAGGCUAGAGGUGAAACCCAUAAGAUUUCGCAACCAACUCAUGGCUCUGGCACAUGGAUAGCAAGUUUCCACGCACCCCUGUCCAUAGCUAGCUCUUUGGUGAUACUCCAAUCCUUCAGGUCUCUCUUAACAGACUCCUCCCAUGUCAAAUUUGGUCUACCCCACCCUCUCUUAACAUUCUCCGCAUGCUUUAGCCAUCCGCUAUGCACGGGAGCUUCUAGAGGCCUCCGCUGAAUAUGCCCAAACCAUCUCAGACGAUGUUGGACAAGCUUCUCUUCAAUUGGUGCUACCCCAACUCUAUCUCGUAUAUCAUCAUUCCGGACUCUCGAUCCUUCCUCGUGUGGCCACACAUCCAUCUCAACAUGCGCAUCUCCGCCACACCUAACUGUUGAAUAUGUCGCCUUUUAGUCGGCCAACACUCAGCGUCAUACAACAUUCCGGGUCAAACCGCUGUCCUGCAGAACUUGCCUUUUAGCUUUUGUGGUACUCUCUUGUCACAGAGAAUGCCAGAAGCUUGGCGCCACUUCAUCCAUCCGGCUUUGAUUCGAUGGUUCACACCUUCAUCAAUACCCCCAUCCUCCUACAACAUGGACCCCAAAUACCGAAAGGUGUCCUUCUGGGGUACCACCUGGCCAUCAAGGCUAACAUCCUCCUUCUCACACCUAGUAGUACUGAAAUCGCACAUCAUAUACUCGGUUUUAGUUCUACUAAGCCUAAACCCUUUCAAUUCCAAGGUUUGUCUCCAUAACUCUAACUCCUAUUUACCCCCGUCCGACUAUCGUCAACUAGCACCACAUCAUCCACAAAGAGCAUACACCAUGGGAUAUCUCCUUGCAUAUCCCUUGUGACCUCAUCCAUCACCAAUGCAAAAACAUAAGGGCUCAAAGCUGACCCCUAAUGCAGUCCUAUCUUAAUCGGGAAGUCAUCAGUCUCGACAUCACUUGUUCGAACACUUGUCACAACAUUAUCAUACAUGUCCUUGAUGAGGGUAAUGUACUUUGCUGGGACUUUGUAUUUCUCCAAGGCCCACCACAUGACAUUUCGCGGUAUCUUAUCAUAGGCCUUCUCCAAGUCAAUGAACACCAUAUGCAAGUCCUUCUUUUGCUCCAUAUGUCUCUCCAUAAGUUGUCGUACCAAGAAAAUGGCUUCCAAGGUCGACCUCUGAUACGUCCAUUUUGCAUCAUGCUUUUAUAUCGAUAUUUAUUGCAUUAUGGGUUGUUAUUACACAUUAUGUCACAAUACUUAUGCCUAUUCUCUCUCAUUUUACAAGGUUUACAUGAAGAGGGAGAAUGCCGGCAGCUGGAAUUCUGGGCUGGAAAAGGAGCAAAUAUUAGAGACCUAUUCUGCACAGCUCCAAAAGUCCUGAAACUUCACGGAGGCACGUUCUGGAAUAUAUAAAAAAUAUUGGAGAAAGAAUCAACCAGAGGGGGCGCACACCCUGGCCACGAGGGUGGGGGGCGCGCCCUACCCCCUGGGCGCGCCCCCUGCCUCGUGGGCCCCCUGGCAGGCCUUCGGUGCCCAUAUUCUGCUAUAUGAAGUCUUUCACCCUGGAAAAAAUCAUAAGCAAGCUUUCGGGACGAAACACCGCCGCCACGAGGCAGAACCUUUGCGGAACCAACCUAGGGCUCCGUCGGAGCUGUUCUGCCGGGGAAACAUCCCUCCAGGAGGGGGAAAUCAUCACCAUCGAUCCUCUCAGCGGGAGGGGGUCAAUCUCCAUCAACAUCUUCACCAGCACCAUCUCCUGUAAAACCCUAGUUCAUCUCUUGUAUCCAAUAUUUGUCCCAAAACCUCAGAUUAGCACCUGUGGGUUGCUAGUAGUGUUGAUUACUCCUUGUAGUUGAUGCUAAUUGGUUUAUUUGGUGGAAGAUCAUAUGUUCAGAUCCUUAAUGCAUAUUAAUACCCCUCUGAUUAUGAACAUGAAUAUGAUUUGUGAGUAGUUACGUUUGUUCCUGAGAACAUGGGAGAAGUCUUGCUAUAAGUAGUCAUGUGAAUUUGGUAUUCGUUCGAUAUUUUGAUGAGAUGUAUGUUGUCUUUCCUCUAGUGGUGUUAUGUGAACGUCGACUACAUGACACUUCACCAUUGUUUGGGCCUAGAGGAAGGCAUUGGGAAGUAAUAAGUAGAUGAUGGGUUGCUAGAGUGACAAAAGCUUAAACUCUAGUUUAUGCGUUGCUUCGUAAGGGGCUGAUUUGGAUCCAUAUGUUUCAUGCUAUGGUUAGGUUUACCUUAAUACUUCUUUUGUAGUUGCGGAUGCUUGCAAUAGGGGUUAAUCAUAAGUGAGAUGCUUGUCCAAGGAAUGGCAGUACCCAAGCACCGGUCCACCCACAUAUCAAAUUAUCAAAGUAACGAUCGCGAAUCAUAUGAGCGUGAUUUAAACUAGCUUGACGAUAAUUCCCGUAUGUUCCCGGGAGGGUUUUCCUUCAUAUAAGAGUUUGUCCAGGCUUGUCCUUUGCUACAAAAAGGAUUGGGACAUCUUGCUGCAGCUUAUUUACUUUCAUUACUUGUUACCCGUUACAAAUUACCUUAUCACAAAACUAUCUGUUACCGAUAAUUUCAGUGCUUGCAGAGAAUACCUUACUGAAAACCGCUUGUCAUUUCCUUCUGCUCCUCGUUGGGUUCGACACUCUUACUUAUCGAAAGGACUACGAUAGAUCCCCUAUACUUGUGGGUCAUCAAGACUCUUUUCUGGCGCCGUUGCCAGGGAGUGAAGCGCCUUUGGUAGGUGGAAUUUGGUAACGAAAAAAUUAUAUAGUGUGCUGAAAUUUACUGUCACUUGUUACUAUGGAACAUAAUCCUUUGAGGGGCUUGUUCGGGGUAUCUUCACCCCGGCCAAUAGAGCAAAGAGUUGCUCCUCAACCUACUGAACCUACUGAAAAUGUUUACUUUGAAAUUCCUUCGGGUGUGAUAGAGAAACUGCUAGCUAAUCCUUUCACAGGUGAUGGAACAUUACAUCCCGAUUUGCACCUAAUCUAUGUGGAUGAAGUUUGUGGAUUAUUUAAGCUUGCAUGUAUGCCCGAGGAUGUUAUCAAGAAGAAGGUCUUCCCUUUAUCUUUGAAGGGAAAGGCAUUGACAUGGUUUAGGCUAUGUCAUGAUAUGGGAUCAUGGAAAUACAACCGAUUGAAAUUGGAAUUUCAUCAGAAGUUUUAACCUAUGCAUCUUGUUCAUCGUGAUCGCAAUUAUAUAUGUAAUUUUUGGCCUCGCGAAGGAGAAAGCAUCACUCAAGCUUGGGGGAGGCUUAAGUCAAUGUUAUAUUCAUGCCCCAAUCAUGAGAUCUCAAGAGAAAUUAUUAUUCAAAAUUUUUAUGCUCGACUUUCUCUCAAUAAUCGGUCCAUGCUCGAUACUUCUUGUACUGGUUCUUUUAUGAUGAAGACUAUUGAAUUCAAAUGGGAUUUAUUGGAAAGAAUUAAACGCAACUCUGAAGAUUGGGAUCUCGACGAAGGUAAGGAGUCAGGUAUAACACCUAAGUUUGAUUGUGUUAAAUCUUUUAUGGACACCGAUGUUUUCUGUGAAUUUAGCACUAAAUAUGGACUUGACUCUGAGAUAGUAGCUUCUUUCUGUGAAUCCUUUGCUACUCAUGUUGAUCUCCCUAAGGAGAAGUGGUUUAAAUAUAAUCCUCCCAUUGAAGUAAAAGUAGUUGCACCUAUUAAAGUUGAAGAAAAGACUAUCACUUAUAAUGUUGAUCCUGUUGUUCCUACUACUUAUAUUGAGAAACCACCUUUCCCUGUUAGAAUAAAGGAUCAUGCUAAAGCUUCAACUGUGGUUCGUAAGAGUAAUACUAGAAAACCUACACCCCCUGAGAAAAGUAAAGUUUAACCUAGUAUUGCUAUGGUUAAAGAUCCCUUGGCUGAUAAUAUUGAUGGGCAUGUUAUUUACUUCUGUGAUGAAGCUGCUAGAAUUGCUAGACCAGAUACUAAGAAUAAACAUAGACCUGUUGUAGGCAUGCCUGUUGAAAGAUCGUGGAUGUCGCCUAGAGGGGGGGGUGAAUAGGCACUUUAAAAUAAUUACGGUUUAGGCUUGAACAAAUGCGGAAUAAACCUAGCGGUUAAUUUGACAAGCACAAAACCUACAACAACUAGGCUCACCUAUGUGCACCAACAACUUAUGCUAAGCAAGAUAAACAACUAAGUGAUAGCAAGAUAUAUGAUGAGAAACAAUAUGGCUAUCACAAAGUAAAGUGCAUAAGUAAAGGGUUCGGGUAAGAGAUAACCGAGGCACGCGGAGACGACGAUGUAUCCCGAAGUUCACACCCUUGCGGAUGCUAAUCUCCGUUUGGAGCGGUGUGGAGGCACAAUGCUCCCCAAGAAGCCACUAGGGCCACCGUAAUCUCCUCACGCCCUCGCACAAUGCAAGAUGCCGUGAUUCCACUAAGGGACCCUUGAGGGCGGUCACCGAACCCGUACAAAUGGCAACCCUUGGGGGCGGUCACCGAACCCGUACACUUUGGCAACCCUUGGGGGCGGUCACCGGUACCCGUCAAAUUGCUCGGGGCGAUCUCCACAACCUAAUUGGAGACCCCGACGCUUGCCCGGAGCUUUACACCACAAUGAUUGAGCUCCGAACACCACCAACCGUCUAGGGCACCCAAGCACCCAAGAGGAACAAGCUCAAGGGCACCAAGCACCCAAGAGUAAUAAGCUUCUCAACUUGUAACUUCCACGUAUCACCGUGGAGAACUCAAACCGAUGCACCAAAUGCAAUUGCAAGGGCACACGGAGUGCCCAAGUCCUUCUCUCUCAAAUCCCACCGAAGCAACUAAUGCUAGGGAGGAAAAUGAGAGGAAGAACAAGAAGGAGAACACCAAGAACUCCAAGAUCUAGAUCCAAUGGGUUCCCCUCACAUAGAGGAGAAAGUGAUUGGUGGAAAUGUGGAUCUAGAUCUCCUCUCUCUUUUCCCUUCAAAACUAGCAAGAAUCCAUGGAGGGAUUGAGAGUUAGCAAGCUCGAAGAAGGUCAACAAUGGGGGAAGAACACGAGCUAAAAGGAUAAGGUUCAUUGGGGAAGAAGACCCCCUUAUAUAGUGGGGGAAGAAAUCCAGCCGUUACCCCCACUUCAGCCCUGCAGAGAGCGGUACUACCGCUCGGCCAGCGGUACUACCGCUUGGCCCUAUAAGCGGUACUACCGCUCUCCCUCGCGGUACUGCCGCUGGGCCCAGAGCGGUACUACCGCGGUGGCAGGGCGGUACUACCGCAAACGAGCGGUACUACGGCCCCACUGCCGCGGCUAGUACCGUAAAACCCGACACGAAAAAAACCCCUCGAAUCGAGGCGGUACUAGCACGAGACCGCAGCGGUACUACGGCUGGGGGCUACCAGCGGUACUACCGCUCUGGAGCGGUACUACCGCUCUAGAGCGGUACUACCGCUUGUAGCACCCAAGCGGUACUACCGCUCCGGCCCGCGGUACUACCGCUAGGAAACCAAAACUGCCAUAACUUCUGCAUAUGAGCUCCGAAUUGAGCAAACUCAAGCUUGUUGGAUAGAGGAAGACGAGUAGCAUCAAAACCUCCAACCGAGAAGAACCGGCAUAACCUCCAACAUCAAAAACAUCAUAGAAGAUGCGAGUGAACUCCGUUUUCGAUGAACUCGAGCCUUUCGUCAAGAUGACCAUAAGCUCCAAAACUCACAGAGAAAAGAACCAAACAAGAACCAAUAAAGAUGAUGCAAGGCUGCAAUGGUUUGAGCUCUCUACGAAUGAUACGAUCAAGCUACUCAUCGAGAGCCCCCCUUGAUAGUACGGCAAUCGAUCCUAUAACCCGGUCUCCCAACUACCAUCACGAGACCGGUAAAAUAGAAAACCUAUCAAGGGCAAACCUUUGCCUUGCACAUGGUCCACUUGAGCUAGAUGAUGACGAUCUUGACUCCCUCCAGUUGGAUCACCUUUCUUGGUUGUGUUGGCUCGAUGAAGACUAGUUGAUUGCUCCCCCAUACUCCACUAUGGGUGAGCCACUCUUCCGCACAUCUUCACAAGUCCAUUGUCACCACAAUGGACGGCAAGCUUGAAGCAGUUGAUCUCUUCAUGAUGCUUCACUUGAACUUGCACACCGCCACCUAACCCCACAAAGAACUCUCACGAAGAUCAUGGGUUAGUACACAAAGCGUAAUUGACAAUGCUUGCCACACCAUGGGAUCGCUUGAUCCCUCUCGGUACAUCUUCUACGCUUUCUGAGUUGAUCAAGUUGAUUCACUCUUGACUUAGUCUUGAUCAACCUUGAAUCUUUUCAACUCUCUUCAUUUGGAUGAUGUCUUGAAGAUAUACAUGAAUGAUCACACAAUCUUCUUCUCCAAGACAUGCUUGCAAUAAGCUCAACUCUCACAUGACCAAUCUUCAUUUGGAUAAUUCCUUAAUAACACCUUGGUCACCACAUAAACUCCUUGAAACCAACACAUGGACUUCAAGAAAUUCCUAUGGACAAAUCCUUCAAAUAUAACUCAAGGCAACCAUUAGUCCAUAGAGAUUGUCAUCAAUUACCAAAACCAAACAUGGGGGCACCGCAUGUUCUUUCACCUGUUAUUUAUGUUAAAAUAGGAGAUCAUUGCUAUCAUGGCUUAUGUGAUAUGGGUGCUAGUGCAAGUGCAAUACCUCAUUCCUUAUACAAAGAAAUUAUGCAUGAUAUUGCACCUGCCGAGAUAGAGGAAAUUGAUGUUACAAUUAAGCUUGCCAAUAGAGACAUUGUUUCACCAGUUGAGAUUGUUAGAGAUGUUGAAGUCUUGUGUGGAAAAGUUAAAUAUCCUGCUGAUUUUCUUGUUCUUGGUUCUCCACAAGAUAAAUUUUGUCCCAUAUAUUUGGUAGACCCUUCUUGAAUACUGUUAAUGGUAGGAUAGGCUGCAAAAAGGAUGUUGUGACUAUUGGUUUGGGGGAUAUGUCUCAUGAGUUUAAUUUUGCUAAAUUUCGUAGACAACCCCAUGAUAAAGAAUUACCUAGUAAAGAUGAAAUUAUUGGUCUUGCCUCUAUUGCCGUGCCUCCUAAUGAUCCUUUAGAACAAUAUUUGCUCGACCAUGAAAAUGAUAUGUUUAUGAAUGAAAGAAGAGAAAUAGAUGAAAUAUUCUUUAAACAGGGACCUAUUUUGAAACACAACUUGCCAGUUGAAAUCCUAGGGGAUCCUCCUCCACCCAAGGGUGAUCCCGUGUUUUAGCUUAAACCAUUACCUGAUACUCUUAAAUAUGCUUAUCUUGAUGAAAAGAAAAUAUAUCCUGUUAUUAUUAGUGCUAACCUUUCAGAGCAGGAAGAAGAGAAACUAUUGAAAACUCUGAAGAAGCACCGUGUUGCUAUUGGAUAUACUCUUGAUGAUCUUAAGGGCAUUAGUCCCACUCUAUGCCAUCACAAAAUAAAAUUGGAGAAAGACGCUAAACCGGUUGUUGAUCACCAACGACGGUUAAAUCCUAAGAUGAAAGAAGUGGUAAGAAAAGAAAUACUAAAGCUUCUGGAGGCAUGUAUAAUUUAUCCUGUUGAUGAUAGUCAGUGGGUAAGUCCUGUCGAUUGUGUCCCCAAGAAAGGAGGUAUUACUAUUGUUCCUAAUGAUAAAGAUUAAUUGAUCCCACAAAGAAUUGUUACAGGCUAUAGAAUGGUAAUUGAUUUCUGCAAAUUAAAUAAAGCUACUAAAAAGGAUCAUUACCCUUUACCUUUUAUUGAUCAAAUGCUAGAAAGAUUAUCCAAACAUACACAUUUUUGCUUUCUAGAUGGUUAUUCCGGUUUCUCUCAAAUACCUGUGCCAAAAGAGGAUCAAGAAAAGACCACUUUUACUUGCCCGUUCGGUACCUUUGCUUAUAGACGUAUGCCUUUUGGUUUAUGUAAUGCACCUGCUACCUUUCAAAGAUGUAUGACUGCUAUAUUCUCUGACUUUUGUGAAAAGAUUGUUGAGGUUUUCAUGGAUGAUUUCUCCAUUUACGAAACUUCUUUUGAUGAUUGCUUAAGCAACCUUGAUCGAGUUUUGCAGAGUGUGAAGAAACUAAUCUUGUCUUGAGUUGGGAGAAGUGCCACUUUAUCGUUAAUGAAGGUAUUGCCUUGGGGAAUAAAAUUUCUGAAAGAGGUAUUGAAGUUGAUAAAGCUAAAUUUAAUGCUAUUGAAAAGAUGCCGUGUCCUAAGGACAUUAAAGGUAUCAGAAGUUUCCUUGGUCAUGUCAGUUUUUAUAGGAGGUUCAUUAAGGACUUCUCUAAAAUUUCUAGGCCUCUGACUAAUCUCUUACAAAAAGAUGUUCCUUUUGUCUUUAAUGAUGAUUAUGUAGAAGAAUUUGAAAUACUUAAGAAAGCCUUGAUUUCUGCACCUAUUGUUCAGCCACCUGAUUGGAAUUUACCCAUUGCAAUUAUGUGUGAUGCUAGUGAUUAUGUUGUAGGUGCUGUUCUAGGACAAAGAGUUGAUAAGAAAUUAAUUUUUAUCCAAUAUGCUAGUAAAACUCUAGACAGUGCCCACAGAAAUUAUGCUACUACUGAAAAAGAAUUUUUAGCAGUUGUAUUUGCUUGUGAUAAGUUCAGACCUUAUAUUGUUGAUUCUAAAGUAACUAUUCACACUGAUCAUGCUGCUAUUAAAUACUUUAUGGAAAAGAAAGAUGCUAAACCUAGACUUAUUAGAUGGGUUCUCUUGCUACAAGAAUUUGAUUUGCAUAUUAUUGAUAGAAAGGGAGCUGAGAACCCCGUUGCAGACAACUUGUCUAGGUUAGAGAAUGUUCUUGAUGACCCACUACCUAUUGAUGAUAGCUUUCCUGAUGAACAAUUAGCUGCCAUAAAUACUUCUUGUACUGCUCCAUGGUAUGCUGAUUAUGCUAAUUACAUUGUUGCUAAAUUUAUACCACCUAGUUUCACAUACCAGCAAAAGAAAAAGUUUUUCUAUGAUUUAAGACAUUACUUAUGGGAUGACCCACGCCUUUAUAAAGAAGGAGUAGAUGGUGUUAUUAGACGUUGUGUACCUGAGCAUUAACAGGAACAUAUCCUACGCAAGUGUCACUCCGAGGCUUAUGGAGGACACCAUCCUGGAGAUAGAACAGCACAUGAGGUAUUGCAAUCCGGUUUUUAUUGGCCUACUCUCUUCAAAGAUGCCCGUAAGUUUGUCUUGUCUUGUGAUGAAUGUCAAAGAAUCGGUAAUAUUAGUAGACGUCAAGAAAUGCCUAUGAAUUAUACACUUGUUAUUGAACCAUUUGAUGUUUGGGGCUUUGAUUAUAUGGGACCGUUUCCUUCCUCUAAUGGGUAUACACAUAUUUUAGUUGCUGUUGAUUACGUUACUAAGUGGGUAGAAGCUAUUCCAACUAGUAGUGCUGAUCAUAACACCUCUAUUAAGAUGCUUAAGGAAGUUAUUUUUCCGAGGUUUGGAGUCCCUAGAUAUUUAAUGACUGAUGGUGGUUCACAUUUUAUUCAUGGUGCCUUUCGUAAAAUGCUUGGUAAGUAUGGUGUUAAUCAUAGAAUUGCAUCUCCAUAUCACCCACAGUCGAGUGGUCAAGUAGAAUUGAGUAAUAGAGAGAUCAAAUUAAUUUUGCAAAAGACUGUUAAUAGAUCUAGAAAGAAUUGGUCCAAGAAACUUGAUGAUGCAUUAUGGGCCUAUAGAAUUGCAUAUAAAAAUUCUAUGGGUAUGUCUCCGUAUAAAUUGGUUUAUGGAAAAGCAUGUCACUUACCUCUCGAACUAGAACAUAAGGCAUAUUGGGCCAUUAAAGAGCUCAACUAUGAUUUGAAACGCUGGUGAGAAGAGGUUAUUUGACAUAAGCUCACUUGAUGAAUGGAGAACCCAGGCCUAUGAGAAUGCCAAACUAUUUAAAGAAAAGGUUAAAAGAUGGCAUGAUAAAAGGAUACAAAAGCGUGAGUUUAAUGUAGGUGAUUAUGUGUUGCUAUUAAACUCUUGUUUAAGAUCUUUUGCAGGAAAACUUCUCUCUAAAUGGGAAGGUCCUUACGUUAUCGAGGAGGUCUAUCGUUCUGGUGCCAUAAAAAUCAACAACUUCGAAGGCACAAAUCCAAAGGUGGUGAACGGUAAUCCCAUAAAUGUUGAAACCAAUGUUAUUGAAACCGUAACCCCGGAGGAAUAUAUAAGGGACACUUUCCAGAACGCUUCAGACUCCAAAAAGGAAUAGGUAUGUGGUACGGUAAGUAAGCCGACUCCAAAACAGUUCUAAUGGCAAUUUUUCUUCGUUUUGGAAUAUUUAAAAAAAAUAGGAAAAUGAGAAGUAGUCUGGAAGGGACAUGAGGAAGCCACGAGAGUGGAGGGCGCGCCCUACCCCCUGGGCGCGCCCCCUGCCUCGUGGGCACCUCGUGUGCCCUCUGGACUCGGUUUUCUUGCACGUUACUUCUUUUAGUUGGUAAAAAUUCACUAUAUAAUCUCCCGAAGGUUUUGACCUCCGUAUCACGCAAAUAUCCUCUGUUUUUGUUUCGAGUUGUUCCUGCCACAGAUUAGAGCAAGAUGUCUUCUCAAGAGUCAGUCGGGGAGAGCCGGGUGUCUCAUCCGACACCGGGACCAGGAGCAAACAGUGAUGCUGACCACUUUGGGCCAUCAACGGAGGAAGAGAUGGAGGCCGACUUGAAAAGGAUAGAUGCUAUGGAGGAGGAUCAAGAAGUGACUUCUCGUUUCCAAGCCGGAUUCACGAUGGGGGAACUACAGAGCUCAGCUAUUCCAAACUCGGUUAUCCCCUCCAAUGUUAGAUUUCUCUCUUAUGAAAAUAUGAAAAAGAGUGUUACCUGUUCCCCCGCAGCUAUGCAACAUCCAUUGGUGAAAGGAGCUUUAGCCGUCACGGGUAAGCUCUGUAAGGAAAUAAUGGACCUCAAGCAGCAAGUCAAUAAGAUCGAGGAAGAGAAUCGUAUCCUGAGGGGCAUCAUCGCCAAGAAUAUCACAUCACCACCUCCAAAGAAAGAGACAUAAAUAAAUGGGUAUGGGCACUCUCCUUGGCAACUGCCAAGCUUGGGGGAGGUGCCCCGGUAUCGUAUCACCAUCACACUCCUAUCUUUAACGUUUUUCUUAGUUCGAUCCUUUUGGUAAUAUCUUGAUCUAGUAGAAAAAAGUUUUACUAUGAUUUAGUUUUAAGCUUUGCUUUAUGAUCCUUCUAUGUAAUUGAGUCCGAGAGCUAUAUAUAUAUAUAAUAAAGAUUAGUGUUGAGUCAAGGGCUUGAUUAUCUUACUAUGAUCUUGAGAGAAUAAAAGAAAUAAUAAAAAUAAAUAAAGAUAUCAUAUUGAUCUUAUGAAGAGUAAUGACUUCACAUAUAAAGAGUAUGAUGAAUAAAAGUUGUUGAGAGUUGACAAACAUUGUUUUGGUCAUCAUUGCAAUUAAUAGGAAGUAAUAAAGAAAGAGAGGUUUUCACAUAUAAAUACACUAUCUUGGACAUCUUUUAUGAUUGUGAGCACUCAUUAAAAUAUGACAUGCUAAAGAGUUGAUGUUGGACAAGGAAGACAACGUAAUGGGUUAUGUUUUCUUAUAUCCGAAAUAAAGUAUAUUGUCAUGGAUCACCCAACAUGUUGAGAUUGCCUUUCCCCCUCAUGCUAGCCAAAAUUCUUUGCACCAAGUAGAGACACUACUUGUGCUUCCAAAUAUCCUUUAACCCGGUUUUGCCAUGAGAGUCACCAUAUCUACCUAUGGAUUGAGUAAGAUCCUUCAAGUAAGUUGUCAUCGUUGCAUGCAAUAAAAAUUGCUCUCUAAAUAUGUAUGAUUUAUUAGUGUGGAGAAAAUAAGGUUUAUACGAUCUUGUGAUGUGGAAGCAAUAAAAGCGACGGACUUCAUAAUAAAGGUCCAUAUCACAAGUGGCAAUAUAAAGUGACGUUCUUUCGCAUUAAGAUUUUGUGCAUCCAACCAGAAAAACACAUGACAACCUCUUCUUCCCUCUGCGAAUGGCCUAUCUUUUAUCCUUGUCUUAUAUCUUAUACAAGAGUCAUGGUGAUCUUCACCUUUCCUUUUUAUAUUUUAUCCUUUGGCAAGCACAUUGUGUUGGAAAGAUCCUGAUAUAUAUAUAUCCAAUUGGAUGUAAGUUAGCAUGAACUAUUAUUGUUGACAUUACCCUUGAGGUAAAAGGUUGGGAGGCAACACUAUAAGCCCCUAUCUUUCUCUGUGUCCGAUUAAAACUCCAUAACCAUAAGUAUUGCGUGAGUGUUAGCAAUUGUGAAAGACUAAAUGAUAGUUGAGUAUGCGGACUUGCUGAAAAGCUCUUAUAUUGACUCUUUCCGAUGUUAUGAUAAAUUGCAAUUGCUUUAAAGGCCGAGAUCAUAGUUUGUUAGUUUUCAAUGAAGUUUCUGAUUCAUACUUGACAUUGUGAAUAGAUUGUUACUUUAGCAUAAGAAAUCAUGUGACAGUAUAUAUAUGUUGCUGUUAUAAGAAUGAUCAUGAUGCCCUCAUGUCCGUAUUUUAUUUUAUCGACACCUUUAUCUCUAAACAUGUGGACAUAUUUUUUGUUAUCGGUUUCCGCUUGAGGACAAGCGAGGUCUAAGCUUGGGGAGUUGAUACGUCCAUUUUGCAUCAUGCUUUUAUCUCGAUAUUUAUUGCAUUAUGGGUUGUUAUUACACAUUAUGUCACAAUACUUAUGCCUAUUCUCUUUCAAUUUACAAGGUUUACAUGAAGAGGGAGAAUGUCGACAACUGGAAUUCUGGGUUGGAAAAGGAGCAAAUAUUAGAGACCUAUUCUGCACAGCUCCAAAAGUCCUGAAACUUCAUGGAGGCACGUUUUGGAAUAUAUAUAAAAUAUUGGAGAAAGAAUCAACCAGAGGGGGCCCACACUCUAGCCACGAGGGUGGGGGCGCGCCCUACCCCCUGGGCGUGCCCCCCUGCCUCGUGGCCCCCUGGCAGGCCUUCGGUGCCCAUCUUCUACUAUAUGAAGUCUUUCACCCUAGAAAAAAUCAUCAGCAAGCUUUCGGGACGAAACACCGCCGCCACGAGGCGGAACCUUGGCGGAACCAAUCUAGGGCUCCGGCGGAGCUGUUCUGCUGAGGAAACAUCCCUCCAAGAGGGGGAAAUCAUCACCAUCAUCAUCACCAUCGAUCCUCUUAGCGGGAGGGGGUCAAUCUCCAUCAACAUCUUCAGCAGCACCAUCUCCUCUAAAACCCUAGUUCAUCUCUUGUAUCCAAUCUUUGUCCCAAAACCUCAGAUUGGUACCUGUGGGUUGCUAGUAGUGUUGAUUACUCGUUGUAGUUGGUGCUAGUUAGCUUAUUUGGUGGAAGAUCAUAUGUUCAGAUCCUUAAUGCAUAUUAAUACCCCUCUGAUUAUGAACAUGAAUAUGAUUUGUGAGUAGUUACGUUUGUUCCUGAGGACAUGGGAGAAGUCUUGCUAUAAGUAGUCAUGUGAAUUUGGUAUUCGUUCGAUAUUUUGAUGAGAUGUAUGUUGUCUUUCCUCUAGUGGUGUUAUGUGAACGUCGACUACAUGAGACUUCACCAUUGUUUGGGCCUAGAGAAAGGCAUUGGGAAGUAAUAAGUAGAUGAUGGGUUGCUAGAGUGACAGAAGCUUAAACCCUAGUUUAUGCGUUGCUUCGUAAGGGGCUGAUUUGGAUCCAUAUGUUUCAUGCUAUGGUUAGGUUUACCUUAAUACUUCUUCUGUAGUUGUGGAUGCUUGCAAUAGGGGUUAAUCAUAACUGGGAUGCUUGUCCAAGGAAGGGCAGUAACCAAGCAGCUGUCCACCCACAUAUCAAAUUAUCAAAGUAACGAACGCGAAUCAUAUGAGCGUGAUGAAAACUAGCUUGACGAUAAUUCCCAUAUGUUCUCGGGAGCGUUUUCCUUCAUAUAAGAGUUUGUCCAGGCUUGUCCUUUGCUACAAAAAGGAUUGGGCCAUCUUGCUGGACCUUAUUUACUUUCAUUACUUGUUACCCAUUACAAAUUACCUUAUCACAAAACUAUCUGUUACCGAUAAUUUCAGUGCUUGCAGAGAAUACCUUACUGAAAACCGCUUUUCGUUUCCUUGUGCUCCUCGUUGGGUUCGACACUCUUACUUAUCGAAAGGACUACGAUAGAUCCCCUAUAAUUGUAGGUCAUCAACCUCCCAGACAUGAAACCAAACUGAUUUUUGGUCACACUUGUCAUUCUUCUUAAGCGGUGCUCAAUGACUCUCGCCCAUAGCUUCAUCGUAUGGCCCAUUAGCUUAAUUCCACGGUAAUUAGUACAACUCUGAACAUCCCCCUUAUUCUUGAAGAUUGGUACUAACAUACUCCGUCUCCAUUCUUCUGGCAUCUUGUUUGCCCGAAAAAUAAGGUUGAAAAGCUUGGUUAGCCAUACUAUCGCUAUGUCCCAGAGACCUUUCCACACCUCAAUGGGGAUACAAUCAGGGCCCAUCUCCUUGCCUCCUUUCAUCCUUUUUAAAGCCUCCUUGACCUCAGACUCCUGGAUUCGCCGCACAAAACACAUGCAGGUCUCAUCAAAGGAGUCGUCCGGUUCAAUGGUAGAACUCUCAUUCUCCCCAUUGAACAGCUUGUCGAAGUACUCCCGCCAUCUAUGCUUAAUCUCCUCGUCCUUCAACAAGAGUUGGCCUGCUCCGUCCUUGAUGCAUUUGACUUGGCCAAUAUCCCUCGCCUUCCUCUCUCGGAUCUUGGCCAUCUUAUAGAUGUCCCUUUUGCCUUCCUUCGUGCAUAACCGUUGGUAGAGGUCCUCAUAUGCCCGACCCCUUGUUUCACUGAUGUAACACAUGCCAUAAUCAAAUUUAUCCACGUCGGUGCAAAACCCAAAGCCCCCAUCAUACAUUGUAAGAAACGCCAGUCCACCCUAUCAAAGGCUUUCGCCAAGUCCAACUUAUAUGCGCAAAAUUCCCCUCUGAAAUCUUUCAGCGUACUUAACGAAUGCAUACAUUCAAAGCUAUGAGAGCAUUGUCAGAAAUUAACCUUCCCGGAAUAAAUGCACUUUGAGUAGGCGAAAUCAUACCAUCAAGGAGCCGUCGCAGUGUGUUAACAAGGCAUUUGGAAAUAAUCUUGUAGAUAACAUUGCACAAACUGAUCGGCCUAAACUCUUUAAUAGACUGAGGAUUCUUAACUUUUGGGAUGAGAACAAUAGUUGUGUUAUUAAUCCCCUCUGGCAUAAUUCCAUAAUUAAAAAACUGCUGGACAGCUUUAACAAUAUCCUCCUUGAUCAAACCCAAUUUCGUUGGAAAAACCUUGCAGGGAAACCAUCCAGACCCGGAGCUUUUAACGGUCCCAUCUGAAAAAGCGCAUCACUAAUCUCUUGUUCCGAAAAUGGUUUGCAAAGCUCAUCAUUCAUAUCAUUAGAUACAAGGGGUUUGACCAACGAAAUAAUAUGUGACGGGUCAACGGAGUCGUCAACAGAAUAAAGAUUUUUAAAGAACGAGUUUGUUAUACCUUUCAUUUCCUCCAGAUUUUCCAUGAGACCCCCAUCAUCCUUCCUUAGUGCCGCACUUUGCUCUCCAUGAAGCCGUUCUCUGAAAAUAAUUAGUAUUACGAUCUCCUCCUCUUAUCUUAUCCAAACGAGAUAUUUGCUUCCAUAGCAUCUCUUCCUUUAUAAGCAGCUCAUCCAUCUCUUGAAGAAUUUUCUUCCUUUCCAUCACUGCAGAAUGAUCAUUCCUACUAAACAACACAUUUAGUGUUUUACGAGCCCACUCCAGUUUCUUUGGUAAAUAACCAAUAUGGACCCGACUCCACCCAUGAAGAGAUUUCAUUAAUUUGCCUACCUUAUUAGCAAUAUCUUCAACAUCAUUAAUAUUAGACUCUCUGUUCCAGCAAGCACUAAUCAGGUCGUCCAAAGCUCCACCUUCCCUCUCCCAAUAAGAUUCAUAUUUCAAUUGAUUAACAAAUCUACCCACCUGGUGAGUACCCAAAACCUCAACAAAAAUGGGACAAUGAUCAGACCUGGAGCUUACUAUGGGAUACCUUACAUCGAGGGAACAUUGAAGACCAAAGCGGGCAUGCCACCACACGAUCAAGACGCACCUUAACAUUCUUGUUUCCAUCUUGUUUGUUAUUAUACGUCCAAGGCACGCCAUGGUAACCCAAGUCAUAUAAAUUGCAAUCAGACAAAGCUUCACGAAAAUUAGCCAUUAGUCUAGUAGACCUCUUAUGAUGAGAGUAGUGCUCUUCUUGCCACAUAGCUUCGUUAAAAUCCCCCACCAUAAACCAAGCUCCAACACCAAGAGGUUUAAUCCAUCUCAAGAGAUCCCACAUAACAUACCUUUGACUCGUCUUAGGCUCACCGUAAAUGAAGGUGCACCUCCACUUUGUUCCCUCUCCCUUGUCGACGUACAAAUCAAUAAAGUGGUCACCAUAUUUGUUCAGCUCACAAGAGUACGCCUCAUCCCAAAACACAGCUAGUCCACCACCUUUACCAUGGCCGGAAAUAGUAAAAACAUUAUUCAUACCCAACCUAUAGCGCAAGCUCUCAACAUACUCUUUAUUCUUUCUUGUUUCAGAUAAAAAGAUAAUAUUGGGUAUGUGCGUCUUUGAGAGGCACACCAUGUAACAUCCCAAAAUUCUAAAUUUUUGGAAUGUUAUAAUAAAUAGAUAGAUUUGAUUGUUGUUGGAUUGUUGUGUGAUUGAUUGACUGAAAGUGAGUGAAAUUCGAAAUCUUUUGAAAGUUAAAUGAGAGGGAAUAAAAGGACUUUCCCAAACUUUCACUUUGCUUUUAUGAUCUCCAUGAAUUCAAAUUCUUUUCACCACAAAACCCUGGAGAGAAGAUGACAUGACUUCUUCCAUUUAUUUAAAUGACAAGGGGUGUUGAAGAUAUUUGAAUUUCAUUUGAAAAUAUUUCCCAUUUCUGAAACUUUAUGCAACUCAAUGAUUUUCACGAGAGAAGAUAAAAUGACUUCUUCAAAACAAAUGAAAUAUGCGUUCGGAGUUUCAAAGGAUUAAAUUCAAAGUCCCAUUGAAAUUAUUUUCAAUAUUGGAGUUAUUUGAGUUUUAUUCAAAUUAUUUUUCUCCAAAAUAAAAAUAUAUGGAAAAUAGGGUAACAUGAUUCCCUACAACAGAAAAUUGGAGAGAAAUAAAUUUGAAUUAAUUUUGGUAUUUUGAAAAUGAUUUUUAUUGGAUUUUAGUAGAGCAGUAGCACUCUUUGAUUUAUUUGAAUUUUUGUUGAUUUUAUUUAAAGCUAGAAAAAUGUCCAGUGGUUGGAAAUCUUUUUCUGAAAAUUUUGAUAUAUUAUAAGCCUAUAUAAUAUUUUAAUUUAUUUUGUUUUUCUUUUAUUUUUGCUUGACUGAAAAAAAACAAAAUUCCUUUGGACCGACCGGACCGGGCCGGCCCAGUUCGCCAGGCCACGGCCAGCCGGCCCACGCCGCUCGUCCCCGAGCCCCGGGCGGGAUUCCUCUCGCCGCACGCCGCCGCACCGCCUCGGCGUCCGUGCUCCAGCCGGACACGGCCGCCGCCUUGCCCUGCCCCCUCCUCCACGCCACCUCCUCCCCUCUCCUAUAAAACCCGAGGCCCCGGGCCCCGUUCCUCCUCCUCCGCCGCAACCGCCGCCCUCGCCGGAGCUCCCGCCCCGACGAGACCUGCCGCCGCCGCCGCGCUCCGUUCCGACUCCCCGAGCGCCGCCGACCCCCACCAACCUCACCGCCGCGCCACGCCGCCCCUUCCCCGCUACUCCGCAGUCGCCGCCGACGCCUGGAGCCGUCGCCCCGUUCAUCGCCGAGCCGCGGCCGUCGUCUUCUCCGGCGACGUCGACGCCCACCGCCGCGGUAAGCCACCGGUCACCCAGGUCCGUUCGAUCUAGGAUGGACGGCUAGGAUUAGAUCUCGUCGUUUUUUUUAUUUCCGAAUCGGUACACGUUAAAUAGAGAACGCUCGCUGUUUACCUCUUCGCAGCGAACACAUUCGUUAGUUAGCGUUCGGCAAACGAACGUUCACUAUUUAGCUUUUUCUUUUUCUGUUAUUUUCGGCCAGGGACCCAUAUGUGAAUAAUUUAUUUACAGAUUAGCCCCUGAUCUUCAAACAUCUAUAACUUUUUACUCGUUUGUGCAAAUCCAACGAAACCAACGCCCACUUCUUCGUUAUGAUCUCCUCUAACGAGAAAUCCAACUCAAACAUGUUUUUGAAAUUUUAAAAUUUGAAUUAGAUCAGAUUUGAAUUCAAACUUCUUUUGUUCAUAACUUAUGUUCUGUAACUCCGUUUGAGUUGAUUCUUUUUGCUAAUCAAAGCUCUUGACCUAAACUUUCUGAUAAGGCCAAAUUCAUGACAGAUGUGAGAUUGUUAAUAAUGGUUUACUUAAGGUGGCAACUAAAACUCACAUCUGGGUGGAUUGAGGCACCUGGAGAACCCAGUGUUGUCUGUUUGUAUAAGGACCGCCACCCAGGCUCAAAGGGAUCAUAAGAUUAUUCAUGCUAGAAACUUCCGUGUGCAGCCGCAAGCUAUUAUGGGCUCUAGCAUAGUUGAGUAAGUUGUGGGAAACCUUUCCAUGAUGGGCUAGCAGAUGUAGGGGAUUGUAGGUGUAACGCCCUAUCUAUCGGUUAAGGGGACCUCUUCGGAAAGACUGUGUCUCGGUCAUCCGUUUCUCAAACACCUUGUAGUGCGAGAAAUCCAACGGAGGCGAUCGAGUCUUGUGGGAAAAGUGCACAAACCUCUGCAGAGUGUACAAACUAAUCAUGAUUAGCCGUGUCCCCGGUUAUGGACAACUUGAGUAUCUAGUACCUGGAUUAUCAUGUGAAUCUCAUCAUCAUGUUACUUUAAUUAAUUUUGUUGGGUUAAUGAUGAUACUUAAUUGGGAUUGAGAUGCUGUCAACCAUCUCAAUGUUUCACAACCACCAUGAUAGUUAAAUAAAAUUUAUACCUUUGCAGUAGGGAAAAAUUGGGUUUUCGCAAAAACAUUAUAACCAUAGAGCUUUUCCACCAGCCAUAUAUGCAUGUAGUGAUAGCCCUUGUUCAUCAUUUCUCUAUGGUGUGAAUUUGCCAGCAUAUUCCAUGUGCUGACCCGUUUUCGGGCUGCAACGUUUCAUGUUGCAGGAUUCUUACGACGAGUAAGUGAUACGUUAGGGUUACGAUUUCUACACCCAACUUUGCCGUUGGUGUUGAUGGGAAUCCACAACCUUGUUACUUCCGCUAUUUUGGAUUGAGGUAAUAGUAUUUACGUUACUUUAUACAUGUGUUUUACCUCUGUUAUAAAUCCUCGAGUACCGUGUGUCAGCAUACCGAUCCAGGGAUGACACUUAAGCACAGAGACUUGAUCCAUUUGGGUCGGGUCGCUACAAGAUGGUAUCAGAGCACAUGUUGACUGUAGGACGUGACCCUAGAAACUGUCAAGCCCAUAGGAAGGAUUUCUCUAAAACUUUCCUUUUCAAAAAGAUCUUUUACCUCUCUUCUCUUCUGAGUUAAUUCAAAUAUUCCCUUUAAGUGAGACCAUAUCCUUUUUCCUAUUGGACCACUCGAAGAUUCGACGGAUGAGACCACUUCAAGAAGUACAAGAUAUCGGACAACCAAGACCACUACGGAAUGAAGGAGAUUCUACCGUGCAUCUGAAUAAUGAAAACUACAACAAUUGAAGACUCCGAAGACUAGGAGAAUUUGAAGGCUCUGAAGAAUUCCCAGAUUUGACCUAGUAAGCCUACCCCUAUGGAACUUGGCAGACCAUGGAAGUUGUCAAUGCCCGAGAUCAAGGUGUAUCGGAGAAAGACCGAAACAUGGAGAGUUAGAAACUCAAAGUUUUUGUUAAGAAACCCUAAGGCAGGAGAUAUCAACUAUGGAAUGAAAGCUCAUGGUAGUAACAUGGGCAUAAAUACGGAUACCCAUGGUGUUAUUACCCGUUUAUGCUAUUGUCACCGUGCGGAGUUAAGCAUGCAGAUGCAUGGAAGGAUUGGAUGGUAGAAGGCUGAUGGAGCACCUAUCAGCAAGAUGAAGUUUUAACUUUAGACCGGUGUAUCACCAGGAUCUGGAGUAUUACAUCAAGAAGUUUAGGAUGGACCUGCAGGAAGCUUUAUUGGACAAAGAAGUGUUUCGUGAAGAACUCAGAACCCAGAAACUCAAAGUAGCUAAGCUGGGAAAGCAAAACCUCGAGAUAACGGAGACUCGUCAGGAACUGAAGGACAGUAGUACCAGGGUUCAUGUCAAGGUUGAUGAAACCCAGAAGUUUGGAAUGCAACUCCAGAAUAUUCAAGGAUGUCACGAGAGACUUUGAGUCAACAGAGAUGAUCUGGCAAAAGAACUUGAGAAGGGCAAGCAUGAUUGGAAGAAGCCCAUCGGAGACAUGAACAAGACUUCAAGAUUUUGGCGACUUUGAAGAUUUUGACCUCUAGAAGACCCAACCCCUGUUAUAUGCCUACGUUAGAUGCGACGUUUGUGAGCUGUCAUUUGUUUGUUGUUUUUCCGACAGCCACAAUAAAAACCUGUCUUUUCAAGACUAUUGUUUGUAUUGUGUGUAUCCCUCUCGACCUCUCUUAUCUCACCCCAAACCCAUGGACCCAAUAGAGGAUGAAUGGAGAUGAGCUUGUAUUUUCUGGACCGAUGAGUCAAUUGGAGACGGACCGAUGGAUUCAGAACAUGGAGGAUCACAUGAAGAAUAACCCUAUAGUCGGAAAGGAUAUGACCCGGGAUGCUCUUCAAUGUUUUGAAAGAGGUGCUGCUACUUGGUGGAGGAUGUACCAAACCACCAAUGGAUGGCAAGGAGUAACCACUUGGAAAGAAUUUAAGUGGACUCUACAAAGAUCUCGUCUUGUGUCCCAGAAAUUGAAGCCUUAUGGAAAGGAUAUGAAGAAACCUUGUGCAUACAAGCCUUGUGGAGAAAUAGGACACAACCAUAAGGAACACAAGGAUGAAUGCCCUAAUUGUGAAGGAAGUCACCCAGCUGAAGAAUGCCCAACUCGGCAGAUCACUUGUAUCUUGUGUGAAGGGACUACCCACUACCCUGCCCAGUGUCACAUCUACCCCAUGGUACAAAGGACUAUCCAGCAGAAGAAAGAAGCAAUGAAAAGAGCCCUCAUGGAAAUUUUAGAGGAAUCUGUGAUGAAGGAAGAGGUGGAGGACACACCCAAAGAAGAACCAAUUAAACCCUGCACCAAGUCAUGCUAUUCAUGUGGAGAAGAAGGACACAUCUCCCAAAAUUGUCUGAAUGGGGAUUUAGUAGAAUUUCCGACAGAGGAAGUAGAGUUUGACCCACAGGAAAUAGAAGCCCUGAUUGGAACGGAAAAGUCCAGGAAGAGAAGUGGAUUGGAUGCCAGGAAAAACCCAAUUUCUACAAAGAGAGACCUGAGUCAUAUCACAUGUUUCAGGUGCAAAAAUUCAGGACACUACUUCAAUGAUUGCCCAAAAGGGAAGAUGAGGACCCCAGGAGGCUAUAUAAUCACAAGGAAACCCCGGGAUAUGUCAGAAGUAAUAUGUUUCCGUUGUGAUGAAGCAGGGCACUUUGCCAGAGAAUGCCCCAAGGAGACGGAGACUUGUGACAAAUAGUUGAGUGCAACGAGAAAUAAGUAGUAGUAGUGUGGACAUUUCUUUUAUUAGUGAGGUGUCGGAUUGAGGCAUGUAAUGAAAUGCAGGAGAUUGUAAUAAUUUGAGAAUCAAUAAAGUUAGCAUCAUUGGUAUUGAUUUGGAUUUUAUGAGUUGCUACUCUAUGAAGAAAGAUUUUGACCAUUUUCGAGGAUAUGAGAAAUAUGGUCUAUGGAAGAUUGUGCAUUUUAAGGGUGGUAGUACCCUGUGAGGAAACUUGACCCUUGGAAAAGGUAAUGAUAUUCCCCGAAGUGGAUUUCGAACAAAAUAAGUAUGAGUUUUAUCUCGAUAUGUUGGAUACCCGAAGAAUAUGAGGGUAUGGAGUAUUAUUGGAUGCAAGGGAGGUAGUCUAUGAAAUUGGAGACAGAACAUGUCUUCAUGUGUCCCCUCUGUGAGGAGUUAAACUAUUUGGAGUUAAGGGAAAGGUAGCCCCGAGAAUUGUAGGACCAUACCGAGUUUUGGAGCGUAUGGGAGAAGUGGCCAACAAGUUGGAGUCACCCGAAGGACUAUCAUGAGUUCAUGAUGUGUUUCACGUUUCCCAGUUGAAGAAGUGCCAUGCAGAGAUGGCCAUUAUUCCCCUGUAAGGACGCUUGACCCUGGAAAGGAUAAUGAUGUUCCACGAAGUGGAGUAUGGACUUCAUAAGUAUAAGUUUUUUUUCGGUAUGUGGGAUAUCCCACGAGGAUGAAGAGAUAAAUUACUAUUGAAUAUAAAGGAGGUAUGAUGUUGGAAAUAUGGAUCAAUGGAAAUUCCAUGAUGAGUCUGAGUAAUCAUGUCUUAGUUUGGUGCCAAUAGAAGGAAGGAAGACAGUACAAUUGGAUGGAUUUAAGAAUACCAGGAAGUUGGAUGUUGGAUUAAGGAUCAGUUGCCCGAUGAUAAGUUCAAGGAACUACAAGUGAUGAGAUGGGCCAUAACCCACAGGCCCAGGACCUGCCAAGAAGCAAGCACACUCUUGUUGAAGGGAAGACCCUGAAAGAAGUUACGAUUUUUAUCGACAGACGAUCUUAUAGGAGUUACGCAAAACCUGAGGGUUGGGAAGGAACGAUAGAUGUUUGUUUGGCUUGCAGAAUCUAUGGAUUUAUCCGAACUUGGUUCGUCGACAAGAGAAAUUCUGCAAUGCUUGCGAGGAUGACCGAGUGUUAGAAUGCGAGAUUCGCUAAACCAUGUACAAGGUAAUGAUUUGGGUGCGGGAUGGAUUGAUCACCAUACCGACUUACUCUUAUUGUUCGCUUUGCUACGUGGGAUGGAAAAUCUGAGUGACUUACCUAUAGUAGAGAUACGACGAUUUUAAACCUUGUUUAAACCUUAGAAUGGUAUAGGUAUUGUCCCUUGUACACGGCAGUUGUUGCCAAUCGUAGGUUAUACAGUGAGGAUCAACCAGACCCAUUUCCUGCAGGAGAAACCAUAAAUUGUUGACCACCAUGAGAUAUCGAUAGUUGUUUAGUUUUGGCGCCAGACCCGUUAGCUAAGAAGACCCAGUCAUGGAAGAACCAUACCAAGAUGAAAGGACACAGAAGAAUUGAGGAAAAGGUUAUGCCACCACCGGAAGAGCCCAGAGAAGGAAUUAUACUGAAGAUCUGAGAAGACCGACACUGUCAAGAAUAAUGGAUGGAGUAUAUGAGUUUUGACGGAACCGUAACAAUGUUUCUAAGGGUGGUAGCACCCCAGACCCCUGAGAUGAUCGAUGGAUUUUGAGAAGACCCCCAAACCCUAACCUAUUUCUUUCUAGCCUCUCCGAAUCUCGAGGACGAGAUUCAUUUUAAGGGUGGUAGGUUUGUAACAUCCCAAAAUUCUAAAUUUUUGGAAUGUUAUAAUAAAUAGAUAGAUUUGAUUGUUGUUGGAUUGUUGUGUGAUUGAUUGAUUGAAAGUGAGUGAAAUUCAUGACAGAUGUGAGAUUGUUAAUAAUGGUUUACUUAAGGUGGCAACUAAAACUCACAUCUGGGUGGAUUGAGGCACCUGGAGAACCCAGUGUUGUCUGUUUGUAUAAGGACCGCCACCCGGGCUCAAAGGGAUCAUAAGAUUAUUCAUGCUAGAAACUUCCGUGUGCAGCCGCAAGCUAUUAUGGGCUCUAGCAUAGUUGAGUAAGUUGUGGGAAACCUUUCCAUGAUGGGCUAGCAGAUGUAGGGGAUUGUAGGUGUAACGGCCUAUCUAUCGGUUAAGGGGACCUCUUCGGAAAGACUGUGUCUCGGUCAUCCGUUUCUCAAACACCUUGUAGUGCGAGAAAUCCAACGGAGGCAAUCGAGUCUUGUGGGAAAAGUGCACAAACCUCUGCAGAGUGUACAAACUAAUCAUGAUUAGCCGUGUCCCCGGUUAUGGACAACUUGAGUAUCUAGUACCUGGAUUAUCAUGUGAAUCUCGUCAUCAUGUUACUUUAAUUAAUUUUGUUGGGUUAAUGAUGGUACUUAAUUGGGAUUGAGAUGCUGUCAACCAUCUCAAUGUUUCAGAACCACCAUGAUAGUUAAAUAAAAUUUAUUCCUUUGCAGUAGGGAAAAAUUGGCUUUUCGCAAAAACAUUAUCACCAUAGAGCUUUUCCACCAGCCAUAUAUGCAUGUAGUGAUAGCCCUUGUUCAUCAUUUCUUUAUGGUGUGAAUUUGCGAGCAUAUUCCAUGUGCUGACCCGUUUUCGGGCUGCAACGUUUCAUGUUGCAGGAUUCUUACGACGAGUAAGUGAUACGUUAGGGUUACGAUUUCUACACUCAACUUUGCCGUUGGUGUUGAUGCGAAUCCACAACCUUGUUACUUCCGCUAUUUUGGAUUGAGGUAAUAGUAUUUACGUUACUUUAUACAUGUGUUUUACCUCUGUUAUAAAUCCUCGAGUACUGUGUGUGUCAGCAUACCGAUUCAGGGAUGACACUUAAGCACAGAGACUUGAUCCAUUUGGGUCGGGUCGCUACACACCAACUCUUGAACUGUACGAGGUUGACCCAAGCCUCGACAGUUCAAGAGUUGGUGUGCCUCUCAAAGACAUGUUUGACCCAAAAAUCAUACGAAAAGAUAGUUAUUGGCAACCUUGGCCUAAAAACACGGAUCUGUCAUGGUUUAUUAAGCUAGCAAUGCCUACUGACACAGUCAGUCUAUUAUUAAGCAUAAAGUAAAUACUUGACUAAUUAAAAAUUGGAUAAUGCCAUCAGUGUGUUUUGACGCAAGCUAGAAAAUAGAGUAAUUUUAAAAUUAAAUAUACAUGUAUCAAGUAACUGGUGCAGCUAGACUCGCAUGAUCUAGAUAAACAUUUAUUUUGUAACCCUAUCAUGUAAUUAAUUAAACAAAAACAUUUGCUAAGGAUUACAGAAAUUCUUAUGCGCAAACGGUUGAAUUCUUUUUAUGUUUCUAUCGAUAUUUUAUUUAAUGUUGUUUUAUCCAUCUCUUUGAUGUUUUUAUUUUUAUUUUUAAAUUUUUAUUUUGUUAUUUAUUUAUCGAAGUAUUUUUUAAUAUUUUGUUAUUUCUUUAUAUGUAUCAUCAAGACAAAAAGCUACGACUCCGUAUGCACUUGGUCACUUUCCUCUGUUGAGCCCAUAUUCCCUCACUCAUUCACUCAAAUGUGUUAGUUAAUCAGCCAUUUUUACAUGUGUUAAGUCUUACGGGAAAAAACAAACAAGUACAUGUGUUAAGUCUUAGGAAAAAAAAACAAGUGUACAUGAUGGCCACUAGAGAGUAGAGACUGGACACUAGAGCAGCAUAUAUACUAGCCACACUCCGUAGGCUCCAUCCGCUCGCCGUCAGCCAAAUAGGCUCGCCCUCGCCUCCUCUUCUCUUCUCUCGUCUCUUCCUUGCCUCCUCACAAUGCUCGCCAAAUGCUCACCAUUCACCUGCAAUGCAUCCACUGUGUGUCACCCUAGUUAACGCAAUGUUUCAUAAAUAAAAGGAAAUUUCAUGAAUUUACAAAAAUCAGCGGACCAAGGAUUGCCAUGACAGGAAAAAUUAACAAAAACUAUUUUUCUUCUUCUGAUUUUCAGUGUUUUUGCUGUUUUAUUUGAUAUUUUAUUUAUUUUUAGUUGGUUAUUUUUUCCUUUUCUCCUCUAGUGUUUAUUUUAUAUAUAAAAUAAUCAGUGAAUUCCGGUUUUUACCCUCUAUUUUGACAUUUUCCAUUAAUUACCCAAUUUAGUGGGAUUUAUCCAUUUUACCCCAUUUAGCAGAAGCGUUACCACAAUUUACCCCGUGGUGGCAAAUAUGUGGACCACUAGAGAGUGAGUAUAUAUUUCCUGAGCUGCUCUGGUGUGAUCGUAGCGAGCCUAACCUGUCGGAAGAAGCUAGCUAGGGCGAUGCAGUUCGGCGUGCAGAAAAAGCAUCAAGAAAAAACUAGCCGACGUGGCAUCCAAGUAGGUCUUACAAUUGGGACCCGUCGGUCAGAACACUCAUAAAUUUUAAGCAGGGUAAACUGUGGUAACACUUUUGUAAAUAUGGUAAAAUAGAUGAAAUUCCGCUAAAUAGGGUAGUUAGUGUAAAAAAUGUCAAAACAGUGGGUAAAAACAAGAAUUCACUCUAAAAAAUCUAAGCUAUUCUGGGUCACUUUUUGAUUAACGAAACUGAUCCAUGUUUAUUAAACGAAAUUGAUGCAUAUGCCGUGAUACGCAUGCAUGCUGAUUAAACAAAACUGAUGCAUUUCAAUCUUCGUAUGGGUGCGCGGACCUUUUUCUUUCCAUUUGCCUCACAGCUUAAUAAUAGAUUGAUGCAUCUCAAUCUUGGUAUCAUGGCGACCAAAACCAUGAAUUCCUUGCCCUUCACCCCCUCACUAAAGGUGUUGCCUCCACAUAUGCGAGGGCCACUUUGCUAGUUGAAGAAAAUAGUGGCAUAGAUUUAAAGCAAAAAACCAAAUCGAGAGCUUGUAUUUUUGAAAAUUCUUCAGUUCGUAUCAACUGCUCUUGGCAACAAUUCCACUUUCCCUGCUCUCCUCUAUUAUGGUCGCAAAGAUACGGUGCUGAUGCGAAGCUAGAGCAUAGAUGCCCUGUACGUUUUAAGAAAAAGGGUUUCUCCCGCUUUAUAGAUAAAGCAUUACCGAACAACCGAAUCCUGCCGAUACAAACACACAUACACACACACACACACACCACACCCAAGGCCAGAUACAAGGACGCUGAUAACAGCAACACUACCCCGACAAAAUCCUAGCCAACAUCAGCUGAACACAAUAAGCACUACUACGAAGAUGUCGGGGCCCUCAACCGUGGGCGGGCCACCGCGAAGAGGAGAAGUCUUGUAGGACGAACAAUGAGCUCCAAAGCGACGCCUUCGGCAAGGGAACCACACCAUUGUGUCGCCACCGCCCAAUCCAAGGAUUAGAGUUUCCCGCGGUGCACUCCGACGACAAAUGAGAAGCCGCGACGGCGCCUUCAAGAAGAGGACGACGCUAGAACGCCCGCGCCGUCGGCCUGGCAAAGCAGAACGGGUUUUCACCACCGGCAGGGGCACCCUGCCCCUCCCGAAGUCCCAUGCCACCACCGGCAGGCCUCGCGCGCACCACCACACCAUGGCGCCACCCCGACCCGACGAGCGCGUCGCUGAGUCCAAAGAAGAGGGAGGGAGCUCACCCGAGUCCGACGCAGAUGAACCGCCGCCGGAGAGACCCGCAGUUGCCGCGCGCAUAUCAGACAACCACCAGGCCACAGCAGCGCCGCUGCAGACCACCCCACUCCGAGGUCAAGACCGACCUCAGCCACCGUCCCGCGCCGCCCGCCGCCAUCCAGGAGCUUGAUCCGGGAGGGUCGGGCCGGAUCCGCGCCAGCACGGCACCGCCCAGAUCGGGAAUCCCAGCGGCCGCCACGCCACAAACGAGCCUGCCACUCGACGUCGUGUCCCCACCAGGCAACCCCGCCGCCGAACUCCGAGCUCGCCGCCGCGCCGCCGGCCCUGCCAAAGACCGGCGCCCCCACUCGACCGGCUGUCUCACGCCAGCCGUGGAGCACGAGGGCGAGGAAGAAGAAGCCCCGCCGCCGCCCCCACCGGCCGGGCUUCGCCCGACGGCGUCGCUGGGCGGCGGCGAGGGAGGAGAGCAGAGGAGAGGGAGGACGGGUCACGGCGGCUAGGGUUCCCCCCGGUCGCUCGCGAGAGCGACACGGGAGGGGAGGGGAGAGGGAUUAUAUCCCGUGAUGCCCUGUACGUUUUGUGGGGAAAUGGGUACUUGGAUUUGGAUAGAAGAAACAAUCAAGCACCUUUUCAAUCAUUAACAGAGAAACUGAAACACUAACCAUUACUGAUAAAAAAAACCUAACCAUUACAUACGUAAUACAAAAUGAAUAUAUGGAGAAAAAAAUGGAGAAAUUAAUCAAUUCGGCUGCUGCACACGGAUUAAUUGCUUGUUCAUCAUCACAAUACAAUUAGCAAGACACCUUUUGUGCCAUGACAAUGACAUACAUCAAAGCUAAGCAAGACUAGUACAUCAUCUCUUGGAUCAUCUCCUGGAUGCAGGUUUCGGAGUUCUUCAUCACGCACUCGGCCCUCACGUGGUGAAAGGAUCCACUCUCCUAGACUAGUACAGUCGUGUCGUCGCACAAGCCGAGCAGCUCAUCUAACGNNNNNNNNNNNNNNNNNNNNNNNNNNNNNNNNNNNNNNNNNNNNNNNNNNNNNNNNNNNNNNNNNNNNNNNNNNNNNNNNNNNNNNNNNNNNNNNNNNNNNNNNNNNNNNNNNNNNNNNNNNNNNNNNNNNNNNNNNNNNNNNNNNNNNNNNNNNNNNNNNNNNNNNNNNNNNNNNNNNNNNNNNNNNNNNNNNNNNNNNNNNNNNNNNNNNNNNNNNNNNNNNNNNNNNNNNNNNNNNNNNNNNNNNNNNNNNNNNNNNNNNNNNNNNNNNNNNNNNNNNNNNNNNNNNNNNNNNNNNNNNNNNNNNNNNNNNNNNNNNNNNNNNNNNNNNNNNNNNNNNNNNNNNNNNNNNNNNNNNNNNNNNNNNNNNNNNNNNNNNNNNNNNNNNNNNNNNNNNNNNNNNNNNNNNNNNNNNNNNNNNNNNNNNNNNNNNNNNNNNNNNNNNNNNNNNNNNNNNNNNNNNNNNNNNNNNNNNNNNNNNNNNNNNNNNNNNNNNNNNNNNNNNNNNNNNNNNNNNNNNNNNNNNNNNNNNNNNNNNNNNNNNNNNNNNNNNNNNNNNNNNNNNNNNNNNNNNNNNNNNNNNNNNNNNNNNNNNNNNNNNNNNNNNNNNNNNNNNNNNNNNNNNNNNNNNNNNNNNNNNNNNNNNNNNNNNNNNNNNNNNNNNNNNNNNNNNNNNNNNNNNNNNNNNNNNNNNNNNNNNNNNNNNNNNNNNNNNNNNNNNNNNNNNNNNNNNNNNNNNNNNNNNNNNNNNNNNNNNNNNNNNNNNNNNNNNNNNNNNNNNNNNNNNNNNNNNNNNNNNNNNNNNNNNNNNNNNNNNNNNNNNNNNNNNNNNNNNNNNNNNNNNNNNNNNNNNNNNNNNNNNNNNNNNNNNNNNNNNNNNNNNNNNNNNNNNNNNNNNNNNNNNNNNNNNNNNNNNNNNNNNNNNNNNNNNNNNNNNNNNNNNNNNNNNNNNNNNNNNNNNNNNNNNNNNNNNNNNNNNNNNNNNNNNNNNNNNNNNNNNNNNNNNNNNNNNNNNNNNNNNNNNNNNNNNNNNNNNNNNNNNNNNNNNNNNNNNNNNNNNNNNNNNNNNNNNNNNNNNNNNNNNNNNNNNNNNNNNNNNNNNNNNNNNNNNNNNNNNNNNNNNNNNNNNNNNNNNNNNNNNNNNNNNNNNNNNNNNNNNNNNNNNNNNNNNNNNNNNNNNNNNNNNNNNNNNNNNNNNNNNNNNNNNNNNNNNNNNNNNNNNNNNNNNNNNNNNNNNNNNNNNNNNNNNNNNNNNNNNNNNNNNNNNNNNNNNNNNNNNNNNNNNNNNNNNNNNNNNNNNNNNNNNNNNNNNNNNNNNNNNNNNNNNNNNNNNNNNNNNNNNNNNNNNNNNNNNNNNNNNNNNNNNNNNNNNNNNNNNNNNNNNNNNNNNNNNNNNNNNNNNNNNNNNNNNNNNNNNNNNNNNNNNNNNNNNNNNNNNNNNNNNNNNNNNNNNNNNNNNNNNNNNNNNNNNNNNNNNNNNNNNNNNNNNNNNNNNNNNNNNNNNNNNNNNNNNNNNNNNNNNNNNNNNNNNNNNNNNNNNNNNNNNNNNNNNNNNNNNNNNNNNNNNNNNNNNNNNNNNNNNNNNNNNNNNNNNNNNNNNNNNNNNNNNNNNNNNNNNNNNNNNNNNNNNNNNNNNNNNNNNNNNNNNNNNNNNNNNNNNNNNNNNNNNNNNNNNNNNNNNNNNNNNNNNNNNNNNNNNNNNNNNNNNNNNNNNNNNNNNNNNNNNNNNNNNNNNNNNNNNNNNNNNNNNNNNNNNNNNNNNNNNNNNNNNNNNNNNNNNNNNNNNNNNNNNNNNNNNNNNNNNNNNNNNNNNNNNNNNNNNNNNNNNNNNNNNNNNNNNNNNNNNNNNNNNNNNNNNNNNNNNNNNNNNNNNNNNNNNNNNNNNNNNNNNNNNNNNNNNNNNNNNNNNNNNNNNNNNNNNNNNNNNNNNNNNNNNNNNNNNNNNNNNNNNNNNNNNNNNNNNNNNNNNNNNNNNNNNNNNNNNNNNNNNNNNNNNNNNNAGUAAAAAAAAAGACAUGUUUUUUUUAAUAAAACGCCAUACAUUAAUUAAUUAAUAAUGUUAUUACAAUCAUUCAUUACAAAAUUCGCCACACAGGGCGGAACGCGAUUAAGAAGAAUCCCAUCAGAUUUACUUAUAAAGCUACACUUCGCAAUUUCAUGAGCCACCUUAUUGGCGUUCCGAUUAAUUUUCGCAAUUUUAAAAUUCUUAAGCAUCUUUGAUAUACUCAAGGCUUCUUUCUUUAGAUCAACGAGCGAGGACCUGUCCAGAUUCUCAUUUGCAAGGAAAGAACGGACAAAAGCACAACCAGUCUCCAAAAUAAUGGACUCGUGAAGAGUAAUACCUAUAUAAAGGCCUGCUAGGCAAGCACGCAGCUCAGCUUCAUUCACACUGUAGCACUGACCCAGAAAGUCCCACGCAGAUAUAAUAACUUCGCCAGAUGAGUUCCUAACAACCACCCCCACACUGGCCGCAGUAAUACUCUCCACAUAGCUGGCAUCGACAGUGAUCUUGAUAUAAUCUUCUGGUGGAGGUUUCCAACCCACCUGUUGUUGUGAUGUUGCGAAAACUGGUGUUGCACCUCCCAUUUUUUAUUUACCUUUGUUACUAGGAACAACCUCGACAGUGUCAUGACAGGACGUAAAAGAAGACCAAUAGUUUACCACAAAAAUUGCACAAGCAGCAAUGGAUUCCUGCCCUUUUCCAAAAAUUAAAUCAUUUCUCAUGUGCCAUGCUCGCCAGAAAAGAAACAAAACUUGCUCUCACUGUUGCAGGCUCAAAUGAUCCAACAUAAUCAAUAGCCAAUCUGGCCCCGAGAAUUUGAACCACUCUUCAUCAGGAAUAUUCCAUGAUUCUCCCAAGGCGAGUCGCAGAGCACGAGCCUUAGAACAAGUAACGAGGGCAUGAAAAGUGCUUUCAUCUUCUACUCCACAAAUAGAGCACAUACCUGAAGUAACCUGAUGGUGCUUAACUUUAUUGGUCUGGACUGCCAAGCUAUUGGUUGCGGCCCUCCAGGCAAAAAUCCUUAUCUUCUGAGGGAUAUUAGCCUUCCAAAUUAAAUUUCAGAGCCUUCUUUCUCCACAUGGAUCUCCACUAGAUUGACCCAAUUUAUCUUGACUAUCCUUCAACUUAAUUGCUAAAUUGUACGCAUUUUAACAGAAAACAUACCGUUCUUCUCAUAGUGCCACGCAAUAAAAUCCCCAUCCCCAUAAGCAUGAAUACGAAUCUUAAGAAUCUCCUCUGCGUCAUGGGGAUAGAAAAGCUACUUAAUNNNNNNNNNNAAAUUUUCAUCCCAUACCUUUCUCCCGCUCAAGAACAAAUCAGAGACCCAUCUCAAUCUAGUAUUAUGCCUUUUAGCAGAAAUUUUAAGGCCAGUGCUCCUGGAUAACCAAUUAUCCCUCCAAAUAUUAAUACUAGAUCCAUCACCCACCCGCCAAAUGACGUCAUUUUGAAGUAAUUCCAGACCAUGCAUAAUACCUUGCCAAGUGAGUGAUGCAGACUCAGGAAACACUGUAUCAAGAAUAUGUCCCUGAGGAUAAUACUUUGCCUUCAUAAGCUUAGCACACAAUGAAUCCGGAUAAACCAAUAACCUCCACGCUUGUUUGGCUAAGAGGGCUUGGUUAAAUAAUCUGAGAUCCUGAAAUCCCAUACCACCCUUACCUUUAGACCUUGUUAAUUUGUCCCAUGCUAACCAAUGUGUUUUUCUUCGAUCUUCCUCAUCUCCCCACCAAAAAUUCCUGAUAAUCUGAGUUAACUCCUCACAAAGGGAAGCCGGGAACUUAAAAAUACCCAUAGCAUGCACAGGUAGAGCUUGAAUAACUGAUUUUAUUAAGUCUUCUUUCACGCCACAAGAAGCGUAUUUCUCUAUCCAGUCAGAGAGCCUUUUCAAAACCUUCUCUUUAGUAGAUUGAAACUUACCAGCUUUCAUUCUUCCCUCAGGAACCGGAAGUCCAAGAUAUUUAUCUUCGAAACCAUCGACCGUAAUUUUUAAGAUUACCAUUAUAGCCAGUUGAUUCUCCAAACUACACUUUUUCCCAAACAUCAUGGAACACUUAUCAGGACAUAAUAACUGCCCAGUCCCUUUCUCGUACUCCGUCAAAAUAUUUUUAAUGACAACUGCUUGAUCAAUGGAGCCUUUGAAAAAUAACAUAUUGUCGUCCGCAAACAGCAAGUGAGAAAUACCUAGGGCUUGUCUAUUCAAAUGGAACUCGUGAAGAACUCCCCUGGUAGAAGCAUCUUUAAGCAGUAAAGAAAGUGCCUCGGCAACAAAUAGGAACAAAUACGCGGAUAAAGGAUCUCCCUGCCUGAGCCCCCGAGAUGGUGAAAACUUCUCCAACAAUUGUCCGUUGAAGCGCACCGCAAAUUUCACUGAUGUAACACAUGCCAUAAUCCAAUUUAUCCACGUCAGUGCAAAACCCAAAGCCCCCAUCAAACAUUGUAAGAAACGCCAGUCCACCCUAUCAAAGGCUUUCGCCAGGUCCAACUUAUAUGCGCAAAAUUCCCCUCUGAAAUCUUUCAGCGUACUUAACGAAUGCAUACAUUCAAAAGCUAUGAGAGCAUUGUCAGAAAUUAACCUUCCCGGAAUAAAUGCACUUUGAGUAGGCGAAAUCAUACCAUCAAGGAGCCGUCGCACUCUGUUAACAAGGCAUUUGGAAAUAAUCUUAUAGAUAACAUUGCACAAACUGAUCGGCCUGAACUCUUUAAUAGUCUGAGGAUUCUUAACUUUUGGGAUGAGAACAAUAGUUGUGUUAUUAAUCCCCUCUGGCAUAAUUCCAUAAUUAAAAAACUGUUGGACAGCCUUAACAAUAUCCUCCUUGAUCAAAACCAAUUUCGUUGGAAAAACCUUGCAGGGAAACCAUCCAGACCCGGAGCUUUUAACGGUCCCAUUUGAAAAAGCGCACCACUAAUCUCUUGUUCCGAAAAUGGUUUGCAAAGAUCAUCAUUCAUAUCAUCAGAUACAAGGGGUUUGACCAACGAAAUAAUAUGUGACGGGUCAACGGAGUCGUCAACAGAAUAAAGAUAUUUAAAGAACGAGUUUGUUAUACCUUUCAUUUCCUCCAGAUUUUCCGUGAGACCCCCAUCAUCCUUCCUUAGUGCCGCACUUCUUUGCUCUCCAUGAAGCCGUUCUCUGAAAAUAAUUAGUAUUACGAUCUCCUCCUCUUAUCUUAUCCAAACGAGAUCUUUGCUUCCAUAGCAUCUCUUCCUUUAUAAGCAGCUCAUCCAUCUCUUGAAGAAUUUUCUUCCUUUCCAUGACUGCAGAAUGAUCAUUCCUACUAAACAACACAUUUAGUCUUUUACGAGCCCACUCCAGUUUCUUUGGUAAAUAACCAAUAUGGACCCGACUCCACCCAUGAAGAGAUUUCAUUAAUUUGUCUAACUUAUUAGCAAUAUCUUCAAGAUCAUUAAUAUUAGACUCUCUAUUCCAGCAAGCACUAAUCAGGUUGUCCAAAGCUCCACCUUCCCUCUCCCAAUAAGAUUCAUAUUUCAACUGAUUAACAAAUCUACCCACCCGGUGAGUACCCAAAACCUCAACAAAAAUGGGACAAUGAUCAGACCUGGAGCUUAUUACAUGGGAUACCUUACAUCGAGGGAACAUUGAAGACCAAAGCGGGCAUGCCACCGCACGAUCAAGACGCACCUUAACAUUCUUGUUUCCAUCUUGUUUGUUAUUAUACGUCCAAGGCACGCCAUGAUAACCCAAGUCAUAUAAAUUGCAAUCAGACAAAGCUUCACGAAAAUUAGCCAUUAGUCUAGUAGACCUCUUAUGACGAGAGUAGUGCUCUUCUUGCCACAUAGCUUCGUUAAAAUCCCCCACCAUAAACCAAGCUCCAACACCAAGAGGUUUAAUCUGUCUCAAGAGAUCCCAGAUAACAUACCUUUGACUCGCCUUAGGGUCACCGUAAAUGAAGGUGCACCUCCACUUUGUUCCCUCUCCCUUGUCAACGUACAAAUCAAUAAAGUGGUCACCAUAUUUGUUCAGCUCACAAGAGUACGCCUCAUCCAAAAACACAGCUAGUCCACCACCUUUACCAUGGCCAGAAACAGUAAAAACAUUAUUCAUACCCAACCUACAGCGCAAGCUCUCAACAUACUCUUUAUUCUUUCUUGUUUCAGAUAAAAAGAUAAUAUUGGGUAUGUGCGUCUUUGAGAGGCACACCAACUCUUGAACUGUACGAGGUUGACCCAAGCCUCGACAGUUCAAGAGUUGGUGUGCCUCUCAAAGACAUGUUUGACCCAAAAAUCAUACGAAAAGAUAGUUAUUGGCAACCUUGGCCUAAAAACACGGAUCUGUCAUGGUUUAUUAAGCUAGCAAUGCCUACUGACACAGUCAGUCUAUUAUUAAGCAUAAAGUAAAUACUUGACUAAUUAAAAAUUGGAUAAUGCCAUCAGUGUGUUUUGACGCAAGCUAGAAAAUAGAGUAAUUUUAAAAUUAAAUAUACAUGUAUCAAGUAACUGGUGCAGCUAGACUCGCAUGAUCUAGAUAAACAUUUAUUUUGUAACCCUAUCAUGUAAUUAAUUAAACAAAAACAUUUGCUAAGGAUUACAGAAAUUCUUAUGCACAAACGGUUGAAUUCUUUUUAUGUUUCUAUCGAUAUUUUAUUUAAUGUUGUUUUAUCCAUCUCUUUGAUGUUUUUAUUUUUAUUUUGUUAUUUAUUUAUCGAAGUAUUUUUUAUAUUUUGUUAUUUCUUUAUAUGUAUCAUCAAGACAAAAAGCUACGACUCCGUAUGCACUUGGUCACUUUCCUCUGUUGAGCCCAUAUUCCCUCACUCAUUCACUCAAAUGUGUUAGUUAAUCAACCAUUUUUACAUGUGUUAAGUCUUACGGGAAAAAACAAACAAGUACAUGUGUUAAGUCUUAGGAAAAAAAACAAGUGUACAUGAUGGCCACUAGAGAGUAGAGACUGGACACUAGAGCAGCAUAUAUACUAGCCACACUCCGUAGGCUCCAUCCGCUCGCCGUCAGCCAAAUAGGCUCGCCCUCGCCUCCUCUUCUCUUCUCUCAUCUCUUCCUUGCCUCCUCACAAUGCAUUCCAAAUGCUCACCAUUCACCUGCAAUGCAUCCACUGUGUGUCACCCUAGUUAACGCAAUGUUUCAUAAAUAAAAGGAAAUUUCAUGAAUUUACAAAAAUCAGCGGACCAAGGAUUGCCAUGACAAGAAAAAUUAACAAAAACUAUUUUUCUUCUUCUGAUUUUCAGUGUUUUUGCUGUUUUAUUUGAUCUUUUAUUUAUUUUUAGUUGGUUAUUUUUUUUCCUUUUCUCCUCUAGUGUUUAUUUUAUAUAUAAAAUAAUCAGUAAAUUCCGGUUUUUACCCUCUAUUUUGACAUUUUUUCACUAAUUACCCCAUUUAGUGGGAUUUAUCCAUUUUACCCCAUUUAGCAGAAGCCUUACCACAAUUUACCCCGUGGUGGCAAAUAUGUGGACCACUAGAGAGUGAGUAUAUGUUUCCUGAGCUGCUCUGGUGUGAUCAUAGCGAGCCUAACCUGUCGGAAGAAGCUAGCUAGCGCGAUGCAGUUCGGCGUGCAGAAAAAGCAUCAAGAAAAAACCAGCCGAUGUGGCCUCCAAGUAGGUCUUACAAUUGGGACCCGUCGGUCAGAACACUCAUAAAUUUUAAACAGGGUAAACUGUGGCAACACUUUUGUAAAUAGGGUAAAAUAGAUGAAAUUCCGCUAAAUAGGGUAGUUAGUGUAAAAAUGUCAAAACAGAGGGUAAAAACAAGAAUUCACUCUAAAAAAAAUAAGCUAUUCUGGGUCACUUUUUGAUUAACGAAACUGAUCCAUGUUUAUUAAACGAAAUUGAUGCAUAUGCCGUGAUACUCAUGCAUGCUGAUUAAACAAAACUGAUGCAUUUCAAUCUUCGUAUGGGUGCGCGGACCUUUUUCUUUCCAUUUGCCUCACAGCUUAAUAAUUGAUUGAUGCAUCUCAAUCUUGGUAUCAUGGCGACCAAAACCAUGAAUUCCUUGCCCUUCACCCCCUCACUAAAGGUGUUGCCUCCACAUAUGCGAGGGCCACUUUGCUAGUUGAAGAAAAUAGUGGCGCAGAUUUAAAGAAAAAAACCAAAUUGAGAGCUUGUAUUUUUGAAAAUUCUUCAGUUCGUAUCAAUUGCUCUUGGCAACAAUUCCACUUUCCCUACUCUCCUCUGUUAUGGUCGCAAAGAUAGGGUGCUGAUGCGAAGCUAGAGCAUAGAUGCCCUAUACGUUUUAAGAAAAAGGGUUUCCCCCGCUUUAUAGAUAAAGCAUUACCGAACAACCGAAUCCUGCCGACACAAACAAACACACACACACACACACACACACACACACACCACACCCAAGGCCGGAUGCAAGGACGCUGAUAACAGCAACACUACCCCGACAAAAUCCUAGCCAACAUCAGAUGAACACAAUAAGCACUACUAGGAAGAUGUCGGGGCCCUCAACCGUGAGCAGGCCACCGCGAAGAGGAGAAGUCGUGUAGGACGAACAAUGAGCUCCAAAGCGACGCCUUCAGCAAGGGAACGACACCAUUGUGUCGACACCGCCAAAUCCAAGGAUUAGAGUUUCCCCCGGAGCACUCCGACGACAAAUGAGAUGCCGCGACGGCGCCUUCAAGAAGAUGACGACGCUAGAACGCCGGUGCCGUCGGCCUGGCAAAGCAGAACGGGUUUUCACCACCGGCAGGGGCACCCUGCCCCUUCCCGAAGUCCCAUGCCGCCACCGGCAGGCCUCGCGUGCACCACCACGCCAUGGCGCCACCCCGACCCGACGAGCGCGUCGCUGAGUCCAAAGAAGAGGGAGGGAGCUCACCCGAGUCCGACGCAGACGAACCGCCGACGGAGAGACCCGCAGUUGCCGCGCGCAUAUCAGACAACCACCAGGCCACAGCAGCGCCGCUGCAGACCACCCCACUCCGAGGUCAAGACCGACCUCAGCCACCGUCCCGCGCCGCCCGCGGCCAUCCAGGAGCUUGAUCCGGGAGGGUCGGGCCGGAUCCGCGCCAGCACGGCACCGCCCAGAUCGGGAAUCCCAGCGGCCGCCACGCCACAAACGAGCCUGCCACUCGACGUCGUGUCCCCACCAGGCAACCCCGCCGCCGAACUCCGAGCACGCCGCCGCGCCGCCGGCCCUGCCAAAGACCGGCGCCCCCACUCGACCGGCUGUCUCACGCCAGCCGUGGAGCACGAGGGCGAGGAAGAAGAGGCCCCGCCGCCGCCCCCACCGGUCGGGCUUCGCCCGACGGCGUCGCUGGGCGGCGGCGAGGGAGGAGAGCAGAGGAGAGGGAGGACGGGUCACGGCGGCUAGGGUUCCCCCCGGUCGCUCGCGAGAGCGACACGGGAGGGGAGGGGAGAGGGAUUAUAUCCCGUGAUGCCCUGUACGUUUUGUGGGGAAAUGGGUACUUGGAUUUGGAUAGAAGAAACAAUCAAGCACCUUUUCAAUCAUUAACAGAGAAACUGAAACACUAACCAUUACUGAUAAAAAAAACCUAACCAUUACAUACGUAAUACAAAAUGAAUAUAUGGAGAAAAAAAUGGAGAAAUUAAUCAAUUCGGCUGCUGCACACGGAUUAAUUGCUUGUUCAUCAUCACAAUACAAUUAGCAAGACACCUUUUGUGCCAUGACAAUGACAUACAUCAAAGCUAAGCAAGACUAGUACAUCAUCUCUUGGAUCAUCUCCUGGAUGCAGGUUUCGGAGUUCUUCAUCACGCACUCGGCCCUCACGUGGUGAAAGGAUCCACUCUCCUAGACUAGUACAGUCGUGUCGUCGCACAAGCCGAGCAGCUCAUCUAACGCGCACCGAAAGGCGUCGUCUUCAUCCUCUGCAGCGCUAGUGCCUUCUUGGACUUCGCCGUCGAGUUUGCCGGGCAAGAACCCCUGCGCCACCACAGCGUCAUGGAGCUCGGGAAAAUCUUGAAGCAUGUCGUCGGUGAAGAACCCGCCUGGAUCGACGCUGCCGUCGUCCACAGCUCCGGACCCGGGUUGUUGGACGAUCGGCGGUUCCUGGCGGCGUGGGGUUUGGGGACGUGGAGCAUCCGGGUGCUGGACGUCGGCGGCCUUCCUUUUCCUGGAACCGGGAGCAUUGAUUACCUCGUGGUAUGUGGUCUCGCUCCUGUGACGAGACACGCAGACCUUGCAGAGCACCAAGCCGUCUUGCUUGUCAUCGCUGUACUCGUUCAUGCACCAGCCGAUCCUGAUCCUCUCUUUCUCUCCCGGCAACUUCUUGACGUAGCUGAGGUUUCGUCUAUGGCCUACGAGUUUACCUUGGUUGUCUAGCACGGGGAUCCCACCCUUCUCCGAGUGCCAGUAGUAACCCUCGCCGGCGUCGGCCACGCCACGCUGUCGCCUCCCGCCACCGCGGCCGGCUUUGGUCUGGUGAUGACGGGCAGGGGUGAAGAAGUACCAGACGCCCCCUUUCCCGUCGCCCUUGUCCGUUCCUUGCGCGUGUUGAUACAUCUCGACGAGGUCGCCGGGGGCGGCGGAGUAGGCGUCGAACUCGUGGAUGAGGCGGCUGGCGAAGAAGGCGUCGGCGAUCCGUGGGCGGAGGAACUUGGUGAUCAGCUCGUGCUCGGCUGGGUCGAAGGCGUAGCCGGCGGGAGGAUCCAGCUUGCCGUCGGCCAUCGCAGAGCUAGCUACGCACGUACGAGAUGGAUCAAGUAGCUAGGUAUGUACGUGUAACCCUGAACUCGCUAGCUGCUUGCCAUCUGGGUACCUAGCUUAUAUAGAUGGAUCGACAGCGAGCCCGCCCGGGAUUCAGUUUCCUUGACCGGUCAUACGUACGUGUCCUAAGCAAUCCGUACAUGAAAUGGAUUAGUACAGCAAUCCGUACAUAAAAUGGACUAGUGCAGCACGCCCCAUGAUGCUCCGUCGCUGCACCGACCUUGCUCCAUUGCAGCUCGCGUCGCUGCACCUUGCCGCUCGGUAAUACUCAGCAUGCUUCGACGGACAUGGUGAUGCUACGAGGCGUGCUACAUCGACCGCCGCGAUGGCGCAACAUCAUCCGGACUGCUUUGAUGAAGCUGCGACAGCCACGGCGUUGACAUUUCGACAUGCUUCAAACACCCAUGGUGUGCUUUGACGGCCACGACAAUGCUUCAACGGUAGACUUCGACGGUCGCGGUGAUGUUACGGGACGUGCUUCGACGACCAUGGCAAUGAUGCGGCAACAUGCUUCUAACGUCGGUGUUGUACUUGGAUGGCAGCGAUGAUGUUGUGACGACAUGGUUGGACAGCCACGACGUCCUGCUUCGACAACCACGAUGAUGUUGCGGCAACGUGUUCCACGGCCACGAAAGUGUUACAAUGAUGGGCAUGGCUGCACCAAUGAUAAUGCAACGACCACAGCGGUGCGGCAACGGCGACCCGGCUGCUUCGAUGAUGCUAUGAUGCCAUGCUUCGAAGAAGGUGGUGGCGUCAAUGGUGCUACUCUAAACAUUAGCAACCUUCACUUUACCACAAUCAGCAUCGAGAAAGAUGGUGUUCUAGUAUUUGUACCAUCACAUGUGUAGUUACCUAGCAAAAUCAUUGCAUAUGGAGUACGUUAAAAAAGAUCAUUUAAAUAGGCAGUCGUCCGAACGCUACCACAUGUCACGAACUUUGGAUACUUUUGCGUGUGGAAGACAGAGCAUUCGCUACCUUCCUGUGUGGGAGAUAGUGCUCGCGCCACACGAUCAUGUGGGAUCGGACGGCUCCGGACGUGAUUGAUAAAGACAAGAAAUCAUCCGACUUAUUUAAAACAUUUUCCCUCGCCGAAUGCUCACCUUUUACUCGCAAUGGCCACUUAUCGGUUAGCCUGGUUGACGCAUUUCUGUUUGUUUGUGACUUUGCAGUGUUUUUGCUGCUUUAUUUGUUCUUUUAUAUAUUUUUACUGGCCUUUCUUAUUUUAUCAACUUAUGAUUAUUUUAUUAUAUUAUAAAAAAUAUGUCUGUUUUAUUCUAGGUAAUCCUUUUUAUGCACUAUUGACAGAAAUAGUUCGUAUUAAAAAGGUGCUUACUCAUUUCAAAAUAUAUAAUACAUUUGAAUUUUUUUAUAUAUUCUAAAUAAAAUGUUCUUAUACUUUUGAAUAUGAUUUACCUAUUUCAAAAAAUAUUCAUUUAGUUCGUAAAAAAAUCUUUUAUUCAAAACGAAAUUACAUGUAUUCGCAAAGAGUGUUCACGUAUUUCUAAAAAUGUCCAUGUAAUUAUUAAAGUAUUCUCACAUUUAAAAAUAUAUUCACAUAAGUUUGGAAAAUAAUCAUUUACGACAUAAAAUAGAAAAUACACUGGAAAUUUUUUAUCGCGUAUUAAAAAAAUACUCAUCAUAUAUUAAAUAAAUUUCAUUCUGUUAAAAAAUAUUCAUCAUUUAUUUAAAAUACAUACGUUGUGUUUUUAAAAGGUCAUGUGUAAUGUUAUUUUCUAAUUGCAUAAGUAAAGUAAGUAAGAAGAAAAUCACAGAAAAUAAAGAAAGAGAAAAAUGUGGGAAAAGAACAACAAAUAAUAGGGAAAUGAAAAAAAAGAGGCAAAGAUAAUUAAAAGAAUUCAAGAAAAAAUUUGAUAAAAAAACCCACAAGAAACUAGUCGAAAACAAGAAAAAAGAUAAUAUCAUGAACAAAAAUCAGGCAGAAACACGAAGAAGAGAGCCAUGUGUUCAACGAACCUAAAAGUAAUCAGCACAUCGCAUGUGCGUAUCGGGCCAUCAUCCUUCCUUAGUGCCGCACUUUGCUCUCCAUGAAGCCGUUCUCUGAAAAUAAUUAGUAUUACGAUCUCCUCCUCUUAUCUUAUCCAAACGAGAUCUUUGCUUCCAUAGCAUCUCUUCCUUUAUAAGAAGCCCAUCCAUCUCUUGAAGAAUUUUCUUCCUUUCCAUCACUGCAGAAUGAUCAUUCCUACUAAACAACACAUUUAGUCUUUUACGAGCCCACUCCAGUUUCUUUGGUAAAUAACCAAUAUGGACCCGACUCCACCCAUGAAGAGAUUUCAUUAAUUUGUCUAACUUAUUAGCAAUAUCUUCAAGAUCAUUAAUAUUAGACUCUCUAUUCCAGCAAGCACUAAUCAGGUCGUCCAAAGCUCCACCUUCCCUCUCCCAAUAUGAUUCAUAUUUCAACUGAUUAACAAAUCUACCCACCCGGUGAGUACCCAAAACCUCAACAAAAAUGGGACAAUGAUCAGACCUGGAGCUUAUUAUAUCGGAUACCUUACAUCGAGGGAACAUUGAAGACCAAAGCGGGCAUGCCACCGCACGAUCAAGACACACCUUAACAUUCUUGUUUCCAUCUUGUUUGUUAUUAUACGUCCAAGGCACGCCAUGAUAACCCAAGUCAUAUAAAUUGCAAUCAGACAAAGCUUCACGAAAAUUAGCCAUUAGUCUAGUAGACCUCUUAUGACGAGAGUAGUGCUCUUCUUGCCACAUAGCUUCGUUAAAAUCCCCCACCAUAAACCAAGCUCCAACACCAAGAGGUUUAAUCCGUCUCAAGAGAUCCCAGAUAACAUACCUUUGACUCGCCUUAGGGUCACCGUAAAUGAAGGUGCACCUCCACUUUGUUCCCUCUCCCUUGUCGACGUACAAAUCAGUAAAGUGGUCACCAUAUUUGUUCAGCUCACAAGAGUACGCCUCAUCCCAAAACACAGCUAGUCCACCACCUUUACCAUGGCCAGAAAUAGUAAAAACAUUAUUCAUACCCAACCUACAGCGCAAGCUCUCAACAUACUCUUUAUUCUUUUCUUGUUUCAGAUAAAAAGAUAAUAUUGGGUAUGUGCGUCUUUGAGAGGCACACCAACUCUUGAACUGUACGAGGCUCAACCUCGUACAGUUCAAGAGUUGGUGUGCCUCUCAAAGACAUGUUUGACCCAAAAAUCAUACGAAAAGAUAGUUAUUGGCAACCUUGGCCUAAAAACAUGGAUCUGUCAUGGUUUAUUAAGCUAGCAAUGCCUACUGACACAGUCAGUCUAUUAUUAAGCAUAAAGUAAAUACUUGACUAAUUAAAAAUUGGAUAAUGCCAUCAGUGUGUUUUGACGCAAGCUAGAAAAUAGAGUAAUUUUAAAAUUAAAUAUACAUGUAUCAAGUAACUGGUGCAGCUAGACUCGCAUGAUCUAGAUAAACAUUUAUUUUGUAACCCUAUCAUGUAAUUAAUUAAACAAAAACAUUUGCUAAGGAUUACAGAAAUUCUUAUGCACAAACGGUUGAAUUCUUUUUAUGUUUCUAUCGAUAUUUUAUUUAAUGUUGUUUUAUCUAUCUCUUUGAUGUUUUUAUUUUCAUUUUUAAAAUUUUAUUUUGUUAUUUAUUUAUCGAAGUAUUUUUUAUAUUUUGUUAUUUCUUUAUAUGUAUCAUCAAGACAAAAAGCUACGACUCCGUAUGCACUUGGUCACUUUCCUCUGUUGAGCCCAUAUUCCCUCACUCAUUCACUCAAAUGUGUUAGUUAAUUAGCCAUUUUUACAUGUGUUAAGUCUUACGGGAAAAAACAAACAAGUACAUGUGUUAAGUCUUAGGAAAAAAAACAAGUGUACAUGAUGGCCACUAGAGAGUAGAGACUGGACACUAGAGCAGCAUAUAUACUAGCCACACUCCGUAGGCUCCAUCCGCUCGCCGUCAGCCAAAUAGGCUCGCCCUCGCCUCCUCUUCUCUUCUCUCAUCUCUUCCUUGCCUCCUCACAAUGCAUUCCAAAUGCUCACCAUUCACCUGCAAUGCAUCCACUGUGUGUCACCCUAGUUAACGCAAUAUUUCAUAAAUAAAAGGAAAUUUCAUGAAUUUACAAAAAUCAGCGGACCAAGGAUUGCCAUGACAAGAAAAAUUAACAAAAACUAUUUUUCUUCUUCUGAUUUUCAGUGUUUUUGCUGUUUUAUUUGAUCUUUUAUUUAUUUUUAGUUGGUUAUUUUUUCCUUUUCUCCUCUAGUGUUUAUUUUAUAUAUAAAAUAAUCAGUGAAUUCCAGUUUUUACCCUCUAUUUUGAAAAUUUUCCAAUAAUUACCCCAUUUAGUGGGAUUUAUCCAUUUUACCCCAUUUAGCAGAAGCGUUACCACAAUUUACCCCGUGGUGGCAAAUAUGUGGACCACUAGAGAGUGAGUAUAUGUUUCUUGAGCUGCUCUGAUGCGAUCAUAGCGAGCCUAACCUGUCGGAAGAAGCUAGCUAGGGCGAUGCAGUUUGGCGUGCAGAAAAAGCAUCAAGAAAAAACCAGCCGAUCUGGCAUCCAAGUAGGUCUUACAAUUGGGACCCGUCGGUCAGAACACUCAUAAAUUUUAAACAGGGUAAACUGUGGCAACACUUUUGUAAAUAGGGUAAAAUAGAUGAAAUUCCGCUAAAUAGGGUAGUUAGUGUAAAAAUGUCAAAACAGAGGGUAAAAACAAGAAUUCACUCUAAAAAAUCUAAGCUAUUCUGGGUCACUUUUUGAUUAACGAAACUGAUCCAUGUUUAUUAAACGAAAUUGAUGCAUAUGCCGUGAUACCCAUGCAUGCUGAUUAAACAAAACUGAUGCAUUUCAAUCUUUGUAUGGGUGCGCGGACCUUUUUCUUUCCAUUUGCCUCACAGCUUAAUAAUUGAUUGAUGCAUCUCAAUCUUGGUAUCAUGGCGACCAAAACCAUGAAUUCCUUGCCCUUCACCCCCUCACUAAAGGUGUUGCCUCCACAUAUGCGAGGGCCACUUUGCUAGUUGAAGAAAAUAGUGGCGGAGAUUUAAAGAAAAAAACCAAAUCGAGAGCUUGUAUUUUUGAAAAUUCUUCAGUUCGUCUCAAUUGCUCUUGGCAACAAUUCCACUUUCCCUACUCUCCUCUGUUAUGGUCGCAAAGAUAGGGUGCUGAUGCAAAGCUAGAGCAUAGAUGCCCUGUACGUUUUAAGAAAAAGGGUUUCCCCCGCUUUAUAGAUAAAGCAUUACCGAACAACCGAAUCCUGCCGAUACAAACACACACACACACACACACACACACACACCACACCCAAGGCCGGAUACAAGGACGCUGAUAACAGCAACACUACCCCGACAAAAUCCUAGCCAACAUCAGAUGAACACAAUAAGCACUACUACGAAGAUGUCGGGGCCCUCAACCGUGAGCAGGCCACCGCGAAGAGGAGAAGUCGUGUAGGACGAACAAUGAGCUCCAAAGCGACGCCUUCAGCAAGGGAACGACACCAUUGUGUCGCCACCGCCAAAUCCAAGGAUUAGAGUUUCCCCCGGAGCACUCCGACGACAAAUGAGAUGCCGCGACGGCGCCUUCAAGAAGAGGACGACGCUAGAACGCCGGCGCCGUCGGCCUGGCAAAGCAGAACGGGUUUUCACCACCGGCAGGGGCACCCUGCCCCUUCCCGAAGUCCCAUGCCGCCACCGGCAGGCCUCGCGCGCACCACCACACCAUGGCGCCACCCCGACCCGACGAGCGCGUCGCUGAGUCCAAAGAAGAGGGAGGGAGCUCACCCGAGUCCGACGCAGACGAACCGCCGCCGGAGAGACCCGCAGUUGCCGCGCGCAUAUCAGACAACCACCGGGCCACAGCAGCGCCGCUGCAGACCACCCCACUCCGAGGUCAAGCCGACCUCAGCCACCGUCCCGCGCUGCCCGCCGCCAUCUAGGAGCCGGAUCCGGGAGGGUCGGGCCGGAUCCGCGCCAGCACGCCACCGCCCAGAUCGGGAAUCCCAGCGGCCGCCACGCCACAAACGAGCCUGCCACUCGACGUCUUGUCCCCACCAGGCAACCCCACCGCCGAACUCCGAGCACGCCGCCGCGCCGCCGGCCCUGCCAAAGACCGGCGCCCCCACUCGACCGGCUGUCUCACGCCAGCCGUGGAGCACGAGGGCGAGGAAGAAGAGGCCCCGCCGCCGCCCCCACCGGCCGGGCUUCGCCCGACGGCGUCGCUGGGCGGCGGCGAGGGAGGAGAGCAGAGGAGAGGGAGGACGGGUCACGGCGGCUAGGGUUCCCCCCGGUCGCUCGCGAGAGCGACACGGGAGGGGAGGGGAGAGGGAUUAUAUCCCGUGAUGCCCUGUACGUUUUGUGGGGAAAUGGGUACUUGGAUUUGGAUAGAAGAAACAAUCAAGCACCUUUUCAAUCAUUAACAGAGAAACUGAAACACUAACCAUUACUGAUAAAAAAAACCUAACCAUUACAUACGUAAUACAAAAUGAAUAUAUGGAGAAAAAAAUGGAGAAAUUAAUCAAUUCGGCUGCUGCACACGGAUUAAUUGCUUGUUCAUCAUCACAAUACAAUUAGCAAGACACCUUUUGUGCCAUGACAAUGACAUACAUCAAAGCUAAGCAAGACUAGUACAUCAUCUCUUGGAUCAUCUCCUGGAUGCAGGUUUCGGAGUUCUUCAUCACGCACUCGGCCCUCACGUGGUGAAAGGAUCCACUCUCCUAGACUAGUACAGUCGUGUCGUCGCACAAGCCGAGCAGCUCAUCUAACGCGCACCGAAAGGCGUCGUCUUCAUCCUCUGCAGCGCUAGUGCCUUCUUGGACUUCGCCGUCGAGUUUGCCGGGCAAGAACCCCUGCGCCACCACAGCGUCAUGGAGCUCGGGACAAUCUUGAAGCAUGUCGUCGGUGAAGAACCCGCCUGGAUCGACGCUGCCGUCGUCCACAGCUCCGGACCCGGGUUGUUGGACGAUCGGCGGUUCCUGGCGGCGUGGGGUUUGGGGACGUGGAGCAUCCGGGUGCUGGACGUCGGCGGCCUUCCUUUUCCUGGAACCGGGAGCAUUGAUUACCUCGUGGUAUGUGGUCUCGCUCCUGUGACGAGACACGCAGACCUUGCAGAGCACCAAGCCGUCUUGCUUGUCAUCGCUGUACUCGUUCAUGCACCAGCCGAUCCUGAUCCUCUCUUUCUCUCCCGGCAACUUCUUGACGUAGCUGAGGUUUCGUCUAUGGCCUACGAGUUUACCUUGGUUGUCUAGCACGGGGAUCCCACCCUUCUCCGAGUGCCAGUAGUAACCCUCGCCGGCGUCGGCCACGCCACGCUGUCGCCUCCCGCCACCGCGGCCGACUUUGGUCUGGUGACGACGGGCAGGGGUGAAGAAGUACCAGACGCCCCCUUUCCCGUCGCCCUUGUCCGUUCCUUGCGCGUGUUGAUACAUCUCGACGAGGUCGCCGGGGGCGGCGGAGUAGGCGUCGAACUCGUGGAUGAGGCGGCUGGCGAAGAAGGCGUCGGCGAUCCGUGGGCGGAGGAACUUGGUGAUCAGCUCGUGCUCGGCUGGGUCGAAGGCGUAGCCGGCGGGAGGAUCCAGCUUGCCGUCGGCCAUCGCAGAGCUAGCUACGCACGUACGAGAUGGAUCAAGUAGCUAGGUAUGUACGUGUAACCCUGAACUCGCUAGCUGCUUGCCAUCUGGGUACCUAGCUUAUAUAGAUGGAUCGACAGCGAGCCCGCCCGGGAUUCAGUUUCCUUGACCGGUCAUACGUACGUGUCCUAAGCAAUCCGUACAUGAAAUGGAUUAGUACAGCAAUCCGUACAUAAAAUGGACUAGUGCAGCACGCCCCAUGAUGCUCCGUCGCUGCACCGACCUUGCUCCAUUGCAGCUCGCGUCGCUGCACCUUGCCGCUCGGUAAUACUCAGCAUGCUUCGACGGACAUGGUGAUGCUACGAGGCGUGCUACAUCGACCGCCGCGAUGGCGCAACAUCAUCCGGACUGCUUUGAUGAAGCUGCGACAGCCGCGGCGUUGACAUGUCGACAUGCUUCAAACACCCAUGGUGUGCUUUGACGGCCACGACAAUGCUUGAACGGCAGACUUCGACGGUCGCGGUGAUGCUACGGGACGUGCUUUGACGACCAUGGCAAUGGUGCGGCAACAUGCUUCUAACGUCGGUGCUGUACUUGGAUGGCAGCGAUGAUGUUGUGACGACAUGGUUGAACAGCCACGACGUCCUGCUUCGACAACCACGAUGAUGUUGCGGCAACGUGUUCCACGGCCACGAAAGUGUUACAAUGAUGGGCAUGGCUGCACCAACGAUAAUGCAACGACCACAGCGGUGCGGCAACGGCGACCGGGCUGCUUCGAUGAUGCUAUGAUGCCAUGCUUCGAAAAAGGUGGUGGCGUCAAUGGUGCUACUCUAAACAUUAGCAACCUUCACUCGACCACAAUCAGCAUCGAGAAAGAUGGUGUUCUAGUAUUUGUACCAUCACAUGUGUAGUUACCUAGCAAAAUCACUGCAUAUGGAGUACGUUAAAAAAGAUCAUUUAAAUAGGUAGUCGUCCGAACGCUACCACAUGUCACGAACUUUGAAUACUUUUGCGUGUGGAAGACAGAGCAUUCGCUACCUUCCUGUGUGGGAGAUAGCGCUCGUGCCACACGAUCAUGUGGGAUCGGACGGCUCCGGACGUGAUUGAUAAAGACAAGAAAUCAUCCGACUUAUUUAAAACAUUUUCCCUCGCCGAAUGCUCACCUUUUACUCGCAAUGGCCACUUGUCGGUUAGCCUGGUUGACGCAUUUCUGUUUGUUUGUGACUUUGCAGUGUUUUUGCUGCUUUAUUUGUUCUUUUAUAUAUUUUUACUGGCCUUUCUUAUUUUAUCAACUUAUGAUUAUUUUAUUAUAUUAUAAAAAAUAUGUCUGUUUUAUUCUAGGUAAUCCUUUUUAUUUGCACUAUUGACAGAAAUAGUUCGUAUUAAAAAGGUCCUUACUCAUUUCAAAAUAUAUAAUACAUUUGAAUUUUUUUUAUAUAUUCUAAAUAAAAUAUUCUUGUACUUUUGAAUAUGAUUUACCUAUUUCGAAAAAUAUUCAUUUAGUUCGUAAAAAAAUCUUUUAUUCAAAACGAAAUUACAUGUAUUCGCAAAGAGUGUUCACGUAUUUCUAAAAAUGUCCAUGUAAUUAUUAAAGUAUUCUCACAUUUAAAAAUAUAUUCACAUAACUUUGGAAAAUAAUCAUUUACGACAUAAAAUAGAAAAUACACUGGAAAUUUUUUAUCGCGUAUUAAAAAAAUAUUCAUCAUAUAUUAAAUAAAUUUCAUUCUGUUAAAAAAUAUUCAUCAUUUAUUUAAAAUACAUACGUUGUGUUUUUAAAAGGUCAUGUGUAAUGUUAUUUUCUAAUUGCAUAAGUAAAGUAAGUAAGAAGAAAAUCACAGAAAAUAAAGAAAGAGAAACAUGUGGGAAAAGAACAACAAAUAAUAGGGAAAUGAAAAAAAGAGGCAAAGAUAAUUAAAAGAGUUCAAGAAAAAAAUUGAUAAAAANNNNNNNNNNAGUAAAAAAAAAGACAUGUUUUUUUUAAUAAAACGCCAUACAUUAAUUAAUUAAUAAUGUUAUUACAAUCAUUCAUUACAAAAUUCGCCACACAGGGCGGAACGCGAUUAAGAAGAAUCCCAUCAGAUUUACUUAUAAAGCUACACUUCGCAAUUUCAUGAGCCACCUUAUUGGCGUUCCGAUUAAUUUUCGCAAUUUUAAAAUUCUUAAGCAUCUUUGAUAUACUCAAGGCUUCUUUCUUUAGAUCAACGAGCGAGGACCUGUCCAGAUUCUCAUUUGCAAGGAAAGAACGGACAAAAGCACAACCAGUCUCCAAAAUAAUGGACUCGUGAAGAGUAAUACCUAUAUAAAGGCCUGCUAGGCAAGCACGCAGCUCAGCUUCAUUCACACUGUAGCACUGACCCAGAAAGUCCCACGCAGAUAUAAUAACUUCGCCAGAUGAGUUCCUAACAACCACCCCCACACUGGCCGCAGUAAUACUCUCCACAUAGCUGGCAUCGACAGUGAUCUUGAUAUAAUCUUCUGGUGGAGGUUUCCAACCCACCUGUUGUUGUGAUGUUGCGAAAACUGGUGUUGCACCUCCCAUUUUUUAUUUACCUUUGUUACUAGGAACAACCUCGACAGUGUCAUGACAGGACGUAAAAGAAGACCAAUAGUUUACCACAAAAAUUGCACAAGCAGCAAUGGAUUCCUGCCCUUUUCCAAAAAUUAAAUCAUUUCUCAUGUGCCAUGCUCGCCAGAAAAGAAACAAAACUUGCUCUCACUGUUGCAGGCUCAAAUGAUCCAACAUAAUCAAUAGCCAAUCUGGCCCCGAGAAUUUGAACCACUCUUCAUCAGGAAUAUUCCAUGAUUCUCCCAAGGCGAGUCGCAGAGCACGAGCCUUAGAACAAGUAACGAGGGCAUGAAAAGUGCUUUCAUCUUCUACUCCACAAAUAGAGCACAUACCUGAAGUAACCUGAUGGUGCUUAACUUUAUUGGUCUGGACUGCCAAGCUAUUGGUUGCGGCCCUCCAGGCAAAAAUCCUUAUCUUCUGAGGGAUAUUAGCCUUCCAAAUUAAAUUUCAGAGCCUUCUUUCUCCACAUGGAUCUCCACUAGAUUGACCCAAUUUAUCUUGACUAUCCUUCAACUUAAUUGCUAAAUUGUACGCAUUUUAACAGAAAACAUACCGUUCUUCUCAUAGUGCCACGCAAUAAAAUCCCCAUCCCCAUAAGCAUGAAUACGAAUCUUAAGAAUCUCCUCUGCGUCAUGGGGAUAGAAAAGCUACUUAAUNNNNNNNNNNAAAUUUUCAUCCCAUACCUUUCUCCCGCUCAAGAACAAAUCAGAGACCCAUCUCAAUCUAGUAUUAUGCCUUUUAGCAGAAAUUUUAAGGCCAGUGCUCCUGGAUAACCAAUUAUCCCUCCAAAUAUUAAUACUAGAUCCAUCACCCACCCGCCAAAUGACGUCAUUUUGAAGUAAUUCCAGACCAUGCAUAAUACCUUGCCAAGUGAGUGAUGCAGACUCAGGAAACACUGUAUCAAGAAUAUGUCCCUGAGGAUAAUACUUUGCCUUCAUAAGCUUAGCACACAAUGAAUCCGGAUAAACCAAUAACCUCCACGCUUGUUUGGCUAAGAGGGCUUGGUUAAAUAAUCUGAGAUCCUGAAAUCCCAUACCACCCUUACCUUUAGACCUUGUUAAUUUGUCCCAUGCUAACCAAUGUGUUUUUCUUCGAUCUUCCUCAUCUCCCCACCAAAAAUUCCUGAUAAUCUGAGUUAACUCCUCACAAAGGGAAGCCGGGAACUUAAAAAUACCCAUAGCAUGCACAGGUAGAGCUUGAAUAACUGAUUUUAUUAAGUCUUCUUUCACGCCACAAGAAGCGUAUUUCUCUAUCCAGUCAGAGAGCCUUUUCAAAACCUUCUCUUUAGUAGAUUGAAACUUACCAGCUUUCAUUCUUCCCUCAGGAACCGGAAGUCCAAGAUAUUUAUCUUCGAAACCAUCGACCGUAAUUUUUAAGAUUACCAUUAUAGCCAGUUGAUUCUCCAAACUACACUUUUUCCCAAACAUCAUGGAACACUUAUCAGGACAUAAUAACUGCCCAGUCCCUUUCUCGUACUCCGUCAAAAUAUUUUUAAUGACAACUGCUUGAUCAAUGGAGCCUUUGAAAAAUAACAUAUUGUCGUCCGCAAACAGCAAGUGAGAAAUACCUAGGGCUUGUCUAUUCAAAUGGAACUCGUGAAGAACUCCCCUGGUAGAAGCAUCUUUAAGCAGUAAAGAAAGUGCCUCGGCAACAAAUAGGAACAAAUACGCGGAUAAAGGAUCUCCCUGCCUGAGCCCCCGAGAUGGUGAAAACUUCUCCAACAAUUGUCCGUUGAAGCGCACCGCAAAUUUCACUGAUGUAACACAUGCCAUAAUCCAAUUUAUCCACGUCAGUGCAAAACCCAAAGCCCCCAUCAAACAUUGUAAGAAACGCCAGUCCACCCUAUCAAAGGCUUUCGCCAGGUCCAACUUAUAUGCGCAAAAUUCCCCUCUGAAAUCUUUCAGCGUACUUAACGAAUGCAUACAUUCAAAAGCUAUGAGAGCAUUGUCAGAAAUUAACCUUCCCGGAAUAAAUGCACUUUGAGUAGGCGAAAUCAUACCAUCAAGGAGCCGUCGCACUCUGUUAACAAGGCAUUUGGAAAUAAUCUUAUAGAUAACAUUGCACAAACUGAUCGGCCUGAACUCUUUAAUAGUCUGAGGAUUCUUAACUUUUGGGAUGAGAACAAUAGUUGUGUUAUUAAUCCCCUCUGGCAUAAUUCCAUAAUUAAAAAACUGUUGGACAGCCUUAACAAUAUCCUCCUUGAUCAAAACCAAUUUCGUUGGAAAAACCUUGCAGGGAAACCAUCCAGACCCGGAGCUUUUAACGGUCCCAUUUGAAAAAGCGCACCACUAAUCUCUUGUUCCGAAAAUGGUUUGCAAAGAUCAUCAUUCAUAUCAUCAGAUACAAGGGGUUUGACCAACGAAAUAAUAUGUGACGGGUCAACGGAGUCGUCAACAGAAUAAAGAUAUUUAAAGAACGAGUUUGUUAUACCUUUCAUUUCCUCCAGAUUUUCCGUGAGACCCCCAUCAUCCUUCCUUAGUGCCGCACUUCUUUGCUCUCCAUGAAGCCGUUCUCUGAAAAUAAUUAGUAUUACGAUCUCCUCCUCUUAUCUUAUCCAAACGAGAUCUUUGCUUCCAUAGCAUCUCUUCCUUUAUAAGCAGCUCAUCCAUCUCUUGAAGAAUUUUCUUCCUUUCCAUGACUGCAGAAUGAUCAUUCCUACUAAACAACACAUUUAGUCUUUUACGAGCCCACUCCAGUUUCUUUGGUAAAUAACCAAUAUGGACCCGACUCCACCCAUGAAGAGAUUUCAUUAAUUUGUCUAACUUAUUAGCAAUAUCUUCAAGAUCAUUAAUAUUAGACUCUCUAUUCCAGCAAGCACUAAUCAGGUUGUCCAAAGCUCCACCUUCCCUCUCCCAAUAAGAUUCAUAUUUCAACUGAUUAACAAAUCUACCCACCCGGUGAGUACCCAAAACCUCAACAAAAAUGGGACAAUGAUCAGACCUGGAGCUUAUUACAUGGGAUACCUUACAUCGAGGGAACAUUGAAGACCAAAGCGGGCAUGCCACCGCACGAUCAAGACGCACCUUAACAUUCUUGUUUCCAUCUUGUUUGUUAUUAUACGUCCAAGGCACGCCAUGAUAACCCAAGUCAUAUAAAUUGCAAUCAGACAAAGCUUCACGAAAAUUAGCCAUUAGUCUAGUAGACCUCUUAUGACGAGAGUAGUGCUCUUCUUGCCACAUAGCUUCGUUAAAAUCCCCCACCAUAAACCAAGCUCCAACACCAAGAGGUUUAAUCNNNNNNNNNNNNNNNNNNNNNNNNNNNNNNNNNNNNNNNNNNNNNNNNNNNNNNNNNNNNNNNNNNNNNNNNNNNNNNNNNNNNNNNNNNNNNNNNNNNNNNNNNNNNNNNNNNNNNNNNNNNNNNNNNNNNNNNNNNNNNNNNNNNNNNNNNNNNNNNNNNNNNNNNNNNNNNNNNNNNNNNNNNNNNNNNNNNNNNNNNNNNNNNNNNNNNNNNNNNNNNNNNNNNNNNNNNNNNNNNNNNNNNNNNNNNNNNNNNNNNNNNNNNNNNNNNNNNNNNNNNNNNNNNNNNNNNNNNNNNNNNNNNNNNNNNNNNNNNNNNNNNNNNNNNNNNNNNNNNNNNNNNNNNNNNNNNNNNNNNNNNNNNNNNNNNNNNNNNNNNNNNNNNNNGUCUCAAGAGAUCCCAGAUAACAUACCUUUGACUCGCCUUAGGGUCACCGUAAAUGAAGGUGCACCUCCACUUUGUUCCCUCUCCCUUGUCAACGUACAAAUCAAUAAAGUGGUCACCAUAUUUGUUCAGCUCACAAGAGUACGCCUCAUCCAAAAACACAGCUAGUCCACCACCUUUACCAUGGCCAGAAACAGUAAAAACAUUAUUCAUACCCAACCUACAGCGCAAGCUCUCAACAUACUCUUUAUUCUUUCUUGUUUCAGAUAAAAAGAUAAUAUUGGGUAUGUGCGUCUUUGAGAGGCACACCAACUCUUGAACUGUACGAGGUUGACCCAAGCCUCGACAGUUCAAGAGUUGGUGUGCCUCUCAAAGACAUGUUUGACCCAAAAAUCAUACGAAAAGAUAGUUAUUGGCAACCUUGGCCUAAAAACACGGAUCUGUCAUGGUUUAUUAAGCUAGCAAUGCCUACUGACACAGUCAGUCUAUUAUUAAGCAUAAAGUAAAUACUUGACUAAUUAAAAAUUGGAUAAUGCCAUCAGUGUGUUUUGACGCAAGCUAGAAAAUAGAGUAAUUUUAAAAUUAAAUAUACAUGUAUCAAGUAACUGGUGCAGCUAGACUCGCAUGAUCUAGAUAAACAUUUAUUUUGUAACCCUAUCAUGUAAUUAAUUAAACAAAAACAUUUGCUAAGGAUUACAGAAAUUCUUAUGCACAAACGGUUGAAUUCUUUUUAUGUUUCUAUCGAUAUUUUAUUUAAUGUUGUUUUAUCCAUCUCUUUGAUGUUUUUAUUUUUAUUUUGUUAUUUAUUUAUCGAAGUAUUUUUUAUAUUUUGUUAUUUCUUUAUAUGUAUCAUCAAGACAAAAAGCUACGACUCCGUAUGCACUUGGUCACUUUCCUCUGUUGAGCCCAUAUUCCCUCACUCAUUCACUCAAAUGUGUUAGUUAAUCAACCAUUUUUACAUGUGUUAAGUCUUACGGGAAAAAACAAACAAGUACAUGUGUUAAGUCUUAGGGAAAAAAACAAGUGUACAUGAUGGCCACUAGAGAGUAGAGACUGGACACUAGAGCAGCAUAUAUACUAGCCACACUCCGUAGGCUCCAUCCGCUCGCCGUCAGCCAAAUAGGCUCGCCCUCGCCUCCUCUUCUCUUCUCUCAUCUCUUCCUUGCCUCCUCACAAUGCAUUCCAAAUGCUCACCAUUCACCUGCAAUGCAUCCACUGUGUGUCACCCUAGUUAACGCAAUGUUUCAUAAAUAAAAGGAAAUUUCAUGAAUUUACAAAAAUCAGCGGACCAAGGAUUGCCAUGACAAGAAAAAUUAACAAAAACUAUUUUUCUUCUUCUGAUUUUCAGUGUUUUUGCUGUUUUAUUUGAUCUUUUAUUUAUUUUUAGUUGGUUAUUUUUUUUCCUUUUCUCCUCUAGUGUUUAUUUUAUAUAUAAAAUAAUCAGUAAAUUCCGGUUUUUACCCUCUAUUUUGACAUUUUUUCACUAAUUACCCCAUUUAGUGGGAUUUAUCCAUUUUACCCCAUUUAGCAGAAGCGUUACCACAAUUUACCCGGUGGUGGCAAAUAUGUGGACCACUAGAGAGUGAGUAUAUGUUUCCUGAGCUGCUCUGGUGUGAUCAUAGCGAGCCUAACCUGUCGGAAGAAGCUAGCUAGCGCGAUGCAGUUCGGCGUGCAGAAAAAGCAUCAACAAAAAACCAGCCGAUGUGGCCUCCAAGUAGGUCUUACAAUUGGGACCCGUCGGUCAGAACACUCAUAAAUUUUAAACAGGGUAAACUGUGGCAACACUUUUGUAAAUAGGGUAAAAUAGAUGAAAUUCCGCUAAAUAGGGUAGUUAGUGUAAAAAUGUCAAAACAGAGGGUAAAAACAAGAAUUCACUCUAAAAAAAAAGCUAUUCUGGGUCACUUUUUGAUUAACGAAACUGAUCCAUGUUUAUUAAACGAAAUUGAUGCAUAUGCCGUGAUACUCAUGCAUGCUGAUUAAACAAAACUGAUGCAUUUCAAUCUUCGUAUGGGUGCGCGGACCUUUUUCUUUCCAUUUGCCUCACAGCUUAAUAAUUGAUUGAUGCAUCUCAAUCUUGGUAUCAUGGCGACCAAAACCAUGAAUUCCUUGCCCUUCACCCCCUCACUAAAGGUGUUGCCUCCACAUAUGCGAGGGCCACUUUGCUAGUUGAAGAAAAUAGUGGCGCAGAUUUAAAGAAAAAAACCAAAUUGAGAGCUUGUAUUUUUGAAAAUUCUUCAGUUCGUAUCAAUUGCUCUUGGCAACAAUUCCACUUUCCCUACUCUCCUCUGUUAUGGUCGCAAAGAUAGGGUGCUGAUGCGAAGCUAGAGCAUAGAUGCCCUAUACGUUUUAAGAAAAAGGGUUUCCCCCGCUUUAUAGAUAAAGCAUUACCGAACAACCGAAUCCUGCCGACACAAACAAACACACACACACACACACACACACACACACACCCCACACCCAAGGCCGGAUGCAAGGACGCUGAUAACAACAACACUACCCCGACAAAAUCCUAGCCAACAUCAGAUGAACACAAUAAGCACUACUAGGAAGAUGUCGGGGCCCUCAACCGUGAGCAGGCCACCGCGAAGAGGAGAAGUCGUGUAGGACGAACAAUGAGCUCCAAAGCGACGCCUUCAGCAAGGGAACGACACCAUUGUGUCGCCACCGCCAAAUCCAAGGAUUAGAGUUUCCCCCGGAGCACUCCGACGACAAAUGAGAUGCCGCGACGGCGCCUUCAAGAAGAUGACGACGCUAGAACGCCGGUGCCGUCGGCCUGGCAAAGCAGAACGGGUUUUCACCACCGGCAGGGGCACCCUGCCCCUUCCCGAAGUCCCAUGCCGCCACCGGCAGGCCUCGCGUGCACCACCACGCCAUGGCGCCACCCCGACCCGACGAGCGCGUCGCUGAGUCCAAAGAAGAGGGAGGGAGCUCACCCGAGUCCGACGCAGACGAACCGCCGACGGAGAGACCCGCAGUUGCCGCGCGCAUAUCAGACAACCACCAGGCCACAGCAGCGCCGCUGCAGACCACCCCACUCCGAGGUCAAGACCGACCUCAGCCACCGUCCCGCGCCGCCCGCCGCCAUCCAGGAGCUUGAUCCGGGAGGGUCGGGCCGGAUCCGCGCCAGCACGGCACCGCCCAGAUCGGGAAUCCCAGCGGCCGCCACGCCACAAACGAGCCUGCCACUCGACGUCGUGUCCCCACCAGGCAACCCCGCCGCCGAACUCCGAGCACGCCGCCGCGCCGCCGGCCCUGCCAAAGACCGGCGCCCCCACUCGACCGGCUGUCUCACGCCAGCCGUGGAGCACGAGGGCGAGGAAGAAGAGGCCCCGUCGCCGCCCCCACCGGCCGGGCUUCGCCCGACGGCGUCGCUGGGCGGCGGCGAGGGAGGAGAGCAGAGGAGAGGGAGGACGGGUCACGGCGGCUAGGGUUCCCCCCGGUCGCUCGCGAGAGCGACACGGGAGGGGAGGGGAGAGGGAUUAUAUCCCGUGAUGCCCUGUACGUUUUGUGGGGAAAUGGGUACUUGGAUUUGGAUAGAAGAAACAAUCAAGCACCUUUUCAAUCAUUAACAGAGAAACUGAAACACUAACCAUUACUGAUAAAAAAAACCUAACCAUUACAUACGUAAUACAAAAUGAAUAUAUGGAGAAAAAAAUGGAGAAAUUAAUCAAUUCGGCUGCUGCACACGGAUUAAUUGCUUGUUCAUCAUCACAAUACAAUUAGCAAGACACCUUUUGUGCCAUGACAAUGACAUACAUCAAAGCUAAGCAAGACUAGUACAUCAUCUCUUGGAUCAUCUCCUGGAUGCAGGUUUCGGAGUUCUUCAUCACGCACUCGGCCCUCACGUGGUGAAAGGAUCCACUCUCCUAGACUAGUACAGUCGUGUCGUCGCACAAGCCGAGCAGCUCAUCUAACGUGCACCGAAAGGCGUCGUCUUCAUCCUCUGCAGCGCUAGUGCCUUCUUGGACUUCGCCGUCGAGUUUGCCGGGCAAGAACCCCUGCGCCACCACAGCGUCAUGGAGCUCGGGAAAAUCUUGAAGCAUGUCGUCGGUGAAGAACCCGCCUGGAUCGACGCUGCCGUCGUCCACAGCUCCGGGCGGCAAGAACGUCUCGCCUUCGUCGGACAUGAACCAGCGCCCAUACUCGUGAAACAUCCCGGCUUGUUGGACGAUCGGCGGUUCCUGGCGGCGUGGGGUUUGGGGACGUGGAGCAUCCGGGUGCUGGACGUCGGCGGCCUUCCUUUUCCUGGAACCGGGAGCAUUGAUUACCUCGUGGUAUGUGGUCUCGCUCCUGUGACGAGACACGCAGACCUUGCAGAGCACCAAGCCGUCUUGCUUGUCAUCGCUGUACUCGUUCAUGCACCAGCCGAUCCUGAUCCUCUCUUUCUCUCCCGGCAACUUCUUGACGUAGCUGAGGUUUCGUCUAUGGCCUACGAGUUUACCUUGGUUGUCUAGCACGGGGAUCCCACCCUUCUCCGAGUGCCAGUAGUAACCCUCGCCGGCGUCGGCCACGCCACGCUGUCGCCUCCCGCCACCGCGGCCGCCUUUGGUCUGGUGACGACGGGCAGGGGUGAAGAAGUACCACACGCCCCCUUUCCCGUCGCCCUUGUCCGUUCCUUGCGCGUGUUGAUACAUCUCGACGAGGUCGCCGGGGGCGGCGGAGUAGGCGUCGAACUCGUGGAUGAGGCGGCUGGCGAAGAAGGCGUCGGCGAUCCGUGGGCGGAGGAACUUGGUGAUCAGCUCGUGCUCGGCUGGGUCGAAGGCGUAGCCGGCGGGAGGAUCCAGCUUGCCGUCGGCCAUCGCAGAGCUAGCUACGCACGUACGAGAUGGAUCAAGUAGCUAGGUAUGUACGUGUAACCCUGAACUCGCUAGCUGCUUGCCAUCUGGGUACCUAGCUUAUAUAGAUGGAUCGACAGCGAGCCCGCCCGGGAUUCAGUUUCCUUGACCGGUCAUACGUACGUGUCCUAAGCAAUCCGUACAUGAAAUGGAUUAGUACAGCAAUCCGUACAUAAAAUGGACUAGUGCAGCACGCCCCAUGAUGCUCCGUCGCUGCACCGACCUUGCUCCAUUGCAGCUCGCGUCGCUGCACCUUGCCGCUCGGUAAUACUCAGCAUGCUUCGGCGGACAUGGUGAUGCUAUGAGGCGUGCUACAUCGACCGCCGCGAUGGCGCAACGUCAUCCGGGCUGCUUUGAUGAAGCUGCGACAGCCGCGGCGUUGACAUUUCGACAUGCUUCAAACACCCAUGGUGUGCUUUGACGGCCACGACAAUGCUUCAACGGCAGACUUCGACGGUCGCGGUGAUGUUACGGGACGUGCUUCGACGAUCAUGGCAAUGGUGCGGCAACAUGCUUCUAACGUCGGUGUUGUACUUGGAUGGCAGCGAUGAUGUUGUGACGACAUGGUUGGACAGCCACGACGUCCUGCUUCGACAACCACGAUGAUGUUGCGGCAACGUGUUCCACGGCCACGAAAGUGUUACAAUGAUGGGCAUGGCUGCACCAACGAUAAUGCAACGACCACAGCGGUGCGGCAACGGCGACCCGGCUGCUUCGAUGAUGCUAUGAUGCCAUGCUUAGAAGAAGGUGGUGGCGUCAAUGGUGCUACUCUAAACAUUAGCAACCUUCACUUUACCACAAUCAACAUCGAGAAAGAUGGUGUUCUAGUAUUUGUACCAUCACAUGUGUAGUUACCUAGCAAAAUCACUGCAUAUGGAGUACGUUAAAAAAGAUCAUUUAAAUAGGCAGUCGUCCGAACGCUACCACAUGUCACGAACUUUGGAUACUUUUGCGUGUGGAAGACAGAGCAUUCGCUACCUUCCUGUGUGGGAGAUAGUGCUCGCGCCACACGAUCAUGUGGGAUCGGACGGCUCCGGACGUGAUUGAUAAAGACAAGAAAUCAUCCGACUUAUUUAAAACAUUUUCCCUCGCCGAAUGCUCACCUUUUACUCGCAAUGGCCACUUGUCGGUUAGCCUGGUUGACGCAUUUCUGUUUGUUUGUGACUUUGCAGUGUUUUUGCUGCUUUAUUUGUUCUUUUAUAUAUUUUUACUGGCCUUUCUUAUUUUAUCAACUUAUGAUUAUUUUAUUAUAUUAUAAAAAAUAUGUCUGUUUUAUUCUAGGUAAUCCUUUUUAUGCACUAUUGACAGAAAUAGUUCGUAUUAAAAAGGUCCUUACUCAUUUCAAAAUAUAUAAUACAUUUGAAUUUUUUUAUAUAUUCUAAAUAAAAUGUUCUUGUACUUUUGAAUAUGAUUUACCUAUUUCGAAAAAUAUUCAUUUAGUUCGUAAAAAAAUCUUUUAUUCAAAACGAAAUUACAUGUAUUCGCAAAGAGUGUUCACAUAUUUCUAAAAAUGUCCAUGUAAUUAUUAAAGUAUUCUCACAUUUAAAAAUAUAUUCACAUAAGUUUGGAAAAUAAUCAUUUACGACAUAAAAUAGAAAAUACACUGGAAAUUUUUUAUCGCGUAUUAAAAAAUACUCAUCAUAUAUUAAAUAAAUUUCAUUCUGUUAAAAAAUAUUCAUCAUUUAUUUAAAAUACAUACGUUGUGUUUUUAAAAGGUCAUGUGUAAUGUUAUUUUCUAAUUGCAUAAGUAAAGUAAGUAAGAAGAAAAUCACAGAAAAUAAAGAAAGAGAAAAAUGUGGGAAAAGAACAACAAAUAAUAGGGAAAUGAAAAAAAAGAGGCAAAGAUAAUUAAAAGAAUUCAAGAAAAAAUUUGAUAAAAAAACCCACAAGAAACUAGUCGAAAACAAGAAAAAAGAUAAUAUCAUGAACAAAAAUCAGGCAGAAACACGAAGAAGAGAGCCAUGUGUUCAACGAACCUAAAAGUAAUCAGCACAUCGCAUGUGCGUAUCGGGCCAUGGCCCGGGUGUUCUGUAGGCGAGCUCUAACUAAGAGCAUCUCCACCCGCCCCCAGGACGUCCCCCAGGACACGUUUUUAGGCUCGGUUUUACGCUCGGACCACCUUUUCGCCGAAAAACGGCCCAACGAUGCCCCCAACGCUCCCACAGGACAUCAAAAUAGCGCCGGCAAACCCAGGAAAAACGCAGCACAUUGGGGGGCUUUUGGGGGCGCCGACAGAAGUUUCGGCGAAUCGUGUCUCACCACAUGUCUUUUUUCUUGGCCCACAUAAUCAUUUUCCUCACAAACAUUUGACUGGGGUGGGGUGUGGCUGAGAAGAUGCCCUCCUCAUGCACCCAUAUUUCGGCCGGAUGAAGCAUUUGGACCCCCAAGACACCUACUUUUUUGGUUCGGUGGUGUUCUUGGGUGCUCCAACGGCUGGAGAUGCUCUAAUACUUGGUACAAUCGAUAUAUAUAUUAUUUGCCGCCCGGAAGCACGUCUAGUAAAAGAGUUUCUCAAGAAGGUUGGGCGAAUGUGUCAUAGCCCACCCUGAGAUCUCCCAACCUUCUAUAUAUAUUAUAGAAAAAAGUAAAAAAAAGGCAUGUUUUUUUGAAUAAAACGCCAUACAUUAAUUAAUUAAUAAUGUUAUUACAAUCAUUCAUUACAAAAUUCGCCACACAGGGCGGAACGCGAUUAAGAAGAAUCCCAUCAGAUUUACUUAUAAAGCUAAACUUCGCAAUUUCAUGAGCCACCUUAUUGGCGUUCCGAUUAAUUUUCGCAAUUUUAAAAUUCUUAAGCAUCUUCGAUAUACUCAAGGCUUCUUUCUUUAGAUCAACGAGCGAGGACCUGUCCAGAUUCUCAUUUGCAAGGAAAGAACGGACAAAAGCACAACCAGUCUCCAAAAUAAUGGACUGGUGAAGAGUAAUACCUAUAUAAAGGCCUGCCAGGCAAGCACGCAGCUCAGCUUCAUUCACACUGUAGCACUGACCCAGAAAGUCCCACGCAGAUAUAAUAACUUCGCCAGAUGAGUUCCUAACAACCACCCCCACACUGGCCGCAGUAAUACUCUCCACAUAGCUGGCAUCGACAGUGAUCUUGAUAUAAUCUUCUGGUGGAGGUUUCCAACCCACCUGUUGUUGUGAUGUUGCGAAAACUGGUGUUGCACCUCCCAUUUUUUCUUUACCUUUGUUACUAGGAACAACCUCGACAGUGUCAUGACAGGAUGUAAAAGAAGACCAAUAGUUUACCACAAAAAUUGCACAAGCAGCAAUGGAUUCCUGCCCUUUUCCAAAAAUUAAAUCAUUUCUCAUGUGCCAUGCUCGCCAGAAAAGAAACAAAACUUGCUCUCGCUGUUGCAGGCUCAAAUGAUCCAACAGAAUCAAUAGCCAAUCUGGCCCCGAGAAUUUGAACCACUCUUCAUCAGGAAUAUUCCAUGAUUCUCUCAAGGCGAGUCGCAGAGCACGAGCCUUAGAACAAGUAACGAGGGCAUGAAAAGUGCUUUCAUCUUCUACUCCACAAAUAGAGCACAUACCUGAAGUAAUCUGAUGGUGCUUAACUUUAUUGGUCUGGACUGCCAAGCUAUUGGUUGCGGCCCUCCAGGCAAAAAUCCUUAUCUUCUGAGGGAUAUUAGCCUUCCAAAUUAAAUCUCAGAGCCUUCUUUCUCCACAUGGAUCUCCACUAGAUUGACCCAAUUUAUCUUGACUAUCCUUCAACUUAAUUGCUAAUUUGUACGCACUUUUAACAGAAAAUAUACCGUUCUUCUCAUAGUGCCACGCAAUAAAAUCCCCAUCCCCAUAAGCAUGAAUUCGAAUCUUAAGAAUCUCCUCUGCGUCAUGGGGAUAGAAAAGCUACUUAAUCAAAUUUUCAUCCCAUACCUUUCUCCCGCUCAAGAACAAAUCAGAGACCCAUCUCAAUCUAGUAUUAUGCCUUUUAGCAGAAAUUUUAAGGCCAGUGCUCCUGGAUAACCAAUUAUCCCUCCAAAUAUUAAUACUAGAUCCAUCACCCACCCGCCAAAUGACGUCAUUUUGAAGUAAUUCCAGACCAUGCAUAAUACCUUGCCAAGUGAGUGAUGCAGACUCAGGAAACACUGUAUCAAGAAUAUGUCCCUGAGGAUAAUACUUUGCCUUCAUAAGCUUAGCACACAUUGAAUCCGGAUAAACCAAUAACCUCCACGCUUGUUUGGCUAAGAGGGCUUGGUUAAAUAAUCUGAGAUCCUGAAAUCCCAUACCACCCUUACCUUUAGACCUUGUUAAUUUGUCCCAUGCUAACCAAUGUGUUUUUCUUCGAUCUUCCUCAUCUCCCCACCAAAAAUUCCUGAUAAUCUGGGUUAACUCCUCACAGAGGGAAGACGGGAACUUAAAAAUACCCAUAGCAUGCACAGGUAGAUCUUGAAUAACUGAUUUUAUUAAGUCUUCUUUCACGCCACAAGAAGCGUAGUUCUCUAUCCAGUCAGAGAGCCUUUUCAAAACCUUCUCUUUAGUAGAUUGAAACUUACCAGCUUUCAUUCUUCCCUCAGGAACCGGAAGUCCAAGAUAUUUAUCUUCGAAACCAUCGACCGUAAUUUUUAAGAUUACCAUUAUAGCCAGUUGAUUCUCCAAACUACACUUUUUCCCAAACAUCAUGGAACACUUAUCAGGACAUAAUAACUGCCCAGUCCCUUUCUCGUACUCCGUCAAAAUAUUUUUAAUGACAACUGCUUGAUCAAUGGAGCCUUUGAAAAAUAACAUACUGUCGUCCGCAAACAGCAAGUGAGAAAUACCUAGGGCUUGUCUAUUCAAAUGGAACUCGUGAAGAACUCCCCUGGUAGAAGCAUCUUUAAGCAGUAAAGAAAGUGCCUCGGCAACAAAUAGGAACAAAUACGCUGAUAAAGGAUCUCCCUGCCUGAGCCCCCGAGAAGGUGAAAACUUCUCCAACAAUUGUCCGUUGAAGCGCACCGCAAAUUUCACUGAUGUAACACAUGCCAUAAUCCAAUUUAUCCACGUCGGUGCAAAACCCAAAGCCCCCAUCAUACAUUGUAAGAAACGCCAGUCCACCCUAUCAAAGGCUUUCGCCAAGUCCAACUUAUAUGCGCAAAAUUCCCCUCUGAAAUCUUUCAGCGUACUUAACGAAUGCAUACAUUCAAAAGCUAUGAGAGCAUUGUCAAAAAUUAACCUUCCCGGAAUAAAUGCACUUUGAGUAGGCGAAAUCAUACCAUCAAGGAGCCGUCGCACUCUGUUAACAAGGCAUUUGGAAAUAAUCUUAUAGAUAACAUUGCACAAACUGAUCGGCCUGAACUCUUUAAUAGACUGAGGAUUCUUAACUUUUGGGAUGAGAACAAUAGUUGUGUUAUUAAUCCCCUCUGGCAUAAUUCCAUAAUUAAAAAACUGUUGGACAGCCUUAACAAUAUCCUCCUUGAUAAAAACCAAUUUCGUUGGAAAAACCUUGCAGGGAAACCAUCCAGACCCGGAGCUUUUAACGGUCCCAUUUGAAAAAGCGCACCACUAAUCUCUUGUUCCGAAAAUGGUUUGCAAAGCUCAUCAUUCAUAUCAUCAGAUACAAGGGGUUUGACCAACGAAAUAAUAUGUGACGGGUCAACGGAGUCGUCAACAGAAUAAAGAUAUUUAAAGAACGAGUUUGUUAUACCUUUCAUUUCCUCCAGAUUUUCCGUGAGACCCCCAUCAUCCUUCCUUAGUGCCGCACUUUGCUCUCCAUGAAGCCGUUCUCUGAAAAUAAUUAGUAUUACGAUCUCCUCCUCUUAUCUUAUCCAAACGAGAUCUUUGCUUCCAUAGCAUCUCUUCCUUUAUAAGUAGCUCAUCCAUCUCUUGAAGAAUUUUCUUCCUUUCCAUGACUGCAGAAUGAUCAUUCCUACUAAACAACACAUUUAGUCUUUUACGAGCCCACUCCAGUUUCUUUGGUAAAUAACCAAUAUGGACCCGACUCCACCCAUGAAGAGAUUUCAUUAAUUUGUCUAACUUAUUAGCAAUAUCUUCAAGAUCAUUAAUAUUAGACUCUCUAUUCCAGCAAGCACUAAUCAGGUUGUCCAAAGCUCCACCUUCCCUCUCCCAAUAAGAUUCAUAUUUCAACUGAUUAACAAAUCUACCCACCCAGUGAGUACCCAAAACCUCAACAAAAAUGGGACAAUGAUCAGACCUGGAGCUUAUUAUAUCGGAUACCUUACAUCGAGGGAACAUUGAAGACCAAAGCGGGCAUGCCACCGCACGAUCAAGACGCACCUUAACAUUCUUGUUUCCAUCUUGUUUGUUAUUAUACGUCCAAGGCACGCCAUGAUAACCCAAGUCAUAUAAAUUGCAAUCAGACAAAGCUUCACGAAAAUUAGCCAUUAGUCUAGUAGACCUCUUAUGACGAGAGUAGUGCUCUUCUUGCCACAUAGCUUCGUUAAAAUCCCCCACCAUAAACCAAGCUCCAACACCAAGAGGUUUAAUCCGUCUCAAGAGAUCCCAGAUAACAUACCUUUGACUCGCCUUAGGGUCACCGUAAAUGAAGGUGCACCUCCACUUUGUUCCCUCUCCCUUGUCGACGUACAAAUCAGUAAAGUGGUCACCAUAUUUGUUCAGCUCACAAGAGUACGCCUCAUCCCAAAACACAGCUAGUCCACCACCUUUACCAUGGCCAGAAAUAGUAAAAACAUUAUUCAUACCCAACCUACAGCGCAAGCUCUCAACAUACUCUUUAUUCUUUUCUUGUUUCAGAUAAAAAGAUAAUAUUGGGUAUGUGCGUCUUUGAGAGGCACACCAACUCUUGAACUGUACGAGGCUCAACCUCGUACAAUUCAAGAGUUGGUGUGCCUCUCAAAGACAUGUUUGACCCAAAAAUCAUACGAAAAGAUAGUUAUUGGCAACCUUGGCCUAAAAACACGGAUCUGUCAUGGUUUAUUAAGCUAGCAAUGCCUACUGACACAGUCAGUCUAUUAUUAAGCAUAAAGUAAAUACUUGACUAAUUAAAAAUUGGAUAAUGCCAUCAGUGUGUUUUGACGCAAGCUAGAAAAUAGAGUAAUUUUAAAAUUAAAUAUACAUGUAUCAAGUAACUGGUGCAGCUAGACUCGCAUGAUCUAGAUAAACAUUUAUUUUGUAACCCUAUCAUGUAAUUAAUUAAACAAAAACAUUUGCUAAGGAUUACAGAAAUUCUUAUGCACAAACGGUUGAAUUCUUUUUAUGUUUCUAUCGAUAUUUUAUUUAAUGUUGUUUUAUCCAUCUCUUUGAUGUUUUUAUUUUCAUUUUUAAAUUUUUAUUUUGUUAUUUAUUUAUCGAAGUAUUUUUUUAUAUUUUGUUAUUUCUUUAUAUGUAUCAUCAAGACAAAAAGCUACGACUCCGUAUGCACUUGGUCACUUUCCUCUGUUGAGCCCAUAUUCCCUCACUCAUUCACUCAAAUGUGUUAGUUAAUUAGCCAUUUUUACAUGUGUUAAGUCUUACGGGAAAAAAACAAACAAGUACAUGUGUUAAGUCUUAGGAAAAAAAACAAGUGUACAUGAUGGCCACUAGAGAGUAGAGACUGGACACUAGAGCAGCAUAUAUACUAGCCACACUCCGUAGGCUCCAUCCGCUCGCCGUCAGCCAAAUAGGCUCGCCCUCGCCUCCUCUUCUCUUCUCUCAUCUCUUCCUUGCCUCCUCACAAUGCAUUCCAAAUGCUCACCAUUCACCUGCAAUGCAUCCACUGUGUGUCACCCUAGUUAACGCAAUAUUUCAUAAAUAGAAGGAAAUUUCAUGAAUUUACAAAAAUCAGCGGACCAAGGAUUGCCAUGACAAGAAAAAUUAACAAAAACUAUUUUUCUUCUUCUGAUUUUCAGUGUUUUUGCUGUUUUAUUUGAUCUUUUAUUUAUUUUUAGUUGGUUAUUUUUUCCUUUUCUCCUCUAGUGUUUAUUUUAUAUAUAAAAUAAUCAGUGAAUUCCGGUUUUUACCCUCUAUUUUGAAAUUUUUCCACUAAUUACCCCAUUUAGUGGGAUUUAUCCAUUUUACCCCAUUUAGCAGAAGCGUUACCACAAUUUACCCCGUGGUGGCAAAUAUGUGGACCACUAGAGAGUGAGUAUAUGUUUCCUGAGCUGCUCUGAUGCGAUCAUAGCGAGCCUAACCUGUCGGAAGAAGCUAGCUAGGGCGAUGCAGUUUGGCGUGCAGAAAAGGCAUCAAGAAAAAACCAGCCGAUCUGGCAUCCAAGUAGGUCUUACAAUUGGGACCCGUCGGUCAGAACACUCAUAAAUUUUAAACAGGGUAAACUGUGGCAACACUUUUGUAAAUAGGGUAAAAUAGAUGAAAUUCCGCUAAAUAGGGUAGUUAGUGUAAAAAUGUCAAAACAGAGGGUAAAAACAAGAAUUCACUCUAAAAAAUCUAAGCUAUUCUGGGUCACUUUUUGAUUAACGAAACUGAUCCAUGUUUAUUAAACGAAAUUGAUGCAUAUGCCGUGAUACCCAUGCAUGCUGAUUAAACAAAACUGAUGCAUUUCAAUCUUCGUAUGGGUGCGCGGACCUUUUUCUUUCCAUUUGCCUCACAGCUUAAUAAUUGAUUGAUGCAUCUCAAUCUUGGUAUCAUGGCGACCAAAACCAUGAAUUCCUUGCCCUUCACCCCCUCACUAAAGGUGUUGCCUCCACAUAUGCGAGGGCCACUUUGCUAGUUGAAGAAAAUAGUGGCGCAGAUUUAAAGAAAAAAACCAAAUCGAGAGCUUGUAUUUUUGAAAAUUCUUCAGUUCGUAUCAAUUGCUCUUGGCAACAAUUCCACUUUCCCUACUCUCCUCUGUUAUGGUCGCAAAGAUAGGGUGCUGAUGCAAAGCUAGAGCAUAGAUGCCCUGUACGUUUUAAGAAAAAGGGUUUCCCCCGCUUUAUAGAUAAAGCAUUACCGAACAACCGAAUCCUGCCGAUACAAACACACACACACACACACACACCACACCCAAGGCCGGAUACAAGGACGCUGAUAACAGCAACACUACCCCGACAAAAUCCUAGCCAACAUCAGAUGAACACAAUAAGCACUACUACGAAGAUGUCGGGGCCCUCAACCGUGAGCAGGCCACCGCGAAGAGGAGAAGUCGUGUAGGACGAACAAUGAGCUCCAAAGCGACGCCUUCAGCAAGGGAACGACACCAUUGUGUCGCCACCGCCAAAUCCAAGGAUUAGAGUUUCCCCCGGAGCACUCCGACGACAAAUGAGAUGCCGCGACGGCGCCUUCAAGAAGAGGACGACGCUAGAACGCCGGCGCCGUCGGCCUGGCAAAGCAGAACGGGUUUUCACCACCGGCAGGGGCACCCUGCCACUUCCCGAAGUCCCAUGCCGCCACCGGCAGGCCUCGCGCGCACCACCACACCAUGGCGCCACCCCGACCCGACGAGCGCGUCGCUGAGUCCACAGAAGAGGGAGGGAGCUCACCCGAGUCCGACGCAGACGAACCGCCGCCGGAGAGACCCGCAGUUGCCGCGCGCAUAUCAGACAACCACCGGGCCACAGCAGCGCCGCUGCAGAUCACCCCACUCCGAGGUCAAGCCGACCUCAGCCACCGUCCCGCGCCGCCCGCCGCCAUCUAGGAGCCGGAUCCGGGAGGGUCGGGCUGGAUCCGCGCCAGCACACCACCGCCCAGAUCGGGAAUCCCAGCGGCCGCCACGCCACAAACGAGCCUGCCACUCGACGUCUUGUCCCCACCAGGCAACCCCGCCGCCGAACUCCGAGCACGUCGCCGCGCCGCCGGCCCUGCCAAAGACCGGCGCCCCCACUCGACCGGCUGUCUCACGCCAGCCCCCACCGGCCGGGCUUCGCCCGACGGCGUCGCUGUGCGGCGGCGAGGGAGGAGAGCAGAGGAGAGGGAGGACGGGUCACGGCGGCUAGGGUUCCCCCGGUCGCUCGCGAGAGCGACACGGGAGGGGAGGGGAGAGGGAUUAUAUCCCGUGAUGCCCUGUACGUUUUGAGGGGAAAUGGGUACUUGGAUUUGGAUAGAAGAAACAAUUAAGCACCUUUUCAAUCGUUAACAGAGAAACUGAAACACUAACCAUUACUGAUAAAAAAAACCUAACCAUUACAUACAUAAUACAAAAUGAAUAUAUGGAGAAAAAAAUGGAGAAAUUAAUCAAUUCGGCUGCUGCACACGGAUUAAUUGCUUGUUCAUCAUCACAAUACAAUUAGCAAGACACCUUUUGUGCCAUGACAAUGACAUACAUCAAAGCUAAGCAAGACUAGUACAUCAUCUCUUGGAUCAUCUCCUGGAUGCAGGUUUCGGAGUUCUUCAUCACGCACUCGGCCCUCACGUGGUGAAAGGAUCCACUCUCCUAGACUAGUACAGUCGUGUCGUCGCACAAGCCGAGCAGCUCAUCUAACGUGCACCGAAAGGCGUCGUCUUCAUCCUCUGCAGCGCUAGUGCCUUCUUGGACUUCGCCGUCGAGUUUGCCGGGCAAGAACCCCUGCGCCACCACAGCGUCAUGGAGCUCGGGAAAAUCUUGAAGCAUGUCGUCGGUGAAGAACCCGCCUGGAUCGACGCUGCCGUCGUCCACAGCUCCGGGCGGCAAGAACGUCUCGCCUUCGUCGGACAUGAACCAGCGCCCAUACUCGUGAAACAUCCCGGCUUGUUGGACGAUCGGCGGUUCCUGGCGGCGUGGGGUUUGGGGACGUGGAGCAUCCGGGUGCUGGACGUCGGCGGCCUUCCUUUUCCUGGAACCGGGAGCAUUGAUUACCUCGUGGUAUGUGGUCUCGCUCCUGUGACGAGACACGCAGACCUUGCAGAGCACCAAGCCGUCUUGCUUGUCAUCGCUGUACUCGUUCAUGCACCAGCCGAUCCUGAUCCUCUCUUUCUCUCCCGGCAACUUCUUGACGUAGCUGAGGUUUCGUCUAUGGCCUACGAGUUUACCUUGGUUGUCUAGCACGGGGAUCCCACCCUUCUCCGAGUGCCAGUAGUAACCCUCGCCGGCGUCGGCCACGCCACGCUGUCGCCUCCCGCCACCGCGGCCGCCUUUGGUCUGGUGACGACGGGCAGGGGUGAAGAAGUACCACACGCCCCCUUUCCCGUCGCCCUUGUCCGUUCCUUGCGCGUGUUGAUACAUCUCGACGAGGUCGCCGGGGGCGGCGGAGUAGGCGUCGAACUCGUGGAUGAGGCGGCUGGCGAAGAAGGCGUCGGCGAUCCGUGGGCGGAGGAACUUGGUGAUCAGCUCGUGCUCGGCUGGGUCGAAGGCGUAGCCGGCGGGAGGAUCCAGCUUGCCGUCGGCCAUCGCAGAGCUAGCUACGCACGUACGAGAUGGAUCAAGUAGCUAGGUAUGUACGUGUAACCCUGAACUCGCUAGCUGCUUGCCAUCUGGGUACCUAGCUUAUAUAGAUGGAUCGACAGCGAGCCCGCCCGGGAUUCAGUUUCCUUGACCGGUCAUACGUACGUGUCCUAAGCAAUCCGUACAUGAAAUGGAUUAGUACAGCAAUCCGUACAUAAAAUGGACUAGUGCAGCACGCCCCAUGAUGCUCCGUCGCUGCACCGACCUUGCUCCAUUGCAGCUCGCGUCGCUGCACCUUGCCGCUCGGUAAUACUCAGCAUGCUUCGGCGGACAUGGUGAUGCUAUGAGGCGUGCUACAUCGACCGCCGCGAUGGCGCAACGUCAUCCGGGCUGCUUUGAUGAAGCUGCGACAGCCGCGGCGUUGACAUUUCGACAUGCUUCAAACACCCAUGGUGUGCUUUGACGGCCACGACAAUGCUUCAACGGCAGACUUCGACGGUCGCGGUGAUGUUACGGGACGUGCUUCGACGAUCAUGGCAAUGGUGCGGCAACAUGCUUCUAACGUCGGUGUUGUACUUGGAUGGCAGCGAUGAUGUUAUGACGACAUGGUUGGACAGCCACGACGUCCUGCUUCGACAACCACGAUGAUGUUGCGGCAACGUGUUCCACGGCCACGAAAGUGUUACAAUGAUGGGCAUGGCUGCACCAACGAUAAUGCAACGACCACAGCGGUGCGGCAACGGCGACCCGGCUGCUUCGAUGAUGCUAUGAUGCCAUGCUUAGAAGAAGGUGGUGGCGUCAAUGGUGCUACUCUAAACAUUAGCAACCUUCACUUUACCACAAUCAACAUCGAGAAAGAUGGUGUUCUAGUAUUUGUACCAUCACAUGUGUAGUUACCUAGCAAAAUCACUGCAUAUGGAGUACGUUAAAAAAGAUCAUUUAAAUAGGCAGUCGUCCGAACGCUACCACAUGUCACGAACUUUGGAUACUUUUGCGUGUGGAAGACAGAGCAUUCGCUACCUUCCUGUGUGGGAGAUAGUGCUCGCGCCACACGAUCAUGUGGGAUCGGACGGCUCCGGACGUGAUUGAUAAAGACAAGAAAUCAUCCGACUUAUUUAAAACAUUUUCCCUCGCCGAAUGCUCACCUUUUACUCGCAAUGGCCACUUGUCGGUUAGCCUGGUUGACGCAUUUCUGUUUGUUUGUGACUUUGUAGUGUUUUUGCUGCUUUAUUUGUUCUUUUAUAUAUUUUUACUGGCCUUUCUUAUUUUAUCACCUUAUGAUUAUUUUAUUAUAUUAUAAAAAAUAUGUCUGUUUUAUUCUAGGUAAUCCUUUUUAUGCACUAUUGACAGAAAUAGUUCGUAUUAAAAAGGUCCUUACUCAUUUCAAAGUAUAUAGUACAUUUUAAAUUUGUUUAUAUAUUCUAAAUAAAAUGUUCUUGUACUUUUGAAUAGGAUUUACCUAUUUAGAAAAAUAUUCAUUUAGUUCGUAAAAAAAUCUUUUAUUCAAAACGAAAUUACAUGUAUUCGCAAAGAGUGUUCACGUAUUUCUAAAAAUGUCCAUGUAAUUAUUAAAGUAUUCUCACAUUUAAAAAUAUAUUCACAUAAGUUUGGAAAAUAAUAAUUUACGACAUAAAAUAGAAAAUACACUUGAAUUUUUUUGAUCGCGUAUUAGAAAAAAUACUCAUCAUAUAUUAAAUAAAUUUCAUUGUGUAAAAAAAUAUUCAUCAUUUAUUUAAAAUACACACGUUGUGUUUUUAAAAGGUCAUGUUUACUGUUAUUUUCUAAUUGCAUAAGUAAAAUAAGUAAGAAGAAAAUCACAGAAAAUAAAGAAAGAGAAAAAUGUGGGAAAAGAACAACAAAUAAUAGGGAAAUGAAAAAAGAGGCAAAGAUACUUAAAAGAAUUCAAGAAAAAAAUUGAUUAAAAAAACCAACAAGAAACUAGUCGAAAACAAGAAAAAUAAUAAUAUCAUGAACAAAAAUCAGGCAGAUACACGAAGAAGAGAGCCAUGUGUUCAACGAACGUAAAAGUAACCAGUACAUCGCAUGUGCGUAUCGGGCCAUGGCCCAGGUGUUCUGCNNNNNNNNNNNNNNNNNNNNNNNNNNNNNNNNNNNNNNNNNNNNNNNNNNNNNNNNNNNNNNNNNNNNNNNNNNNNNNNNNNNNNNNNNNNNNNNNNNNNNNNNNNNNNNNNNNNNNNNNNNNNNNNNUAGGCUCGGUUUUACGCUCGGACCACUUUUUUGCCGAAAAACGGCCCAGCAACGCCCCCAACCCUCCACAGGACAUCAAAAUAGCGCCGGCAAACCCAGGAAAAACGCAGCAUGUUGGGGGGCUUUUAGGGGCGUCGGCAGAAGUUUCGGCGAAUCGUGUCUCACCACAUGUCUUUUUUCUUGGCCCACUUAGUCAUUUACCUCACAAACUUUUGAUUGGGGUGGGGUGUGGCUGAGAAGAUGCCCUCCUCAUGCACCCAUAUUUCGGCCAGAUGAAGCAUUUGGACCCCCAAGACACCUAUUUUUUUGGUUCGGUGGUGUUCUUGGUGCUCCAACGGCUGGAGAUGCUCUAAUACUUGGUACAAUCGAUAUAUAUAUAUUAUUUGCCGCCCCGAAGCACGUCUAGUAAAAGAGUUUCUCAAGAAGGUUGGGCGAAUGUGUGAUAGCCCACCCUGAGAUCUCCCAACCUUCUAUAUAUAUUAUAGAAAAGAGUAAAAAAGACAUGUUUAACCCUAAAACCGUAUGAAAAGAUAGUUAUUGGCCAACCUUGGCCUAAAAACGUGGAUCUGCCGCUGGUUUUUAAGCUAGCAAUGCCUACUGAGGCUGUCCUUCUAUUAUUAAGCGUAAAUUAAAUACUUGAGUAAUUAAAAAUUGGAUAAUGCCAUCAGUGUGUUUUGACGCAAGCUAGAACACUACUAGGAAAAGGCCUACUAAUGGCGCACCUAAUUUGGCCAUUAAUGGCGCAUUAGUGGUGCGCCAUUAGUGCCACGCCAUUAGUAUAUUUUACUAAUGGCGCACCCCAGAUGCGCCAUUAGUAUAUACAACAGUGCGUCAUUAGUAUGCCUCCCAGGGGGCCAUGUAUACCCAGGUGCUUUGGCAUACUAAUGGCGCACAACAACAGGAUGCGCCAUUAGUAACUUCGGCAUACUAAUGGCGCACUGUUUAGUGAUGCGCAAUUAGUAUCCUUUGGCAUACUAAUGGCGCACUAUGAUGUGAUGCGCCAUUAGUAUGAAUAUUAGUUUUUUUUUAUUUUUUUAUUUUCUGUUUUUUGCACAGGUUACAAAAUGUAUAAUUGGACAAAAUAUAGACAACACACAUCAACAACAGAUUCAUCGAAUACAAUAGAAGAUUAGUCUCUGAAUACAAUUCAUCAUUUUAGUCUCCGAAUACAAUUCAUCAUAUUAGUCUCCGAAUUGAAAAGACCGAACAAAGAUAGAACAUUAUAUUACAAGUCUCGAGACCGCGAGUUUGUCUUCACAUUACAAGUCGAUAUCGAUCAUCUAAACUACCAUCACAUAGAAGAGAGCUGCGGUCAUCACGAUGAGCAUCAUCACGAUGAAACUCGUCUUCAUCCGGUUCCUCCAACGCUCCCUCCCCUCUCCCGCUAGAUAGCGGGCGUAUCUAGAUUCGGCCUCGGCCCUAGUGGCGUACCCUUUGUAAUUGUUACCACUGAAUCGGUGAACCUGUCUCCGACACUCCUCCCAGUCGUCGUAGACUCCGGGAACCUUACCCUUGUACACGACAUACCACGGCAUCGCUAUGCAGUAACCAAACGAAACGUUAGUACCAAUUCACAGACAAUACAUAAGCAAUAUAUAAGUAUGCAACAGAACGAUCGGAAGAGAAAAGCAAGACAUUAAUAGCAUCGAUUACAUCUAAGUUGAACGACUCUCGAAACCAAAGAGACAUACUACAAGUUCAUUAAAGUUUAAUUACAACAUGAGCCAAUCGAUGUUUCAGAACUAGACACAGCAUCACUGCUUUCGACUCGACUCAAGGGACCGGAGUGUGGAUGAAGCCGCCGUCUAUCGUGGGAGUCAUGAAACAACAGGCGUUGUCAGCCUGCAUUUGUAGGAUUGUGUCGAUGUCACUGUUGGACGGUUGAUUUCUGAGGUAGAACUGCCCCGAGGUACGAAGGACAUCUUGAUGGAUGAUUUCCGCAAACUCCGACUGGAUGCGAAAGAAUUCUUGUCUGAUGUCCGCGUCCUGGAUUGCCGACACGCUCGCGGCUCAAUCUUUGAGUCUACUCGGUAGCAGAAGUUGAUGAUGGUCCCGUACGAUCGCCCGCAUGUGAUGGAUGGCGUAGUAGGCACCCUUCUGACCGCCAGGCGGCUGCUUGACGCAGCAGAACGUCGUAUUGUGGGAGAACACGUGCUUGCCGUACUUACGAAUAGGCCUGGUGAAGGUGCCUCCAGAUUUGAUGUAGCCGGGGAGAACAUCAUCAAGAACCUUCUUGACAUUUGUGUAGUCUACGUUCGACUGACGGUCUGGGUCGAAAUACGUGGCCAUGGAAUAUUUGGGGCUUAGGAGGAUGAGCGUGCAAUAUGUGUCACUGCAGAAAACACGGAAUGUUAAAAGAAAAAUGAUCGAAAUCUAAGAAUUCAUAUGUUACGGGGCGGUUGAGGGGAGGACUUACUCGGGAAAGUAAGGCACGAGGAAGUUAUCCUUAUCUUGGUUUGCCAGAAUGACGCCUUCGAGGUAAGAACUCGCGACUUGCCGGUCCCCAGCGCUGCCCAAGAUCUUGGCACGCAUGUAGAAGGGGUCGACUAUCACGAUGUCCGGGGUCUUGUCGCGAAUGAUCCGCAUCUCCAUACUCAGCGAAAAUAGCCGAACGAAGGUGUAGUGCAGCGGAUGAAGGUUCAACAUAGCGUGGAUGUCAUCAAACCGCAGGACGAUCGUACCCCUGAUGGAGUUAUCCACAAAGCCCUUGCCCUCUGGCACCUUGGCCGCGAAAACCGGGUAUGCCACAUCCUUCUCUCCGAGAUGCCGCUUCUCCAAAGAAAGAACACUGUCAUGCAGACUCCGCAUAGCACCGGUUGCAGCAUCGAGCAUAUUUCUCGGUAGCAUCGGCCUACCCGCCACAUGCACCCUCCUCGAGAUAUCCUCAGUUGAAGGUGGCCCGUCCUGAGCACGGAUCGUACUCGGUGCCGGCUGGCCCGCACCCUUGUUAGUCUUUCUUUUGCGUGCCUUCUUCUUCUCCUGUAAUGGGACCGAGUUCUGCUCACAGACCGCCUUCUUGAGUGUGUUGGGGCUGAUCAUAUUUCGCACCUCGCCUAUCUGAGGCUCGGUGAAGUCGGCAGCUGGAGGCGUCUCCUGAGAGCUGAACUGCAGACGACGCCUGUUGCAACUUGGCUUCUCCGCGGUACCAGCUAGAUCGCGCACGUCUUUUGUUGGGUUGGGUUCUUGAGGAGGCCCCAUGAAGUCGCCACCGUACCCAUGAUCGGCAAAGUACUGAUCGACGUUGGCUAAUGUAUCGUCGUCGUCGUCGUUCUGAUCCUGUGCCAUAUGCAUGUUUGGAUCCAGUGGCAUAGGCAUGUCCGGCACCGUUGCGGCGGUCUUGCCAUGGGGCCGACUUGGCGCCGGCACGACUGGCGGUGUUGUCUUUGGGGUGGUGUCCCCCGCCCCCAAACGAAUCUGGCUCUUCGGCCAAAGCAGGGGCCAGCUCAGGCACGCGCUGAGGGUCAUCACGUCAUCAUCGUCGGCCCCGAUGGGUCGAAUCGGAGGUAACAACUCGUCGCAGCCUGGCAGCACCCGAAACAGUUGAACCCUAAACAAGUUGGGUGGCAUCUGGGUACCGUGGAACAAGGGGUUGCCCGGUUGAACGAUUUUGCCCUUGGCGACAUCGACCAACUCGUUGUUCACGAAGUGCAGGAGAGUGCACGGAAUGUCGGCGGCGCCCUGCGAAAACAUGUAGGGCGUUAGGGAUGCCCAGUCAAAGGCAAGGAGAUGAAGUCCUCGGCCGAGAGAGGCUUAAUUAGUUACCGUGAUGAUGGCGUCGAGCUCGGCUAAUGUCGAGGCACCGCCAACGGCGGGCGUGCAGUUGACGGAGGGGCCGCUUGCUGCAGAGGUGCCGGCCGGCGUACACCCGGGUGCAUUAAGCUCCCUUGCCGGCAUCGGAGACACCAAUGCCGCCUCCGCCGGAGACACCAAUGGCCCCGCCAUCGCGUUCUGCGAGUUGCUGGCCGUGAAGCUAGGAAUCGGGGGCGGCCCCUGUUGGCCGCCCGCAAUCCACGCACUAAUCCCCUGGAUCAAGGUAGGCACAAUGGCGGUGAUCGUCACUCCGAGUUGUUGUUGCACUUGCUCUUGGACAAUCUCCGGAAUCCGCGCCACCUGUGCCCUGAGUUCUGGAACUUCGCGCGCCUGGCUUUCCGAGCUGCUCUUUUUCUCCUUUCGCCCACCAGUGUUAUAGUAUGACGACCAUUUUGUCGACAAGCCUUUGCCGGCCACACGACCAGAUGACGUCGGCUUACUGAGCUUAUUCUUGUUCUUCAUUACAUUCAACGCCCUAUUUAGAGUGGUGUCCCAAGGGUUGCUCUUAGUCGACCCCGCGCUACUGCUUUCAGUCGCCUGCGGAAGGAAUGUGAACCAUUUAGAAAUUUGGCUUCAUUAAUUAGAAUGCAACCAUAUGGAGCUAAUUACGCGGGGGUGUAUUCCUUACCAGAACAAGCUCAAGCGCCCUGGUCUUCGGAUCCAUGGUAAGCUCCUUUGUUUCCGGGUCCUUCUUGUACCGGGCCCUGACAAAGUUCCUGGUCUGCUUGUCACCGUAUUUAUCGAAGAGGGGCGGUAGGCCUUGCUCGGCACGGUCCGCCUCCUCCUUGUCCCAUAUAGGCUCCGCCACUCUGUAACCGCCGGGACCGAGUGUGUGUUCCCCUAAGUUCAGCUCCCGCAUUUCUUUCUCCCACUUACUUGAUUCGGAGUUUGCGGUGCUCGAGCAAUUAAUCUUGAAGUCGUUGUAGUCAUCUUCGGUGAUCGAAGGAUUUUUCUCCUUGAUCUUCUCAUAACUCUCACCUUUCUCGAUCAUUCUCUUCACAUUGCUUUUCCAAGUAGACAGGGCCUUGCUCAUCUUCGUGAGGGCAGCAUUGUUCACUUUAUUCCCUUUGAGGCUUGUGUUUUCAAAUUCAGCGGGGAACUUGUAUCGUUCGUGCAGCUUCGUGAAGAGGAGGUUGCGCAAAUUCCCUCGGUCAGGAUGCCUCAGGUUCUCGGUGUUGAUCGAGACGGUGCUCCGGAGAAUGCACCCGAGCUGAAGCGAGUACCCCUUGACUAUUCGUUCGGGCGCCGUUGGAUUCCCGUCGGAGUCCACUUCAGUAACUUCCUCCUUGAGGGUGCGGAGCACGGUCGGGCGCCGGUCCUUCCGUUGCCUCUUCGGUUGGCUGCCAUCUGUGCGUGCGCCGCCAUCAUCAGUGGUGGCAUCCUCGGCGGCACCAUCCGUGGUGGCAUCAGUGGGGUCAUCCUCGGCGGUACCAUCAGUGGUCUCAGGAUCGGUGGGGAAGGCGGCGUCCUCAUACAAGUGAGGUUGUUCCUCCAUCUCCUGGGACAGCUUCCAGAAUGCCUUGACGCCCGAACCCCCGGCCUCAUCGUUGUUGGCCAUGUUUCUCUCUAAAUAGGAACAAAGUUUGGUCAGAAAGUUGGUUAUUGUCAAGGAACAAGAUCAUGGUCUCAUCAUUUAGGGUUUGUCGACACCGAGGCAUCCUAAAAGCUAAGCUUUUAUAAUUGAGGGUUUUUCGACGCCGAGGCACCCUAAAAGCCUAAGCUUUCAUCAUUUCGGUUUUUAUCGACACCGAGGCACCCUAAAAGCCAUGCAUUAGUCACAAGUACGCCGGGGCACUUGAUCCUACUUAAUUAACUACUAAGAUACCCCGGCCCAUGCAUUAGUCACAAGUACCCCAUAUGUCCUAUUUUUAGCAAAGUCAUGCUAAAAUUCACGGAAAAUUUCAGCAUGACCUUUGUGGAGCCUGGUGCGCCAUUAGUAUUUUUUUUUGAUUUCUGCUCGAGCCAACAGGUUAUCUUCCACCUGACCUGAUCCACACCAAGUUCCCUCUACUAGCUCGACUGGUCAGUAGCCAGUUCUCACACCAGGAGGUCCUGGGUUCGAUUACCAGGCUCCACAAUUUUUUUUAUGCAUUUAAAAUGCUGUUUGAUAUUUAUUUGUGUUUAAAUAUGUUCAAACUUGUUUAAAUCAUAACAGUAAUAUUUUUUUAUAAGACAGUAAUAAGUUUUUUAAAAAUAUCAUCAAACAGUAAUGCCUGUGGAGCGGGGGAGGGUGCGCGGGGUGCGGGGGGCCGGUGGACCGGGGGGUGCUCGGCGGCGAGGGGGACCGGAUCUGGCGAGGUGGGAUAGCGAUCGAGAUGGAGGGGGAUUGAGAUCGAGUGUCUAUGAAAUUUACAAAUAUUCAUGAUAGUUCAAAAAGUGCCCAUGAAAUACAAUCGAGAAAUGAAGGCUACGAUUUAAAUACAAUCGAUCUUAGCUAGCUAUCUGUUCACAAUCUUCUUGCCCUUCUUUUUCGCAAAUGGAGUUCUUCUGUGGAACGGACGUCCUUUAGGUAGGGUGGUCCUACUUCUUCUUGUGGUGUAUGCUGCUACUUCAUCGUCGUCGUCAUGUUCGAUUCUCGGGUCGCCGUACUUGUCGAAGUCUUGCUCAUUGGCUACUCCAUCCAUUCCGAUGAUCUUCCUUUUGCCUCUCCUCACGACAACACGACUGGGCUUUGACGGGUCGGUAAUGAAGAAGCAUUGGUCCACUUGGGAAGCCAGUACCCAUGGCUCAUUUUUCGCGGUGACGUUUGCGCCUGCGGUCUUGGAUUUGGCUUCGGGUAUAACCAUGGUGGUGAAAUACCGGUCUUCUUUUAGGACGCUCUUGGCCCAUCUGACACGGAACAUCGGGACCUUCUCUCCAGCGUAGUUCAGCUCCCAGAUCUCCUCGAUCCUUCCGUAGUAUCUGUCCUUGUCGUUACCGGUGUAGGAUUCCAUCGUUACCCCGGAGUUCUGAUAACCAUCGCUCUUCAUGUCCUUGGCCUCGGUGUAGAAUGUGUAGCCGUUGAUAUCGUACGCCUCAUAGGUCAUCAGGUUGUGCUCGGCGCCCUGUGACAAGGCGAAUAUGAGUUGUUCUUCCGCGGAAGAAUCCUCAUGUAAUGGGUACGACAGAAGCUUCUGCUUGAACCAACGCGUGAAACAUGAGUUGUGCUCUUUGAGUAUAUCUCCGUCCGUCCUCUGUUGGCCUCGGUCAUUGUACGUCUUCUUAAUAAAGGUUUUGUGCUCUACCACCCAAGGAUCGACCACGUCUAUGUGUUGUAGCGCGACUAGGUUUGCUCUUUCAAAGUCGGCGAGUCGACCCUCGAAGUCGACAUGCAUUUCGCGGCGACCCUCACGGUGACCCCAUCCAGCGAGCCUGCCGAGGUGCCUGUUGACGGGCAGACCAACGGGGUUCUCGAUGCCUAGAUAAUUCGUGCAGUAGGAGAUGCACUCUUCGGUCAGAAAGCCCCUGGCUAUGCUUCCCUCUGGACGUGACAUGUUGCGAACGUAUCCUUUGAUGACACCAUUCAUCCUUUAGAACGGCAUCAUGCUGUGCAGGAACGUCGGCCCGAGUUGGAUGAUAUCGUCCACGAUAUGGACCAGCAGAUGCACCAUAACGUCGAAGAAUGCGGGCGGGAAGUACAUCUCAAGCUCGCAUAGUAUCACCACGAUCUCUUCCUAUAGCCUUCUGAGUUGCCUCACGCCAACAGACUUCCGAGAGAUGACGUCGAAAAAGUUGCAUAGGCCAAAUAGCGUUUCACGGACGUGCGCGUCCAUGAUCCCACGGAUUGCAACUGGAAGUAUCUGCGUCAUCAGCACAUGACAGUCGUGAGACUUCAUCCCGCUGAACUUCAGCUUCGCUAGGUCUAGGUAUCUGCUUAUCUUCCCCGCGUAACUGUAAGGAAGUUUUACUCCUACGAGGCAGGUGAAAAACUGCUCGAUCUCCACCUGACUUAGAGUGAAGCACGCGGGAGGGUAGUCAUUUCCGGUCUUCUUGGCCUUUUUGCCUUUGCGACGACUUUCCGUGUCCUGCUUCGCCUCAUCAUCAUCAUCAUCAUCAUCAUCAUCAUCAUCAUCAUCAUAUAUAGCGUGAAGCUCCUGCCUGAUGCCCAUUGAUUUCAAGUCUGCCCUUGCUUUCGGCCCAUCUUUGGUCCUCUCUGGCAUGUUGAGCAGGGUACCAAGCAGACUCUCGCACACGUUGUACGUGAUAUGCAUGACAUCAAGGCUGUGAGGCACACGGUGGAUCUUCCAGUAUGGUAAGUCCCAGAAAACAGACCUCGUUUUCCAUACCUUCAGCAGCGGCUCUGGCGCCUUUUGCUUCUUUCCCGGCUCUGGUGCCUUUUGCUUCUUUCCCGGCAGUGGGCAGUCUUUCCAAUUUUUCAACAGCUCGUCUAUUUCCUCGCCGCUCCUCGUACGCGGGCGUCCUCGGGGUUCGGUUUCACCAUCGAAUAGAUCCUUGCAUUUUCUCCACGGGUCAUCGUCGCGAAGCCACCUUCGAUGUCCCAUGAACACGGUUUUCGAAGACCCAGGAUCUCUAUCUAGCUGGCGAUACGUUGUGUCAUCCAUGCACCUGACGCAUCCAGAAAAUCCGUGGACCACCUGCCCCGCGACAUAUCCGUAACCGAGAUAGUCGUGCACCGUCGUGAGCAGCGCGGCUCUCAUAGGGAAAUAUUCUUUCUCUGCGGCGUCCCACGUAUUGGCUGGCGUUUUCCACAACGUGUCAAGCUCCUCUUUCAGCAGCCCCAGAUACAGAUUGAUGUCGUUCCCUGGUUGUUUCGGUCCUUCAAUUAGCAUACUCAUGUGAAUGUACUUCCUCUUCAUGCACAACCAGGGGGGAAGGUUGUACAUCCACACAAACACAGGCCAGGUGCUAUGUGUGCUUCUCUGGCUGCCAAACGGAUUGACUCCAUCGGUGCUCGCGCCCAGCACGAUGUUCCUUGGAUCGUUCCCAAAUUCUAGGUCUUCAAAGUUCAACGCUUGCCACUGGCUCGCAUCCUUAGGGUGACUCAGCAUCUUGUCUUUUUUAUCUAUCUCCGGAUCAUUUGCAUCAUCUUCUCGCUUCUUCUCCUCCCUAUCCGCGUGCCAACGCAGGAGCUUUGCUACCUUAGGGUCCGCAAAAUACCGCUGCAGACGAGGAGUGAUCGGAAAGCACCACACCACUUUUCGAGGAGCUUUCUUCCUCUUCUUGUAUCGAGUGACGCCGCACACCGGACAUAUGGUAGACUCCGCGUGCUCGUCCCGAUAAAUGAUGCAAUUGUUCAUGCACACAUGGUAUUUCACGUGCGGUAAAUCCAGAGGACACACGAUUUUCUUCGCCUCCUCCAAACUGGUCGGGCACUUGUUCCCCUUGGGAAGACGUUCGUGCCAGAAUGACAUGUUCUCGUCGAAGCAUGCGUCGGUCAUUUUGUGUUUCACCUUCAUCUCCAAAGCCAUGAGCGUUACUUUCAGGCGGGUAUCCUCGGGCCUGCAUCCUUCAUACAAUGGAGUAACCGCGUCUAACUCAAGUUGAUCCAUCUUGGCUUUCUCUCGGGCGGCAGCUCUUGCGUUAUCCGUCUGCUUGAGAAGCAGCUCUUGAAUAUGAGGGUCCUGCACCCAGCCCAUCGAUGGUCCAGCGUCGUCUGCUCCGCCGGCAUCAUCAUCUUCAUGAUCAUGCCCGUCGUCUGCUCCGGCAUCUUCCUCAUCAUCAUGUCCUGCAUCUUCUACAUGAUGACUGUGUACAACAUCACCGUCGUGAUCAUCUCCUGGGGAUUCUUCGUCUUCUCGCCCGCCCGAGCCAUGGUGGUUGUCUUGCUGCCCUUCCUCAUUUCUUGCCCGGCCCCCAUGGACGACUUCGUAGUCAUCUUCGUCACCUUGCCACCGAUAGCCAUCCAUGAAACCACGCAAGAGCAGGUGGUCCCGCACCUGCCCGGAUUCCGGGUCCGCAAUAAGGCUCUUCAGCUUGCAUCUUCGACACGGACAUCUUAUCUCCGUCUCGUUCUUUUGAAGCAUCUCGGCCUUCGCGGACCUCAAAAACCUAUUCACGAUGCCUUCGGUCAUCAUGCGGCCCAUGGUCGCCUGCGGGGUAGAGCAAAACGAUAUUUUAGAACCAAGAAAAAAUUUGGCAUGACUUUCCCUAAAAAUAGGACCAAAAAGAAUGCUUAAUGCCAAAAUUCUCGCCGAAACGGAAAUGAAUCAACAUUCCGGCAAAAUAUUGGCAACUAUCGCAUUUCAAAUACCGGUACACCUCCAAACACAAACACAUAUGCAACACCACAAACAUAUGCAACACCACGAACAUACAUAGAUCUAGCUAGGCCAUAAAAAGUGCAUGUGCACAUUGUUGUAGGGAGAACAACAUAAAUAUAGCUUCCCCCCUUACUUACCUAUCAAAACAAGGUAAUUUAACCACUUAAAUUGAAUGAAUCUAUGGUGGAAAUGAGGUGAAAAAGAGGAGGCACCCGAGACAAGGAGGAGGUGGAGAGAAUGAAGUGGGGAGAAAGUGAGUGUAGGUAGGAGAGGCUGUCCAAAAUAUCUUGUUGCUGCCCACUUACUAAUGGCGCACCAACUCUAAAUGCGCCAUUAGUAAUCCAGGUUACUAAUGGCGCACCUUCUGGUGAUGCGCCAUUAGUAGUUUUGCAAAAAAAAACAUACUAAUGGCGCACUGUUCCACAGUGCGCCAUUACUAGUUUAAACUAGUAAUGGCGCACGGUGGAAAAGUGCGCCAUUAGUAGUUUUGCAAAAAAGGGAAUAAAAAAUAUAAUAGAAAAAACAACAUUAGUGGCGCACAUUCCGGCAGGUGCGCCAUUACUAGUUACAACUAGUAAUGGCGCACUGUGUCUGGAUGCGCCAUUAGUAUGUUUGGACAGGCGCACUAGUUAAAAAAAAAUUUGAUACUAAUGGCGCACCCUGGGCCAGGUGCGCCAUUAGUAGUUUCAACUCUAAUGGCAUAUCGGAGGGUGGUGCGCCAUUAGUAUAUACUAAUGGCGCACCGCUUGUCUGGUGCACCAUUAGUGUCAAUCCAAUCUAUAGCCCUUUUUCUAGUAGUGGAAGGUAGAGUAUUUUUAAAGUUAAAUAUACAUGUAUCAAGUAACCGGUGCAGCUAGACUCGCAUGAUCGAGAUAAACAUUUAUUUUGUAACCCUACCAAGUAAUUAAUAGACGAAUACAUUUGCUAAGGAUAACAGUAAUUCUAAUGCACAGACGGUUGAAUUGUUUUUACGUUUUUAUCAAUAUUAUCUUUAAUGUUUUUUAUCCAUCUCUUUGAAGUUUUUAUUUUCUUUUUAGAUUGUAGUUUUGUUAUUUAUUUAUCGAGGUAUUCAUUUAUAUUUUGUUAUUUUUAUAUGCAUAAUCACGACAAAAAGCCACGACUCCGCGUGCACUAUGUCACCUCCCUCUGUUAAGCCCCUAUUCCCUCACUCAUUCAUUCAAACUAGAUGACACCCCGCACGUUGUUGCGGGAACUGUUGUAGGAAAAAUGGGAUAUGUUAGACAAAUGAAAUAUAAAUAAUUUGGAUACGCUUUCAGCCAUAUCGUUUCUUGGCUAAAUUAAAACCAUUUCAUGAGAUUGAACAAUGCAGAACUGGCUAGAAAAAAUACAUAACAUUUCCUUUAAAAAAUAUUAACAUUAGUGGUUUCAGUUCCCACUAGCAAAAUAUCGUGGCCCUGACAAACAUUUGUGCAUCGAAUUGCCCACAAAGAAUAAAAAAAUAUAGCACAAAUCAAAUUGGCAUUGGAGAUUUGCUUCAGAUGUGGUAAUGAUUCUUCUUAUGUGCCCGCAUCAUAACUCACUACUUAUCGUCAUGGUGAAGAAAACAAACAAUCACCUCCAUUAAUAGGAACUGAGUGCUGGCACUUGAAAAGUGGGAAAAAUAAUAGUGUGUAAGAGUUGAUGACAGCGAGAACAUAAAUUGCCAAUUCAGUUUGUCCCAUAAUUUCUGCACAUAAAAAGCCGAACCACUCCUACAUUUAGUGAAGGCAACAUUAUACAACAAUUAGCAUGAAAAAAAAUCAUGAUGAAAUAAAAUGGUGAUGCAAUUUUGACUUUAUAAGGCAAGACCAUUCAAGGGAGAAAUCUUUUGAACAUAGCACGAUGAUGAUCUUUUGGUCAAUAACUGAACAUGACAAUUCAUAAGCAUAUUAUGCAUUCAAUAUUCUAUUCUAGAUAAUAUUUUAAGUCUGAAAUAUCCAUGGUUUGGGAAGUCAGGAUGACCUGUUCCAAAACAAAGGCAUGUACGUAAACCGAACAAAUAUGAAAAUGAAGAGAGAAUGGUGAAGUAUAUAUCUUACUGAUUCCGCAAAGGUGAACAUAAUUAGAUUAAAGGUGUUGAACUGAAGUAGUUAUAUAAGGGUCAAAGGAUAAAAAUCAAUAAGGAAAAUUAAAGGAGGG